CCCGUCGGUUAUGCAGGCAGAUUGAUCUCCAAAAAGGAAAGUUAUGCAGGCAGCACGCCAUCGAGCGCUCAGCACGGGCCAUGGAGGAGGCCUCUCUGCAUCCAACCAUGAGUUCCAGACAGGUCCUGUCAUCUCCAGGGCAUCCACCUAUGGAACUCGUCCCAGUGUGCCUGGGGAGAAGGCCAGGAGCGGAGGAUCAUUCUGGGAAGAAGCUGCUACGAUGAUUGCCGGAGCAUGCACAAACUGCUUCCCACCUCGCCAACCUAAAAUUAGGGAGGGCCAUGUCAAAUCCUCAGAAGAUGCUCAUGAUUUGUCGACUAGUUCCAGUAAGUUCACCUUUCUUUCUUCAUUCCUCCAUCAUGUACAUGUUUUUUUUACUAUGUUCCAUCAUGUACAUGUUAUUCUGCGACUGCAUAUGCCUCUGCAAUUUGAGCUGGUUAUUAAAGUCAUUAAAUUGGAUUGCACAAAAUUAAACAUGUAUGUUAGCUUGGCACCAAGUCAAAUGACAUGUGGAAAGCCUUCAAAAUUUAAACCAUACAAAAAUGCAAAAUUGUACUCCCUCCAUUUCAUAAUAUAAGAUGUUAUUACAACCAAUAUGUGAGUAUAUUGGUUGAAUAACAUGUUAUAUUAUGGGACAGAGGGAGUAGCAUACAACAACUAUGAGGAGUCGGUUAUGAUCAAGGCCAUAACUUCCGGGUUAAAUAUCAUAUCAUACAAUACGGCAUGAUGUUUCAUCUAUCACCGCUCACUAAAAGCUUAUUACAAAUCCUUCUAGUUAGCAUUGUAGUUCAAUUAAAACCAUCCAGAUAUUUCUCUCGAUCGUUAUUCUGCUAUUCAAGAUAUUCAGCUUGCAUGUUGAUCAGUGUGCAUGCAGCAUUUCCAAUGUUACUUGUUCCAUUGAGCAAGUAAACCGAGUUUGAUUAAUUAACUUUCCAAUGGUUUAUAGCAGUCUCGAGAAUUUCAUCGGUAAGCAGCACCAGCACUAGUCAAGACAAGGCAUGGCAAGACCAGUUCUCAUAUCAGGAAAUUUGCCUGGCUACUUCAAACUUCAGUGAACAGAACAAAAUUGGGAAAGGAAAUUUUGGCUCUGUGUACAAGGGGAAGCUCAGGGAUGGAUCCAUCAUAGCCGUAAAGAGAGCUAAGAAGGUUAGUGGAAAAAUUUCUUAACACAGGAAGAGCAUAUAUCUUUACAAAAAAUGACUUCCAGCAACCAAAUGAAUGAGAUCAUAUCAUGUUAACAUCUGGAAUUGGCAGAAUAUGUUUGACAGGAACCUAUCUGCAGAGUUCAGGAGUGAAAUCCAGAUAUUGUCAAAGGUUGAACACUUAAACUUGGUGAAGUUUCUUGGGCAUCUUGAGCAUCAGGAUGAGCGCUUAAUUCUGGUUGAGUAUAUCAGCAACGGAACACUACGUGAACACUUGGAUGGUAGGUUAAAUUUGCUUCAGGUCAUCGUAAUACUGUUAAAAUGUGUGCAGAGAAAGAACCCAGUAAGGCCGUGGAACUGGGUGAAAUCAAACAUAUUAUAGUAAGCAUUUUCGUAUGCAAGUCACUAAGUAAAUGUUUGUGCUCUAUUUUAUUUUUAGAGUGAAUUCCGAUUUUUACCCCCUAAUUUAGCAUUUUUGACAUUAGUUACCCCAUUUAACAAACUUUCAUCCAGCUUACCCCAUUUAGUGACAAUCUUGACUGUUUUUACCCCUUUUAAUUUUAAAGAGCCUUCUUGCAACAAUCGUGUUUUACUCGAGAGUCAAGGCUAAGUGCCCAAGCAUAUAUUUCUAGUAAAGCAAAAAAUUCCCAUCCUAUUAUGUUAAUAACUUGUAGUACUAAUUUUAAAUUGACACACAUCAUUGGAGCCCUACUACAAAACACAUGUUUGACAAUAGCACUGCAGAUCUGUAAAAUAGAAUGUGAUGUUUUUAUUUGAUGAUUUACCAAAGCGUAAAAUAAAUGCUUCCUCCAAUGUUUUGCAUCGAGGAAGAAAACUAAAAUAUCAUCACAUUAAACCUAUGAACCACAAGCCACACAAUGCAAAAUUGAACGUACUUAAUCGCUCAACAUAAUUGUUCGUCUUUCCUGCGAUGUGGUGCACACAUACACCUGACAGCUAUGAGAAAAAAAAUUGGGUGUUGCUAAACCAAGUGAUUGGUUUGGGCAUUGGAAAAAACGCCAAGAGGAAUCUGAUGGCAGGGAGUUAGCUAACAAAUCGCUCUGAAAACAAUUACUGGGUAAAAGCUGACAAAACUUUUGCUAAAUGGGGUAAUCUGGAUGAAAAUUUGUUAAAUGGGGUAAUUAGUGUCAAAAAUGUUAAAGUAGGGGGUAAAAUCUGAAAUUCACUCUUAUUAUGACCAUACCUGCUCAAUGUUCCUUCUGUAACUUUGCUACUCAAGUCUUCUUGGACUGCAUUUAUGACGUAGAUGUAAUGCUAUUUCUCUCACAAAUUUCUACUAGAUUAAAAGAAUUUUUGGGACCACAAACUAUGUCACUAUGCAGGAUCAAGAGCGGAACCAUUGGAAUUUUCACAGCGUCUCAACAUUGCCAUCGACAUAGCUCAUGCUAUUGCCUACUUACAUGGAUACACAGGUAUUAUGCUCUACUGUCUUUCUGUAUGACAACACUAAGACCACUCGGUAUCAAUUAGUAGCAUAUUUGAUACCCCACAGAGUACAUGUUCCAAAUUUGAUAUCGUUGUUCACAAGCAUGUUUUAUCUUAUUCUGAAAUGUCCGUUGAACCUUCAAAGGGGAAAAUUUGCUACAUGAUGAAGAAACUUAGAUGUACUUCGCACAGAGCAUGUAUAUGUUCGUAUCUGCACUUACGUGAGGUCGAAGGCGCAUACAUGGGCAAAGCCCUGAAUUCUAAAAGAAUCACCACAAAUUUCGAAUUUUAUUUAUCAGAACUUUGUUGAUAUUUUGCACAGAUUAAAUUUCUGAAUCCCUAAAUAGUGUAUCUGCAUCCACAACAGAAACGAAAUUGUCGACAUCCUAAUGCCUGACAAAUAUUUCCGUAUGAUGGAUAUAUGCAGACCACCCAAUCAUACACCGUGAUAUCAAGUCGUCCAACAUUCUCCUAACAGACCAGCUGAGAGCAAAGGUGUCCGAUUUCGGCUUUGCGCGCCUAGCCGCAUGCGACACUGAAGCAACUCACGUCUCAACAAUGGUGAAGGGUACGGUAGGAUACGUCGACCCCGAGUACCUGCGCACGAACCACCUCACCGACCGCAGCGACGUCUACUCCUUCGGCGUCCUCCUCGUCGAGCUCAUCACCGGCCGACGGCCGGUAGAGCGCAACCGCGGCCGGCAGCAACGUCUCAGCACGCAGUGGGUAAGAAUCUCCAUCCCUGGCUACCAUAUUCGGCGUUGAAAGGUGGUGCGGGUAAGGUGUUCGACGGAAUUACCGUGUGGACGCAGGCGCUGCGGAAGUGCAGGGAGGGUGACGUGGUGGUGGCGAUGGACCCCCGGAUGCGCAGGACCAGCGCGGCGGUUGCGGCCGUGGAGAGGGUGAUGGCGCUGGCGGCCGAGUGCACGGCCCCGGACCGCGCGCCGCGGCCGGCCAUGCGGCGGUGCGCCGAGGUGCUCUGGUCCGUCAGGCGCGACUUCCAGCACCAGCACGAGCAGCAGCGCGCCGCGGUCGCGGGAGCAGGAACGAGGCGGCGAGAUGUGUCCACCGCCACGUAAGGCCCGUCGGGUUUGGAACAGCAGCAAAGAUCGGGAUGUUUGUCACUUUGUCUACGCGGCUAUGAACAUGACUUGAAUUUUUUGUCAGUUUUGCCGCUAGUGUCACACUACUAAUUUUGUCAUUAAAAGUUUUAACUAUUCAAAAAUGUCAUCCUUUUAAGCAUGUUCUAAAACAUGUCAUCCACUGCUAUAUUCUAAUCAAAGGUCAUGGAUGGCUGUGCAAUGACCAAAAUACCUUUGGACCCCACUUGUACCGCUCUUCUAUAACAUGUGGGUCCUAACGAUGUAGCGUUUCUGAACUCUAUAAAAUGUCAUUACAUCAAGAAUUAAAUUAGAAAAAAAACGAUACGUGGAGAUCCGAUCACUCGCGGGUGAAGCUAUUUUUGCUUCUAAUUUCAUUCUUUAUAUAUACUAAAAUUGUGACCCGUAAUUAUAGUGAGUUGUAGAGGGGACACUGAGAAAUGAGAUUCAUGGGUAUUUUUGUCAUUUCACCUGGUCAAUGGGUCGGUAAUAGUAUCGAGUGACAUUUUUAUGUACACGUUAAUGAAAGGAUAACAUUUUUAAAUACUUGAAAUUUUUAACGAAAAAAUUAAGCAAUGUGAUACAACUAAUAAAAACUCUUUUUCUUUUGCAAGAAUGAUUUGAGUUGAUUAGCAUUUUUUAGGUGAUUGAGUUGAUUAACUGUGAAGUCAUGAUGUCUACUACGCAAAUUUAUUUUAUAGACGUUGUUGGACCUUCAAGUGUAGAGUAUGUAGGACAACAACAAAUUUCUCUCAAGUGGAUAACCUAAAUUUUAUCAAUCUGUGGGAGGUGUAGGAUGAAGAUGACCCCACUUAAACAACCCUGCAAUCAAAUACAAGAAAUCUUUUGUGUCCCCAACACCUUCAAUACAAUGGUAAAUUGUAUAGGUGCAAAAGUCUGACGAAGAGAUGAUGAUACAAGUAUAGUAUGUGUGGUAAAGAUAGAAUUUUGUAAUCUGAAAAUAUAAAAGUAGCAAGGUAGCAAGUGGCAAACAACGAACAAAACGUCUAUAUCAAUGCUUGGAAAUAAGGCCUAGGUUCGUAAUUUCACUAGUGCAAUAUCUUAAUAGUGCUAGCAUAAUUGAAUCAUAUAACAUCCCUCAACGUGCGAUAAUGAAUCACUCUGAAAUUCUUAUCUAGCGGAGAACAUACGAUGAAAUUGUUGUAGGUAGUAAAACCACCUUAAAGUUAACCUUUCCAAUCAAUUUAUUGAGUCAUCUCUAUAAGUAUCGCAAACAACCCUAGAGUUCGUACUAGAAUAGCGCCUAUGAUAAGCAUCAAUUAACUCUAAUAUCACCUACAUACUCUAAUGUCAUCAUAAGUAUCCCUGAGUUAAUUAUUCAACAUGCAUCAAACAAUUUUAGAUUUGUCAUAUUCAAUCCAACACAAAGAACUUCUAAGAGUAUCUCAAAGUUUCUAUCGGAGAAAGUAGGAUGAAAACGUGCAUCAACCUAUGUGACGAGGUCACCCAAUGUCACGGGAAUCGCAAGUUGAUGACCAAAACAUAUAUCAAGUGACUCAAUAGAAUACCCCAUUAUCACCACGGGUAUCCGCAUGCAAGACAUAUAUGAAGUGUUCUCAAUUCCAAAGUAUUCAAUCCAACAUAACGAAACCUCAAAGGAAAGACUCAAUUCAUCACAACAAGAUAGAGAGGGAAGAACACCAUAUGGUCCAACUAUAUUAACAAAACUCGUGACACAUCAAGAUCAUGACAACUCAAGAAUACGAGAGAGAGAGAGAGAGAGAGAGAGAGAGAGAGAGAGAGAGAGACAANGAGAGAGAGAGAGAGCAAACACAUAGCUACUCGUACAUACCCUCAGCUCCGAGGGUGAACUUCUCCCUCCUUAUCAUGGAGACUGCCGGGAUGAUGAAGAUUGCCUCCGGUGAUGAUUUGUCCCUCCGACAAGGUGCCAAUAAAGGCUCCGAAUGAGACCGUUUCAGAAUAGAGGCUUGUUGUAGUGGUACGUCCCAAACGUAUCUAUAAUUUCUGCUUGUUCCAUGAUCUUUUGGGUGACAUUGUUAUAUGUUUUGCUACACUUUUAUAUCAUUUUACACAUAUUUGAACUAAUCUAUUAACUCAGUGCACCCAGUGCUAGUUUCUGUGUGCUAAUGUCUAUUUUACACGGGCUUUUACCUAAUUUUCCGAAGCCCGAAAAAAUUCCAGGAAAAAAUAUAAAAAAAAUUAGCGAAACAGAAGCUUCGAGAUCACCGAAGAUGGGCUAGAGGGGUCGUCCAGGCGACCUGCUGGCGCGCCCAGGCCCUAGGCCGCGCCAGGAGGCCGCCUGGGUGGGCCCCGCCUCCUCCAGUGCCCUAAUUUGGCCUAUAUUUAGUCUUCUGAGAGGAAACCCUUCCAGAACUUCCAGAAUCGCGAAUUUCUCCAUGGUUCCACCACCGCAGCGCUUCCGAGAUCGGGAGCGUCAGGAGACCUCUUCCCGGCACCCUGCCGGAGGGAGGAUUGACCUCCGGGAGCUUCUACACCGCCAUGGACGCUUCUCGGACGUGUCGUGAGUAGUCCUCCUUGGACCAUGAGUCCAUUACCAGUAGCUAUGUGAUGUCUUCUCUCCAAUCUUGUGCUUCAAUGGUUAGUCCUUGUGAGCUGCCCUACAUGAUCAAGGCAUCUAUGUAAUUCUCUUGCUAUUGCUAUGCUCGGUUUGUUGGGAUCCGAUGGAUUAUGAGAUUAUGUUCAGAUUGUUAUGAGUUAUAUAUUUGAUUAUCUUUUUAUAUUAUGUUCCUUAUUGAUUCAUGCAUGUUCUCCGUUGUUAUUUAUUGCUUUGGUGGAGUAGUAGAUUAUAACUCCAAGAGGGAGUGUUAUGCAUGAUUGUGGGUUCAUGCCCCUCGAUGUCUAGCUUGAGUGACAGAAACAUGAGACUAGGGGAUGUGUUGUUGCCACCAGGGAGAAAACAACGGUGCUUGUGACCACGGUUGCAAGGAUUGUUUACCUUACGCAUAGUUCGUUAAUGAAAUUGCCCGUUGCUUUGAGUUUACACUUUCGGUGGGGCCCGCAACUUAAUACCGGCGAGAUGUUCUAUAUAGAUAUCUCAAGGUGGAUGAUUAGUAAGUAGAUGCCGAUGAAUAAAAAGUCUACUUGUCUUGGCGUACUGCCCAUUACUAUUGAACGUCUAACUAUCAAGUAACAUAAUUAGCAUUGCGGUGCGUUCAUAAUUCUGUCAGUUGCUCAACUGUGAUUUGUUUACCCAAGAAUAGUUGUUUAUCGUGUUUUGGGAGAGAGACACACUAGUGAACAUCAUGUGACUCCGGUCCAUAUCAUCAUCAUUGUUUACACCUCCACCAUUUACCAUUUUCAUUUACAUUUCCGUUGCAAUCACUAUUACUUUUUCGCUUGUGUUUUGAUUCUUUGCAAACUACAAGGCCGGAGAGAUUGACAACCUUUGUGUACUCGUUGGGAGCAAAGUUAUUUGUUGUGUGUGCAAGUCCACAUCUUCUGCUGACCAGGACAGGAGACACCUACUUGUUGAUCCUAGGAGUCCUACUAGUUCGAUAAACCUUACAGUUUCUGUGCGAGGGAAAGCUUGCUGAUGACUACAUCUCAACCUUCCACUUGGGGUAACCAAUGAGGUGCGAGAAGUAUAUACAUCAUCUCGUCAUCAGGUAGCAGUGUAGAAGUUCUCUCUUUUGUUUUGUUUUUUAGGAUUUAUAGGAAUUUUUGGGGUCGUUAUCACGCCAGGGGGGCAUGAGGCAUGCUACUUCUUGAGCUUGUGUUGGUAUCCCUUGAAGAGAAAAGGGUGAUGAAACAAAGUAGAUAAGUAUUUUCCUCAGUUUGUUGAGAACUGUUGGAAAUAUGACCUAGAGGCAAAAAUAAAUUGGUUAUUAUUAUAUUUCCAUGUUCAUGAUAAUCGUUUAUUAUCCAUGCUAUAAUUGAAUUGAUUGGAAACUCAAAUACAUGUGUGGAUACAUAGACAAAACACUAUCCCUAGUAAGCCUCUAGUUGACUAGCUCAUUGAUCAAAGAUGGUUAAGGUUUCCUAGCCAUAGACAAGAGUUGUCACUUGAUAACGGAAUCACAUCAUUAGGAGAAUGAUGUGAUGGACAAGACCCAAACUAUAAACGUAGCAUAUGAUCGUGUUAGUUUAUUGCUACUGUUUUCUGCAUGUGAAUGUAUCUGUUCCUAUGACCAUGAGAUCAUGCAACUCCCGGACACCGGAGGAAUACCUUGUGGGUUAUCGAACAUCGCAACCUAACUGGGUGACUAUAAAGGUGCUCUACAGGUAUCUCCAAAGGUGUUUGUUGGGUUGGCAUGGAUCAAGACUGAGAUUUGUCAUUCCGUGUAACAGAGAGGUAUCUCGGGGCCCACUCGAUAAUACAACAUCACAACAAACCUUGCAAGCAAUGUGGCUAAGGAGUUAGUUACGAUAUCUUGUAUUACGGAACGAGUAAAGAGACUUGCCGGUAACGAUAUUGAACUAGGUAUGGUGAUACCGACGAUCGAAUCUCGGGCAAGUAACAUACAGAAGGACAAAGGGAAUAGUAUAGGGAUUAUAUGAAUCCUUGACAUAGAGGUUCAACCGAUAGAGAUCUUCGUACAAUAUGUAGGAGCCAAUAUGGACAUCCAGAUCCCGCUGUUGGUUAUUGACCGGGGAGUGUCUCGGAUCAUGUCUGCAUAGUUCUCGAACCCGUAGGGUCUGCGCACUUAAGGUUCGGUGACGUUUUGGUAUAGUUGAGUUAUAUGUGUUGGUGACCGAAGUUUGUUCAGAGUCCUGCAUGAGACCCAGGACAUCACGAGGAGUUCCGGAAUGGUCCAGAAACGAAGAUUGAUAUAUAGGAAGUUGGUAUUUGGAUUCCGGAAGGUUUUCGGGCAUUGCUCGUAGUGUACCGGGAGUGACGAAUGGGUUCCGGGGGCCCACUGGUGGGCCCACCACGCCCCAAGGGGUACACAUGGGUUUAUUGUAUGCGUAAUAAGGCAUAAUGGGCUGACAAAAUCAUCCAAGGAAAGCCCAUGAGGAAAAAGUGGAAAAUCCAAAAGAGGUGGGAAAUUUAGGAAGGAGUCCUAAUCCAAUUGGGAUUGGAAGAGGACUCCUCCCUCCUCCACUUCGGCCGACCCAAGGGAGCCUCUCUUGUGGCGCCAAUGUUGCCUCCUCCCUCCUCCUAUAUAUACUAGAGGUUUAGGGCUUUUUGAGACACAACUUUGCCACGUGCUGCCCUCUCCUCUAGAUCGUAGUUCUUCCUCUAGAUCGGUUUUCUGCGGAGCUCGAGCGGAGCCCUGCAGGAUUAGAUCAUCACCAUUACCGGCGCGCCAUCAUGCUGCCGGAGAACCUAUCUACUUCCCCACCCCUCUUGCUGGAUCAAGAAGGCGGAGAUUGUCAUCAAGUUGUACGUGUGCGGGACGCGGAGGUGCCGUCCGUUCGGCACUUGAUCGGAACGGAUCAUGGGACGGAUCGCGAGACGGUUCAUGGGACGGAUCGUGAAGACGUACCACUACAUCAACCGCGUUUAAUAACGCUUCCACUUAGCGAUCUACAAGGGUAUGUGGAUCUGAUCUCCCUCUCGUAGAUGAACAUCACCAUGAUAGGUCUUCGUGUGCGUAGGAAAUUUUUUGUUUCCCAUGCGACGUCCCCCAACAGUGGUAUCAUGAGCUAGGUUCAUGCAUAGAUGUAAUCUCAAGUAGAACACAAAAGUUUUUGUGGGCGUUGAUGUUUGCUUUGAUGCCCUCCUUGGUAUUUUCUCAAUUCGGCGGUAUUGUUGGAUUGAAGCGGCCCGGACCAACCUUACUCGUACGCUUACGAGAGACCGGUUUCAUUGACUAACAUGCAACUUGUUGCAUAAAGAUGACUGGCGGGUGUAUGUUUCUUCAACUUUAGUUGAAUCGGAUUUGACCGAGGCGGUCCUUGGAGAAAGGUUAAAUAGCAAUUUUCAUAUCACCGUUGUGGCUUUGCGUAAGUAAGAUGCGAUCAUACUAGAUACCCAUAGCAGCCACAUAAACACAUGCAACAACAAAUUAGAUGAUGUCUAACUUGUUUUUGCAGGGUAUGCAUGUGAUGUGAUAUGGCCAAAGACAUGAUGUGAUAUAUUGGAUGUAUGAGAUGAUCAUGUUGUAAUAGUUAAAUAUCGACUUGCACGUCGAUGCUACGGCAACCGGCAGGAGCCAUAGGGUUGUCUUUAAACUAACGUUUGUGUUUGCAAAUGUGCUUACUAUAUUGCUAGGUUGUAGCUUUAGUAGUAAUAGCAUAGAUAGCACGACAACCUCGAUAGUGGCACGAUGAUGGAUACCAUGAUGAUGGAGAGCAUGGUGUGGCGCCGGUGACGAUGAAGAUCAUGUCGGUGCUUUGGUGAUGGAGAUCAAGAAGCACAAGAUCAUGGCCAUAUCAUGUCACUUAUGAAUUGCAUGUGAUGUUAAUCCUUUUAUGCACCUUAUCUUGCUUAGAACGACAGUAGCAUUAUAAGGUAAUUUCAAGAUAAAAUUGUGUUCUCCCCGACUGUGCACCGUUGCGAUAGUUCGUCGUUUCGAGACACCACGUGAUGAUCGGGUGUGAUAGACUCAACGUUCACAUACAACAGGUGCAAAACAGUUGCACACGCGGAACACUCGGGUUAAACUUGACGAGCCUAGCAUGUACAGACAUGGCCUCGGAACACAAGAGACCAAAAGGUCGAGCAUGAAUCAUAUAGUUGAUAUGAUCAACAUGGAGAUGUUCACCACUGAAACUAUACUCAACUCAUGUGAUGAUCGGACUUGAGUUAGUGGAUUUGGAUCAUGCGUCACUCGAAUGACUAGAGGGAUGUCUAUUUGAGUGGGAGUUCUUAAGUAAUGUGAUUAAUUGAACUAAUUAUCAUGAACAUAGUCAAAAGGCCUUUGCAAAUUAUGCUGUAGCUUGUGUUGUAGCUCUACUGUUUUUAUAUUUUCCUAGAGAAAAUUUAGUUGAAAGAUGAGAUUAGCAAUUUUGCGGACUGAGUCCGUAAACUGAUGAUUGUCCUCAUUGCUGCGCAGAAGGCUUAUGUCCUUAAUGCACCGCUCGGUGUGCUACACCUCGAGCGUCGUCUGUAGAUGUUGCGAACAUCUGACAUACACGUUUUUGUUGACUACGUGAUGGUUCAGUGCGUAAUGCUUAACGACUUAGAAUUGGAGCACCGAAGACGUUUUGAAACAUCACAGAACAUAUGACAUGUUCCAAGAGAUGAAAUUGGGAUUUCAUGCUCACGCCCUUGUUAAAAGGUAUGAGACCUCUGACAAGAUUCUUUGUCUACAAAGUAAGGGAGAAAAGCUCAAUCAUUGAGCAUGUGCUCAGAUUAUCCGAGUGCUACAAUCGCUUGAAUCGAAUGGGAGUUGAUCUUCCAGAUGAGAUAGUGAUGGUUCUCCAAGGUCACUGCCACCAAGCUACUAGAGCUUCGUGAUGAACUAUAACAUAUCAAGGAUUCAUAUGAUGAUCCUUGAGCUAUUCGCAAUGUUUGACACUGCGAAAGUAGAAAUCAAGUAGGUGCAUCAAUUGUUGAUGGUCAGUAAAACCACUAGUUUUAGGAAAGGGCAAGGGUAAGAAGGGAUACUUUAUGAAACGGAAAAACAGUUGCUGCUCUAGUGAAGAAACCCAGGGUUGAACCCAAACCCGAGACUAAGUGCUUCUCUUAUGAGAGAAUCAGUCACUCAAGCGGAACUACCCUAGACACUUGGUAGAUGAGAAGGCUGGCAGAGUCGACAAAAGUAUGUUGGAUAUACCUGAUAUUGAUGUGUAUCUUACUAGUAUUCCUAGUAGCACCCGGGUAUUAGAAAGCGGUUCAGUUGCUAAGUGUUAGUAACUCGAAGUCGUGGCUAUGGAUUAAAAGGAUACUAGCAAGGGUGAAGUGACGAUGUGUGUUGGAAGUAAUUCUAAGGUUGAUGUGAUCAAACAUCGCACGCUCCCUCUACCAUCGGGAUUGGUGUUAAACCUAAAUAAUUGUUAUUUGCUGUUUGCGUUGAGCAUGAACAUGAUUGGAUCGUGUUUAUUGCAAUAUGAUUAUUCAUUUAAAGAGAAUAAUGGUUAUUCUAUUUUCUUGAAUAAUUACCUUCAAUGGUUUAUUGAAUCUCUAUCGUAGUGCUACACAUGUUCAUAAUAUUGAUGCCAAAAAGAUACAAAGUGGUAAUGAUAGUACCACUUACUUGUGGCACUGCCACUUGAGUCAUGUUGGUGUAAAAUGCAUGAAGAAGCUCCAUGCUGAUGGAUCUUUGUACUCACUCAUUUUUGAAACGUUUGAGACAUGCAAACCAUACCUAUUGGUACAAACGCAUGAAUAAACUCCAUGCAGAUGGAUUGUUUGGACUCACUUGAUUUUGAAUCACUUGAGACAUGCAAAUCAUACCACAUGGGCAAGAUGACUAAAGGCCUCGUUUUCCAAUGAGAUUGUCGUGGUUUUGUCAUGGGAGAUGUCCUCGUGAAAGGACUUAGAGAUGGAGCCAUCGCACCUUGGUGGCGACUCGAAGGGGGUGAGUGAAAGCGAGACUCAGAUUUACCCAGGUUCGGCCCCCCGUGAGGAGGUAAAAGCCUACGUCCUGCUAUGUAUGGAUUAAUGGUGGUUUCGAUUACAAGGAGGGCGUAACUCGCCUGACCUAGCUCUCGAUUCCCUCUAACUCGCCUGACCUCUCCCUGGAACUCGCCUUUAUAUACAGGUCGAGGCCCUAGGGUUUACAAAGUCCUGCUAUUCUACUCCUUGUAGCUUUCCUUAUCUCUAAAUCGUCGUGUUCCCCACGAUCAGGAGCUUCCUUGAUAUCCCAUCAUCUGCACGAUCUUUUGAACCGCCCUUCAGCUCCUGGGCCAUGAAACGCGCAGCUAAUGAUGAGUCGCCCCUUUGGUGACCCGGCUCAUUAAGGGCGGGUUACCCAUAGGUAAUAUCCCCAACAUUAGGCCCCAGAUUGUCCUGAAUUCAUUCAUGUCAAUAAACUCCCAUCAACUUGGGGCGACUCUCCUCAUUUCUAACCUUCGGCAAAUGUUAAGUCACCAUCCAUAUACUUGUCCUGAGUCGCCAUGUAGUAUUGAAUGUCGUCACCUCGUCCCCUUAGUUCCAGGGCUCCUAACAUUGUAACCGUCAACGGAUCUUUUGCUCAUAAUUGCUUAUCCCGAAAAUCUAGGCGCCAUCAUCGCAAUCUCUGACUUGUCGCCUCGAUUCUGCCUCGACAGGCUCGAUUUCUGUUCUGCCCUUUAAAUAACAAGGGAAAUGGGGGGGGAGGAAACCCUCGGCACCAACCUCCAUCUCUCCCUCGUCUUCCUCACGCACCUCGUCUCCGAGCACCAGCGCCCCGGCGUCGUCUCCGGCUCCAGGAGCUUCUCCAUCGACAGCGACCCUCCGUGCGUCAAGGAACACGAAGCACUGCGCAUUCAUCCCCGACACUGAUCUCCUGCUCUCACGUACACAGAUUCCCUCAUUUAGGGUUAGGCCAAGAACGCCAUGACUGUAGUCUUCUGGCGAACUAGCUUCCUCAAUGCGAUGAACAUGCUUAUCUGCUUUAGAUCCGUCUCAUGCUCUCGUGAUUGUCCUUAGGCAGUAGCAAGUUUCGGCCAUUUAAUCGUGUCCUUCCUCCAACUUAAACCUACAUACUGCAGACCCAACACUGUCGCUGCAUUAUGUGCAUAGUUCACCACCUUUAUCCCAGGUAAUAUCUUUCUAUUUUGACCUGUUCGUAGAUCCGCAAUGUGCAGCCUGUCUUUAGAAACAUGUUUGUUCAUCUGCUGAGAAUAUCUCUAAGGAAGAAAACACCUCUGAGAGUCCCCAUUUAGCUCCAGCCUUCAUAGCGACUUAGUUUUAUUACUAUAGCUAUGACACCCUCUCUUCAAGUCUGAAGGGCGAGUUAGAAUACCUUUGAAGACAUGCUCAUAGAUCGCCCAAAUAACGGGCUACGACGUACGUCAACCAUUUGGCGGGUUACCAAAUCUUUUUCGAACACCGUAGAUCCACACCGGCGGGUUAGAACAUUUCCUAGUCUUUUACUGAGCCGCCUCGUUCCCCUCUCUUUUGUAGUCAUGGCCAUUACGAAGUGUGCCUGGUUACCAACCAAAGUCGACGAUGCCACGCUUGAGAACUUCGUUAAGGCGGGUCUCCUUGACAGCAAGGAAACCAUUGGUUGGAGAACCGCCCAGGGCGAGUUGAAACCCAACCCCGCUCCAGGAGAAGUGGUAAUCUUUACCGAUUACCUUGAGCGUGGUUUUAAACUGCCCAGGGCAAAGUUUUUCCGGGACGUCCUGCAUUUCCUCAACGUCCAUCCUCAAGACCUGGGACCCAACUCCAUCAGCAACCUAUGCUAGUUCCAGGUCUUCUGCGAGGUAUAUUUGUAGAGAGAACCCGUGAUCCCCUUAUUCUGGAACUUUUUCCAUCUAAACCGCCAGACCGACUUUCCCAACGGUCCCAACCAUGAGCUUGGAGGAGUCAACAUCCAAAGAUGCCAUGAACGUGGAUUCCCGACAGUUCUUUUGCCCAGCCAUCCCAAAGGCUGGGCCGAGUCAUGGUUCUACUGCCGAGACACUUCUCCACCAGGCGAGAACCCUCUCCCGGGCUUCAGAGCAGACCGCCUGCCCAUGGAUUUCAAAUUUCCCGAUAAGCUCAUAGAAGAGGAAGAGUCGGAGUUUAUCCCAAUCUUCUCCGAGUUGAAAUCUCUGAACAACAACGGGCUCAUCGGGAUCGACCUAUUCUGUUGCUGGAUAGAAUGGAACAUCCUUCCCCUGAGUCGCCGUGGCGGGUUGAUGUAUGACUACGACGGUACAGUAGACCAUCCAGAGUGCGUCAGCCGCCACAGACUCUCAGAGAGCAAAAUCAUCGGAGUCAUCAAGAAACUAACCGGCGAGACUUUGGAAGAAUGCGCCAAGAUUGGUCUUAAAGCCUUCUGUCGCGCCAAUCCGGUGCCACCAGUAAGAAUCCAAGCCGCCCUUUGUAUUUUUUAUGCUUAACAAUGUUCUUGGCUUAAGAUUUUCCUCUAUCCAUCAGAAAACCAGUGUAUUUUGGCGAAGGGGCCCCAAAACAGCCGCCCUGAAAUCCACCAAGCCGCCGCCAAAAAAGAGGAAGACGGUGAGCAAAAAGAAAGCCGCCACAAAAGAUUCAUCCUUUGUUGGUGACUCACAAGCAGACGAAGCACACUCGGAGGUAAGGUUUCCCCCUCACUCAUCAUCUAUGUGUUCCGACUUACGUUUAUACCAUACAUCCUUAUGUGUAGGGCGAGGAUCAUGAGAGCAAAAGUGAUGCAAUCGAGGUAAUUUUCAUUUCUUCCGACUCACCUUCUCCUUCCCCUAGACCAGCCAGGCGGAUCUACAGAAAAGUGCCCAUGUCUCACGCAAAUGCUUAUAUGGACCCUGAUUUCCUUUUGAAGAAAGCAAGAUUCACCCCCUCGCGCAAGACUCGUAGUCGCUCUGGCGAGUUAAUCACCAGACUGCCUGACAAGACAGCCGGUCGGAAACGCACCAGCGAGGUAUAUUCUUGUUUUAUCAUACCCUUUGUCGUGUAAAAUAUGACUCGCCACUUUGUCAACCUCAAGCCUUUGUUCUGUCAGACUUCUCCCCUACAUCUGGCGACUCGGCAAUAUCUGCUCUCCCGCCGAUGAUUCAUGUGCAAGGGUGAGUUUUCUUUGCUAAUCCAAUUUUUCCUAAACAAUGAUAUGUGCUUUUAAUCUUGGUGCUUUUGUCGCAGGGCUCAAGCAAAGAGAAGAAAAACCGGCGACUCUCCUUCUGCUCAUCGAACAUCUCAUGCCUUAGGCACGAGCACCUCUGUUCUUGAGACUGAUGAGGACCAAACGGCGGCUUGUGACAUUCCUGCGGGCGAUAUUCCCGAAACCCGGGAUGACUCACCCGUCAUUUUGAAGGAGACCGCUGGUAAGAGUAACCCGCCAAUCCCUCUCAAGGCGACUGACGAUCUAGACGUCGUGGUCACUGGCAUUGGCUACUCCACUCAUCCAACUGUCGUGCUUUCGAAACAUACCUCCAAGGCAACUCGCCUUUCCCCUGAUGAAGACACAGAACCCCUCAAGCUCCCCCAAUAUGAGAAGGUGGAAUUCGACCAGCUUUGUUCCAGCUUCACAAGCCAUCUGGAGAGGGAUUUCGAACUGAACAAGAGCUUGCUCCAUCUUAUAAGGACUAAACAUGAGGUAUGUUGAUGUAUUUUCCUCCACCCAUUAGCCUUCCAAGGGCUGGCUCAUCUUUUGAAAGAUGAGUCGGGUCAUGUAUUUAGAGAAAAAACUUCAACCUGUAGCCCCCAAGGGUCGGGUCAUCUUUUGGAAGAUGAGUCGGGUCUUUGUAUUAGAGAAAAAGCUUCAACCUGUAGCCCCCAAGGGCCGGGUCAUCUUUUGGAAGAUGAGUCGGGUCUUUGUAUUAGAGAAAGAGCUUCAAUCUGUAGCCCCCAAGGGCCGGGUCAUCUUUUGGAAGAUUAGUCGGGUCUUGCAUACGGUAUGAUUUUGAUAAAAAUCAUACAUUAGCCCCCAAGUAUCAGGAGUAUUGCUUGCAAUAAUGUUGAAACUUGUCUCCCCAAAUUUGAUGUGUAGGAGUCUGUGACACAGACUGAGUCGGCGGUGGCCGACUUAAAGAAAAAUCUGGCUGAACAACAGGAUGCCCACUCCGAGUUGGAGACGAAAUUCCACUUACUGCAGGCUGAGCUAGAGAAGAUGAAGGUUGACCAGAAUUUUUUUGAGAAGAAAGCCAAGGCCGAUCAAGAUGCCAUUCAGAAGCGUGCUGAGCAGGCUGAAGAGAAAUUGGAAGCCGCCCAACAAGAGCUAACCGGCUUAAAAAAGCAUGUGUCCAAUAUGACAGUCGCCAUGUUUGGUAAGCGUUAUCCUUUAACUGUUUGACUAACCAAUCUGGUAUCAAAAACCAUCAAAUACUGAUGUACCCUUUGCAGGUGCAUGAGCCACUAAUCUUCCGGACGACUGCCUGCUUAAGUUAAAAGCCAUAUAUACCUUUGCUGAGCAGCUAUACACCGGGGGCGUGCUGUCAAUCAAGGCCGUGAUGGGCAACAAGGGACUAGUGAGGACCAUCAAGCAGAUGCUUGGCUUCUUGUCUACAUUGCCUCCUCAUAUAGAGGAGUUAAAAAGAUUAGCCGCCCGAAAGGGAGUGUUGAACACCCUGAGUUGGUGCUUAGCGUACGCCCCUGAGCUCAAAGCUGAAGAAAUAGCCGCCGGCUACCCCGAGCUGAAAGAUGAUGGGUCAGAGUUCACCGAGGUGGACUAUCACCGAACCAUCGUAGAAUCUCGCUAUGCGGCGACUCAACUGGCAGCCAGUUUAGAUCUGAACAAAUACCAAGCCGCUUAUGAUGAGAACAAAAAGAAGGUGACGCCUCCUUCAUAUGAAACUGCUAGCCUGGUUCCUAGUCGUCCCAAGAAUCCUUUUGAUCUUGACAUGGACCUAUCUCUCUUCCUUGAUGAUGAAGACGAGUUCAUUGCCUUGUCCAAGUGUAACUGGAAGCUGGGCGACUUACGAAUCGAAGGCGGGGAGAGCUCAAGGCAAGGCGACUCGGCGGUGGCCUGAUUUGCCCAUGGAUCCUUCCUUCACUGGGGGAUCACACCCAUUCUGGCCAUGUGAGCCAUGUAAUAGCCUUGUUAGUGUGUGUGGAACACCAAGUAUGUCGUAUUGUUUUUUGAUAGAACCACUGGUAGUCCUUGAAUUUUAUGCAUGACUCGCCUGCAAUAUUUUGAUAAACCAAGGAAUGUCUCAAUUUCUUUUCCUGGUAUGUUAGGAAAAACAGCAGCCGAGUCAGUAAGUGCAUGGCCAGGAAUAAACCAGCCCCUGGAUCAUGGCAAAAAAGAAAUUAGCCCCCGGGGUAUGGCGAGAAAUAAAUCAGCCCCUGGGUUACGGCGAGAAAUAUGAGUCGGGGCGAGUUAUAAUCAAAUCCGUCUCAAAGUAAAAAAAAAUCGACUCAGUGAGUUUCGAUAGGAUAAGACGAGUAUGCAAAACUCUAGUGUUACCCUUAGGAAGCUUUUGCAAAAAAGCCUUGUUGUUUUAGACCGGCUGAUCAGGCGCGAGUCAAGCUUCUGUGAAGCAGGUUCAAUGAACCAAUGGUUUUUGUAUUUUCCAUGUGUGACUCUGGCCGGUACCUUUUAUGUUUUAACCAAGGCGAGUUCAGGGUCCAAAUAACGGAUUGACUCGCCUUGAGUACAUAGGUCCAUGUGGCGACUUGUUCAACACACAGUCCAGUAUAACCAUUUGUAAUGCGGUAAUUUUUCGCUAGCCAAGAGGGUAUUCAGGCUGAACUCAAUGAGUGGAAGCCCCCAAGUGACCUAUGGUUUAUGAAGAAACCAGGCAUAGGAUUACAGAAGCGUAUACGCUCUUACUGCAAAACGACUUGGGGACUAGUAGCCUCCAAGUAAGCCGACUUAAUUCUCAAAACCAUAUAAGGCGCCUAUGUUUGGACCAUGCAACGUGGCAACGUUGGUCCUCUUUGGCUUUUAUCAAAGCCCAGUUUUGAAGCAAGUGCAGCAUGGCGACUUACGCUCUUUGACUUUGAUAGCAUCCAUGUUUGGGCGACUUACAGAACAAUAAAGACUCAUGCUUUCAAAAGCUGAAACGGCAAAGGACCCCAAAAUUCGUGGGUGCCGGCUUUAUUGCUUUCAUAAUUCAUGGAUUACAAUUUGCUGAAAACUGAUAAAGAAAAAAGAGGGAGCUCAUGGCUCUAAGUGUAGUAAGGCCGCAGAUGGGCUAUGUUCCAGGGGCGAGUUGUCUCAACCUCUGUAGUUGGCCGAUCUGGGCGAAGAUCCAUCAAAUAGUAUGAGCCGUUCCAAAGAUUCUUGCUGACGACAAACGGUCCUUCCCAUGGAGGUGAGAGCUUGUGCAUACCGGUAUGAUCUUGAAUCAAACGGAGCACCAAGUCGCCUUCUUGGAAAGCUCGGCUCUUGACCGGACGACUAUGAUAGCGUCGCAAGUCCUGUUGGUAAAUCGCCGAUCGUGACGCGGCUAAGUCACGUUCCUCCUCCAAAGCGUCCAACGAGUCUUGUCACGCCAACUCGUUGUCCUGCUCCACAUAGGCGGCGAGUCGUGGGGAAUCAUGUUUGAUGUCACUUGGUAACACCGCUUCUGCCCCGUAGACGAGAAAGAAAGGAGUAAAACUCGUGGAGCAGUUUGGAGUCCUCCUGAUACUCCACAAUACUGAUGGCAACUCCUCGACCCAACAUCCUGGUGUGCGUUCCAAAGUCACCAUGAGCCGAGGCUUAAUCCCCCGCAAUAUUUCCUGAUUCGCCCUCUCUGUCUGUCCAUUGGACUGGGGAUGUGCAACCGCGGAAACAUCGAGCCGGAUAUGCUCUCGUGAACAUAACUCUUGCAUCGCACCUUUGGACAGGUUAGUACCAUUGUCGGUAAUGAUACUAUGAGGAUAUCCAAAUCUGAAAAUCAGUUUCUUCAAGAACUUGACGGCCGUAUCAGUGCCACAACUGCUAGUAGGUUCCGCCUCCAUCCACUUUGUGAAUUUGUCAACCGCCACCAAUAGGUGAGUCUUUUUGGUGGAAGACAUCUUGAAGGGACCGACCAUAUCAAGCCCCCAGACUGCAAACGGCCAAGUGAUUGGUAUCAUCCGCAAUUCCUGAGCCCGCACAUGCAUGUGGCGUCCAAAUUUUUGGCAGCCAUCACAUCGGCAAACGAUCUCCUCUGCGUGUGCGUGAGCCAUCAGCCAAUAAAACCCAUGUCUAAAGGCUUUAGAAACCAAGGAUCAGGACCCAGCAUGAUGACCACAGUCGCCCGCGUGAAUCUCAUUGAGGAUCAUACAUCCUUCUUCAGAAGAGACGCAUCUUUGAAAUACCCCCGAGGUGGUUCAUUUGUGUAACCCGCCAUUGUGUAUGACCAUGGAUUUACACCGAUGGACGAUUUGGCAAGCUAGCAACUCAUCGGCUGGUAACUCGCCUCUGGUGAGGUAUGCCAUGUAGGGAAUCACCCAGUAUGGAGUAGCAUGAAGAGCCGCCACGAGUUGAGACUCGGGGUCUCGUCCCGCUAAAUCUUCCUCCGAAGGCAAUUUCAUUGAAGGGUUAUGUAAUAUAUCCAAAAAGACAUUGGGAGGAACCGGCUUACGCUGCGAACCAAGGCGGGAAAGAGCAUCCGCUGCUUCGUUAAGCCGUCGGUCGAUGUGAUCCACUUGAUAGCCAUUCAAGUGACCUACCACAUCUGACACAACUCGUCUGUAAGCCGCCAUUAGAGGGUCUCGUGAAUCCCAGGUGCCAGAAACCUGCUGCGCCAUCAGAUCUGAAUCGCCCAAUCAUCUCACUCGCGUGAGAUUCAUCUCUUUGACGAGUCGCAAACCAUGGAGCAAAGCUUCGUAUUCUGCUACAUUAUUGGUAAAUGGGAACAUGAGCCGAAGUACAUAGCAAAACUUGUCACCUUGAGGCGAAGUUAUCACCACACCAGCCCCCGAGCCUUCCAACUGUCUGGACCCAUCGAAAUAGAUGGUCCAAUACAUAAGAUCUGGUCUUUCCUCAGGGAUUUGUAACUCGGUCCAAUCAUUGAUGAAGUCCACGAGCGCUUGGGAUUUUAUGGUUGUCUGAGGCGUAUAUCAUACCUGAUGGGACCCAAGCUCGAUGGCCCACUUAGCAAUCCGUCGAGUAGCCUCUCGGUUAUGUAUGAUGUCGCCGAGGGGAGCGGAGCUGACGACCGUGAUCGGGUGUUCCUAGAAGUAAUGUUUCAGCUUUCGACUCGCCAUGAACACCCCAAAAACCAACUUUUGCCAAUGUGGGUAGCGUUGCUUGGAGAGGGUGAGGACCUCGCUGAUGAAAUACACCGGUCGCUGGACGGGGUACUCCUUUCCUUCUUCCUUUCGCUCGACAACUAGUGCCAAGCUAACUACUUUCGAAUUGGCUGCAAUGUAUAAGAGCAUAGGUUCCUUGUCUGCCGGAGCCGCCAACACUGGCGGGUUAGCUAACUGUCGCUUCAAAGCUUCGAAGGCUUCGUUGGCCUCGUCUGUCCAUACGAAACAAUCGGUUUUCUUGAGCAGCUGGUAGAGAGGGAUGGCCUUCUCCCCAAGGCAACUUAUGAAACGGCUCAAGGCCGCGAUUCGACCCGCCAUACGCUGCACCUGGUUGACGUUGGCUGGUUUCCCAAGUGAGGUUAUUGCCUCAAUCUUGUCCGGGUUGGUCUCGAUGCCACGUUCUGUCACCAAGAAACCCAAUAACUUCCCCACAGGGACACCAAACACACACUUGGUGGGGUUAAGCCUCAUCUGGUAAACGCGCAGGUUGUCGAAGGUUUCUUUGAGAUCCUCCAAGAGCGACUCCUUGUAGUGAGACCUGACCACGAUGUCAUCCACAUAAGCGUGGACGUUACAGCCUAUCUGGCUGUGUAAGCAGUUUUGGAUGCAGCGCUGGUAAGUCGCCCCCGUACUCUUGAGCCCAAACGGCAUGGACACGUAACAGAAAGCUCUGAAUGGGGUUAUGAAGGAUGUCUUCUCCUGAUCCGCCACCGCCAUCUUUAUCUGAUGGUAUCCCGAUUAAGCGUCCAAGAAGCACAGACGUUCGCAACCCGCCGUCGAAUCAAUAAUUUGAUCAAUGCGGGGAAGGGCGAAAGGAUCCUUCGGGCAGGCCCUGUUAAGGUCAGUGUAAUCAAUGCACAUGCGGAAAGUGUCAUUCUUCUUGAGCACCAUGACCGGGUUAGCCAUCCAUUGAGGAUGGAAAACCUCGAUGAUGAACCCAGCGGCAAGGAGCCGGGCUACUUCCUCUCCGAUCGCCUUACGGCGUUCUUCAUUAAACAUGCGAAGGUACUGUCGUACUGGCCUAACUUUAGGGUCAGUAUUAAGAUGGUGCUCAGCGAAUUCCCUCGGUACACCCGGCAUGUCAGAAGGUUUCCAUGCAAAGAUGUUCUGAUUCUCACGGAUGAAUUCGAUGAGAGCGCUUUACUAUUUAGGGUCGAAACCCGCCCCAAUAGUGACCUGCUUGGUGGAGUCGCCUAGCGUAAAGUCGAUAACCUUGGUGUCUGAUACGUCUCAAACGUAUCUAUAAUUUUUGAUGGUUUCACGCUGUUAUCUUGUCUUCUUUGGUUGUUUUAUGUACCUUUUAUAUCUUUUUUGGGACUAACUUAUUAAUUCAGUGCCAAGUGCAAGUUCCUGUUUUUUCCAUGUUUUUGACUCUUUUCAGAUCUGAUUUUGGAACGAAGUCCAAACGGAAGAAAAACCCAAAAUGAUUUUUUCCCGAACAAGAGAAGACCAGGGGGCUUUUGGGCCAAGCCAGGUGGGCUCCAGGGAGCCCACAAGCCCCCACUCCGCCACCAGGGGGGAGGCGACGCUGGGCAGGCUUGUGGCCUCCCUGGCCGCCCCCUCACCGAGGUCUUUGGCCUAUAAAUUCCCAAAUAUUCCGCAAAAAAUCAGGGGAGCCUCGAAAAUACUUUUCCGCCGCCGCAAGCUUCCAUUUCCGCAAGAUCUCAUCUGGAGACCCUUCCCGACGCCCUGCCGGAGGGGACUUUGGAGUUGUAGGGCUUCUUCAUCAUCAUCAUCGCCCCUCCAAUGACUCGUGAGUAGUUCACUUCAGACCUACGGGUCCGUAGUUAGUAGCGAGAUGGCUUCUUCUCUCUCUUGGCUCUUCAAUACAAAGUUCUCCAUGAUCUUCAUGGAGAUCUAUCCAAUGUAAUCUUCUUUGGCGGUGUGUUUGUCGAGAUCCGAUGAAUUGUUGAUUUGUGAUCAGAUUAUCUAUGAUAUAUAUUUGAGUCUUUGUUGAUUUCUUAUAUGCAUGGUUUGAUAUCCUUGUAAGUCUCUCUGAGUCUUGGGUUUUGUUUGGCCAACAUAUCUAUGAUUCUUGCAAUGGGAGAAGUGCUUGGUUUUGGGUUCUACCAUGUGGUGCCUUUCCCAGUGACACUAGGGGCAGCAAGGCACACAUCAAGUAGUUGCCAUCAAGGGUAAAAAGAUGGGGGUUUUAUCAUUGGUUUGAGAUUAUCCCUCUACAUCAUGUCAUCUUGCUUAAGGCCUUACUCUGUUCUUAUGGACUUAAUACACUAGAUGCAUGCUGGAUAGCUGUCGACGUGUGGAGUAAUAGUAGUAGAUGCAAAAAGUAUCGGUCUACUUGUUUCAGACGUGUUGAUCUUGAUUUUUUUUUCUGUAAGAGCUUUUGAGUUGAUUCUUUUUUAUGCUGAUUGCUACGAAAUGUUUUCAGACUGUUGUAAUUUUUCAGAAUUUGUGAAGUACCAGAGGUAUACGAAACAUACAGAUUGCUACAGACUGGUCUGCUGUUAACAGAUUCUGUUUUUGUUGUGUUGGUUGCUUAUUUUGAUGAAACUAUGGAUAGUAUCGGGGGGUAUUAGCCAUGGAAGAUUGAAAGUACAGUACCCCAACAUCAGCACAAGUAGAAUUUAAAGUUUGCUAUAGUACCUAAGGAAGUGGUGGUUUGAUUUCUUGUACUAAUGUUAUCACAAGUUUCUGUUUAAGUUUCGUGUUGUGAAGUUUUCAAGUUUUGGGAGAAGUUCUUAUGGACAAAGAAAUAAAGAGUGGAAAGAGAUCAAGCUUGGGGAUGCCCAAGGCACCCCAAGAGAUUCAAGGAUGCCGUAAAAGCCUAAGCUUGGGGAUGCCCCGGGAAGGCAUCCCCUCUCUCGUCUUCAAUCCAUCGGUAACGUUACUUGGGGCUAUAUUUUUAUUCACCACAUGUUAUGUGUUUUUUCUUGGAGCGUCUUGUAUCGUAGGAGUCUUUUUUUUGUGUCACAAUCAUCCUUGCUGCACACCUAGAGAGAGAGAGACAUGCACACACCAUGAUUUUGUCGAGCUUCACUUAUAUCUUUUGAGCUAGAUACUUUUGCUCUAUGUGCUUCACUUAUAUCUUUUAGAGCGCAACGGUGCGUGGCUUGGUAGUUGAUCUAUGCUUUGAAAGUAGUCUCAAAAGGGGUAGUUAUCCAAAGGGAUACGAAAAAUUCCACCUUCAUGUGCAUUGAAUAGUUAGAGAAGUUCGAUUCAUCUCAAUUAGUUUUGAGUUGUGGUUACUGAAUAUUGAAGUCAUGCUAGUAAGGUGUUGUGGAUCUAGAAAUACUUGUGUUGAAGCUAGUGAUUCCCGUAGCAUGCACGUAUGGUGAACCGCUAUGUGAUGAAAUCUGAGCAUGAUUAGUAUAUUGAUUGUCAUCCUUUGCGUGGCGGUCGGGAUCGCGCGAUGGUUUAUACCUACCAACCCUUCCCCUAGGAGUAUGCGUUGAAUGCUUUGUUUCGAUUACUAAUAGAACUUUUGCAACAAGUAUAUGAGUUCUUCAUUACUAAUGGUGAGUCCAUGGUUUAGAUGCACUUUCACCUUCCACCAUCACUAUCUUCUUAGUACCGUGCAACAUUCUUCGGUGCACAAAACCCACCAUUAGCCUCCCUCAAAACAGCCACCAUACCUACCUACUAUGGCUUUUUCAAAGUCAUUCCGAGAUAUAUUGCCAUGCAACUACCACCAUGACAUGUGCCACCACGUCUACAUUGCCAUUGCAUGAUCGUAAGAUAGCUAGCAUGAUGUUUCCAUUGAUGUCUAUGCCAUGCUAGAUCAUUACCACAGUACACUACCGAAGGCAUUCCAUAUAGAGUCAUAGUUGCUCUAAGUUUUGAGUUGAAAGUGUGAUGAUCAUCAUUAAUGGAGCAUUGUCCCAUGUGAGGAAAUAAAAGAGGCCAAAGAAGCCCACCAAAAAAAGGGGCCAAAGAGCCCACCAAAAAAUAAAAAAAAUGAGAUAAAAGAGAGAAGGGACAAUGCUACCACUUUUUCCACACUUGUGCAUAUUAAGCACCAUGAUCUUCAUGAUUGAGAGUCUCUCGUUUUGUCACCACCAUAUAGCUAGUGGGAAAUUUUCAUUAUAUAACUUGGCUUGUAUAUUCCAAUGAUAGGCUUCCUCAAAAUUGUCUUAGGUCUUCGUGAGCAAGCAAGUUGGAUGCACACCCACUAGUUCUCUCUAAGAGCUUUCACAUACUCGUAGCUCUAGUGCAUCAUUUGUAUGGCAAUCCCUACUCAUUCACAUUGAUAUCUAUUGAUGAGCAUCUCCACAGCUCAUUGAUAUGCCUAGUUAAUGUGACUAUCUUCUCCUUUUUGUCUUGCAACCUCCACUACAUUCCACACCAUUUAUAGUGCUAUAACCAUGGCUCACGCUCAUGUAUUGCGUGAGAGUUGAAAAUGUUUGAGAAAGUAAAGGUGUGAAACAAUUACUUGGCCAAUACUGGGGUUGUGCAUGAUUUAAAUUCGUUGUGCAAUGAUGAUAGAGCAUAGCCAGACUAUAUGCUUUUGUAGGGAUAACUUUCUUUUGGCCUUGUUAUUUUGAAAGUUCAUGAUUACUUUGCUAGUUUACUUGAAUUAUUCUUGUUUCCACAUCAAUAGCAAACUAUUGUUUUGAAUCUAAUGGAUCUGAACAUUCACGUCACAUAAGAGGAAUUACAAAAGACACAUAUGCUAGGUAGCAUGAAAGCAUCAAAAAUUCAUUCUUAUCACUUCCCUACUCGAGGACGAGCAGGAGUUAAGCUUGGGGAUGCUUGAUACGUCUCAAACGUAUCUAUAAUUUUUGAUUGGUUCACGCUGUUAUCUUGUCUUCUUUGCUUGUUUUAUGUACCUUUUAUAUCUUUUUUGGGACUAACUUAUUAAUUCAGUGCCAAGUCCCAGUUCCUGUUUUUUCCGUGUUUUUGACUCUCUUCAGAUCUGAUUUUGGAACGGAGUCCAAACGGAAGAAAAACCCCGAAAUGAUUUUUUCCCCAACAAGAGAAGACCAGGGGGCUUUUGGGCCAAGCCAGGUGGGCUCUAGGGAGCCCACAAGCCCCCACUCCACCACCAGGGGAGGCGGCGUUGGGCACGCUUGUGGCCUCCUUGGCCGCCCCCUGACCUAGGUCUUUGUCCUAUAAAUUCCCAAAUAUUCCGCAAAAAAUCAGCGGAGUCUCGAAAAUACUUUUCCGCCGCCGCAAGCUUCCGUUUCCGCGAGAUCUCAUCUGGAGACCCUUCCCGGCGCCCUGCCGGAGGGGACUUUGGAGUUGGAGGGCUUCUUCAUCAUCAUCAUCGCCCCUCCAAUGACUCGUGAGUAGUUCACUUCAGACCUACGGGUCCGUAGUUAGUAGCUAGAUGUCUUCUUCUCUCUCUUGGAUCUUCAAUACAAAGUUCUCCAUGAUCUUUAUGGAGAUCUAUCCGAUGUAAUCUUCUUUGGCGGUGUGUUUGUCGAGAUCCGAUAAAUUGUGGAUUUGUGAUCAGAUUAUCUAUGAUAUAUAUCCGAGUCUUUGCUGAUUUCUUAUAUGCAUGAUUUGAUAUCCUUGUAAGUCUCUCCGAGUCUUGGGUUUUGUUUGGCCAACUAGAUCUAUGAUUCUUGCAAUGGGAGAAGUGCUUGUUUUUGGGUUCUACCAUGUGGUGACCUUUCCCAGUGACAGUAGGGGCAGCAAGGCACACAUCAAGUAGUUGCCAUCAAGGGUAAAAAGCUGGGGGUUUUUAUCAUUGGUUUGAGAUUAUCCCUCUACAUCAUGUCAUCUUACUUAAGGCGUUACUCUGUUCUUAUGGAAUUAAUACACUAGAUGCAUGCUGGAUAGCGGUCGACGUGUGGAGUAAUAGUAGUAGAUGCAUAAAGUAUCGGUCUACUUGUUUCGGACGUGAUGCCUAUAGAAAUAAUCAUUGCAUAGAUAUCGUCACGACUUUGCACGGUACUAUCAAUUGCUCGACAGUAAUUUGUUCACCCAUCGUCUUCUUGCUUUCAUGAGAGAAGCCACUAGUAAACACUACCGCCCCCGGGUCUAUUCACAUCCAUCGUUUACACCUCCGCUUUUACUUUGCUUUGUUACUUUGUUGCUUUCUGUUCUCAUUUGGUAAACAAUCUAUAAGGGAUUGACAACCCCUUCAUAGCGUUGGGUGCAAGCUUUUGUGUUUGUGCAGGAUCUUGAGAUACUCUUCCGCCGGAUUGAUACCUUGGUUCUCAAACUGAGGGAAACACUUACCGUCGCUGUGCUACAUCACCCUUUCCGCUUCGAGGGAACACCAACGCAAGGCUCCAAGGCCACGGGGGAAUCCUUUGCAUACUUGCCUAGGAAGUCCCUUAAGGCAUAGCCGUUGCUGAAGGAUUCCUGGUGCCGUCGACACAACUAUUUCUUGGCGCCGUUGCAAGGGAUACACAACAAACAUCAGUUUCGUCCAUUGGUUUAAACUUGAGAGGCGGCUCAGAAUCGAUAGUUGGCCUUUUGAGCGGCGUCAUGUGUGCCGGGUCGACAUUGGAUUGGUGAAACUUGAGCUCCUCAGUCGCCCAAGCCGACUCGGCAUAAGCCGCAUCUCCUUCUUCACACUCUUGGGCUAUCUUCAUGUCGCCGUGGACGGCAAUAGGACCCUUGGGUCUAGGCAUCUUGAGCUUGAGAUAAACAUAGCAGGGGCGGGCCAUGAACUUGGCGUCCGCCGCCCGUCCAAACAGCGCAUGAUAGGGGCUCUUGAUUUUGACCACCUCGAACAGGAGGGACUCACUCCUGUAGUUUGACUCCGUGCCAAAAGCCACAUUAAGCUUAAUCCGCCCAAUUGGGUACGCCGACUUACCGGGGACAAUGCCGUGGAAGACCGUGGAUGAUGGCAUCAGGUCCUUCUCCAAGAGGUUCAUCCGGCGGAAAGUGUCGAAAUACAGGAUGUUGAUGUUGCUGCCCCCGUCCAUGAGGACCUUGGAGAGGGUGUACCCCCCGACUUGGGGAGCCACGACCAGGGCUAAGUCUCCAGGGUUGUCCGCUCAGGGUGGAUGGUCUUCCCGGCUCCAUGUGGUGGGUUGUUUUGACCAGUGAAGGUAUCGGGGAAGCGUCGGCUCAGCUACGAAAGUUCUAUGCUUCACCUUAUGAUCCCGCUUACAAGUGUUGGUGGUGAACACAUGGUACUGCCCACUGUUCAACUGUUUGGUGUUAUUUUGGAACCCGCCUCGAUCCUCCUGCCGCUGGGGGUCUCCUUGCGGGGGGGGGGGGUGUUGUUGGAACACUCCCGGUGGGUGGUACUGUUGGUUAUGAACUUGGUAUUGGGCAGCAUUGGGAUGUGACCCGCCCUAUGGUCCUUGGUUAGGAAAACCCCCGAACGUGACCUGACGUGACCCGGACGCACCGGGUUGUUCCUGUCGCUGGCCCUGCUCGCCGCCUUGACUUCUCCUGAGCGCCUCGGCCCGGAACUCUUGCAUCACGUAGCAGUCUUCCCACGAGUGAGUCGUCGGUCCUUCGGCCGUGGCGUGCUGCGGGCACGGGCCUUUGAGCAUUUCAUGGUAAUUACGCGGUUUUUUCCCACUAAAUCCCCGCUUCUUCUGGCAUGGGUUUGCGUUCCCAGUAUUAGUGUUAGCCAUAAAUUCCGUGGGACCUUCCUGUUGCCUCUUUGUCAUGCCCGCCAUGGUGAUGAUUGACCCGACUUUGAAACCGGGAGUGGCCCUUGUGUAACUCGCCCUUCCUCGCGGUACUAAUUUUGUCGUCACCCUCUCCAGGAUCCUUGGUAUUGUCUGACUCAACAUAUCUGGUAAGGGCAUCCAUUAACUUGCCCAUGUCCUGUACCUUUCUCUUAAGUCUCCCUAGCUUCAGUACCAAAGGUUCAUAAUGGCAGUUCUUUUCCAGGAUCAACACUGCCUGAGCCGCCGAAAUGCCUUCCGAUGAAUGAAUAACUUCCGCGACUCGCCGGGUCCAAUGAUGGGCCGACUCAUCCGGCCGCUAGAUGCAGUGCUGUAAGUUGACGAUAGUCAUUGGGCGCUUGCAUGUCCCUUUGAAGUUCUUGAUGAAGCGCUCCUUCAACUCCGCCCAAGUGUUGAUGGAGUUGGGUGGCAGGUUUUUCAACCACGUGUGUGCCGUCCCUUCAAGCAUCAUAGUGAAGUAUUUAGCGCAGACCGCCUCGCUUACGUCAAGCAUAUCCAUCGCGAGUUCGUAGCUCUCGAUCCAUGACCCGGGUUCGAGAUCCGACGAGUAAUUGGGAACCUUCCUGGGCCCUUUGAAGUCCUUCGGCAUGCGCUCGUUGUGCAAAACGGGCACGAGACACGAUACCCCAAUGUGCUUGCCCCCAACGUCCACGAGCGUGGGAGGGGACGGUAUGUAAGCCGGGUAAGCCUGUCCCGCCACGGCCGUUGGCUCCAUGUGCCGCACAGCUCGCGCUGCAUCUACAAUAUCCUGGGCUCGCGUGUCGGGCAUCCCGAGCGGGUCGUGUUAGGGGAGUUGCCGCGGCCCACUGGUUACUGCAGGGAAGUCCUCAUGGCGACUUCUCGUGUGACUUGCCUGAGGCGUGGAGUGGAGCCGCAAGGCUAUGGGAAUACUGCGCGUGCUGAACCACGGCCGUUUUAGCAUCUCGAUGGCGUUUCUGGCUUCUAUCUCGGCCGGGGUGUUUCCGUAGAUCGGAAGGGACUCCAGGUGGCGGGUUGCUGCCAGCACAUUGUCGACGGGAUUCGAGAAGUGACCCCGCGGCGUCUGGAACCAGGUCGCAUGGGCAUCCAUUGGCUGAGUCAGCGGCAGAUUGGGCAGUGGAACCGCUCCUCCCCUCGGGACAGUUUGUAAAGGUUGAUCAGGACCCGCCCCGGGGGUGCGUUGAGUGUUGAAAGAGGAGUUGGGUGUAAGUCAGCCGGGAUGCGCCCAUUGUGCCUCCUUUGGUGAACGGCGUCAGACGCGCGCUGCUGUAUCUCGAGCCACCAGCCUUCGGUGUUCAGCCGCUCUGUCUCUGCUGCGACCGCGGCUUGCUACGUCUCAAUCGUGGCGGCUUCUGCUUCCAUGUCACGCCGCGCCUUGGCCAUCGCCUCCUGCAGCUUAGUUAGCUCGGCGUUGACCGACUCCUGAUUUUCAGACGUGAUCGUGGUUGCCAUGAGGCUGGGUAUCUCUGCUGCUAGCUCCGUCAUGGUUUGAGCUGGGGGUUUGGAUGUUCCCUGAGUCUCGUUAUUGCCAGUUGGAUUCUGCUGAGGCUGGGCUGACCCCGCCAUAUAGAUGGCGAUUUGCCGGCGAUACCUCUCAAAGACUUCAGGAUCCAUUGCCAAGGACAGCCCCCCGAGCUGUCCUCCCUUAAGAGGAUGGAUCGAUUCCGUCUCACCCAUGGAUGACUCGCCAUCACAAUUGACAGGGGUGAUCUCCUAGCCUGCCACUUCGUCUUGCGCAUCGUCUCCAUGCGUAAAACCGACGAAAACAUGGCGACUCUUGUUCCUUCGUGUAACGGGGACGACAUACCUGGCCGGCUCGACGAUGUCGGUGGAGAUGUCCGGCUCAGGAACACGCGUCCCAAUCAUGCCGAUGAAGACAUUGAUCUUGCCGAAGGGGACUCGGUAGCCAGAUUCGACGGAAUCGGCCUCCGGCUCCCAUAGCGAGUUGUCGAUGUAGUACUUCCCGCGGCGGCUCUUAGUCAUGAUGCUGAUAUGUCUCCGUUGUAUCUAUAAUUUUUGAUUCUUUCAUGCCAAUAUUCUACAACUUUCAUAUACUUUUGGCAACUUUUUAUACUAUUUUUGGGACUAACAUAUUGAUCUAGUGCCCAGUGCCAGUUCCUGUUUGUUGCAUGUUUUUUGUUUCGCAGAAUAUCCAUACCAAACGAAGUCCAAACGUAAUAAAAACUUACGAGGAUUUUUUUUGGAAUAUUUAUGAUUUUUGGGAAGAAGAAUCAACGCGAGGCGAUGCACGGAGUGCCCACAAGCCCUGUCGCCGCGGCCAGGGGGUGGGCCCGCGGCAGGCAGGCUUGUGGCCACUCCUUAAGGAGGUUGGACCCCUUCUUUCGCUGCAAGAAAUAUAAUAUCCCGAAGAAAAUCGUGUUAAAAUUUCAGCCCAAUCGGACUUACGGAUAUCCGGGAAUUUAAGAAACGGUGAAACGCAGAAUCUGGGAGCGCAGAAACAGAAGGACACAGAGAGAGAGAUCCAAUCUCGGAGGGGCUCUCGCCCCUCCGCCGCCAUGGAUACCAUGGACCAGAGGGUAAACCCUUCUCCCAUCUAGGGAGGAUGUCAAGGAAUAAGAAGACGGAGGGGCUCUCUCCCCCUCUCUCCCGGUGGCGACGAAAUGCCGCCCUGGACAUAAUCGUGUGACGGCGAUCUACACCAACACCUCCGUCAUCUUCACCAACAUCUCCAUCAUCUUCCCCCAUCUAUAUUUAGCGGUUCACUCUCCCGCAACCCACUGUACCCUCUACUUGAACAUGGUGCUUUAUGCUAGAUAUUAUUAUCCAAUGAUGUGUUGCUAUCCUAUGAUGUCUGAGUAGAUUAUCGUUGUCCUAUCGGUAUUGAUGAAUUGCUAUGGUUGGUUUAAUUUGCUUGUGGUUAUGUUGUUGUCCUUUGGUGCCCAUCAUAUGACAGCGCGCGUGGAUCACACCAUAGGGUAAGUUGUAUGUUGAUAGGACUAUGUAUUGGCAGGCUAGAGUGACAGAAGCUUCAAACCUAGCAUAGAAAUUGAUGCAUAUGGGAUUGAAGGGGGACCAAUAUAUCUUAUUGCUAUGGUUGGGUUUUACCUUAAUGAACGUUAGUAGUUGCGGAUGCUUGCUAAUAGUUCCAAUCAUAAGUGCAUAGAAUUCCAAGUAAGGGAUGACAUGCUAGGAGAGGCCUCUCCCACAUGAUACUUGCUAUCGAUCUAGUAACGUAGUCAAUUGCUUAGGGACAAUUCCACAACUCCUACCACCACUUUUCCACACUCGUUAGACUAACGUAUUUGUUUCUUUUCUAACCAGCCCCUAGUUUUAUUUACGUGUUCUUUACUUUCUUGCAAGCCUUUCCUUUCGCUCCUACAAAGUACUUCUAGUUUCAUACUUGUUCUAGGUAAAGCGAACGUAAAGUGUGCCUAGAGUUGUAUCGGUGGUCGAUAGAACUUGAGGGAAUAUUUGUUCUCCCUUUAGCUCCUCGUUGGGUUCGACACUCUUACUUAUCGAGAAAGGCUACAAUUGAUCACCUAUACUUGUGGGUUAUCAAGACCUUUUUCUGGCGCCGUUGCCGGGGAGAGAUAGCGUGGGGUGAAUAUCCUCGUGUGUGCUUGUUUGCUUUAUCACUAAGUAGAUUUAUUUGCUGUUCUAAGUUGUUAUGUAUCUUUAGUUAUGGAUAUGGAACACGAAAUACCAAAAACAUUAGGUGUACUUGCUACUCAUGGAGAUGGGGAACCUCCUAAAACCCUCGAGGCUCGUUAUGUGGAAAAUACAAUGCACUUCUUUCAUAAUCCUGAGAAAUCCCCAUUCAAUUAUAUAAUGGGAUCGCGUUGGAUCAACGUGAAUACUUUAGGGAUUAUCGCUUGACUCAAAAAGGGAAACUUUUAUGGGAUCAAAUCCAUUUGUUGAAAUGGUAUGCUUGGGAACUAUGCAAGAGAUAUGGUGUUACUUGUUGCUCUAGGAUGAAGGCUCCACACCUUCCCUUUUCUUGUGAAUUUAAUGAUCAUAGAACCUUGGCUUCUUAUGCUAAUGGUAUAUAUGAUUACUAUGAUGUGGAUCAAAUAGAAGAGUUUGUUGCUUUUAUGGGUGCUUAUGAAAUUGAGGCUCUGUUUAAAAGGUGUGAUGAUAAUGAUGAUGCUCCUUACCAAUCUGAAAAUUUGGCUAUGCUUCGUUAUUGUUAUACUAAUUAUGAAUAUAAUGACCAUAUUGAACGAUUUAAGGAGAAAUCCUAUGCUGCCCAAGAAGAGACUAUUAUUUUGCAGGAAACUAUGGAAGAAGAAAAUGUAGAAAUUGUGAGCACAUUAGAUGAAAAAGAUGAAGAGGAGAGCGAAGAACAAAAGGAGGAAGAGCGGACUAGCUACCUGUGUCCACCUUCUAAUGAGAGUAACUCUUCUACUCAUACAUUAUUUAAUUUCCCUUCGUUCUUACCGAAGGAUGAAUGCUAUGAUCCCUUGGAUUCCUUUGAAAUAUCCCUUUUUUAUGAACUUGAUGCUUGCUACGCUUGUGGCCAUGAUGCCAAUAUGAAUGAUGCUUACGAAGAUGAGCUAGCUAUAGUUCCUUAUGUUACACAUGAUGAUUUUGAUGAAUAUAAUAUGCAUGUGCUUGCUGCUUCUACUUGCAAUUAUUAUGAGAGAGGAACUACAUCUCCACCUCUCUAUGUUUCCAAUACGAUAAAAUUGCAAGAAACUGCUUAUGCUAUGUAUUGGCCUUUACUUGGUGUGCAUGAAUUGUUAUUUUAUGACAUGCCAAUGCAUAGGAAGAGAGUUAUACUUCGUCAUUGCUUGAUAUAUGUUACCUUGUUCUCACUACUAAAUUUCAAAUCAUUGCUAAUUAAAAUUGGCUUUGAUAUACCUUGGGAUCCGGGUGGAUCCAUUACUUGAGCACUUUAUGCCUAGCUUAAUGGCUUUCAAGAAAGCGCUGCCUGGGAGACAACCUGGAAGUUUUAGAGAGUCAUUUAUUUCUAUUGAGUGCUUUUAUUUAGUUUAAAAACAAAAAAAUAUAGAGGGGAACUUAAAACUUUUUCAAAAAGAGAAGCGAUUGAAAGGUGAUGCAUUGCGGAUGUGGGGGUCGACCUUGAACACUUGUGUUCAUGCUCAUGGAAACAAUGUAGAAUUUUUCAUGGAAGUUUCUCACAAAAAUAAUUAUCCCCUUGUACAAUUCCUUUGUGUUUUUAAAAAUAAUGUGCCAAGCAAAGCCUUUACGAUUAGUUUGGGUGAUAGUUGUUUGAUCACGCUGAGAAAAGACAGAAACUUUCUGCUCACGAAGUUAAUUUUCAUUUUUAUUAUGGAAGAGCUUUUGAGUUGAUUAUUUUUUCUGCUAAUUGAUAUGCACAUUUUCCAGAAGUUCGUAAUGCUUCAGAUUUUUUGAGAUACGAGAAGUAUACGGAAUAUACAGAUUGCUACAGACUGUUCUAUUUUGGCAGAUUCUGUUUUCUAUGCAUUGUUCUCUUAUUUUGAUGAAUCUAUGGGUCAUAGACAUUCCGAGAUAUAUUGCCAUGCAACUACCCCGUUCCGUCUCAUGACAUGUGCAACCACUUCUAUAUUUCCAUUGCAUGAUCGUAAGAUAGCUAGCAUGAUGUUUCCAUGGCUUGUCUGUUUUUUGAUGUCAUUGCUAUGCUAGAUCAUUGUCACGGUACACUACCGAAGGCAUUUCAUCUAGAGUCAUCAUUGCUCUAAGUAUUGAGUUUUAAGUGUGAUGAUCAUUAUUAAUAGAGCAUUGUCCCAUGUGAGGAAAUAAAAGAGGCCAGUGAAGCCCACUUAAAAAAGAAAGGCCAAAGAUGCCCACCAAAAUAAAAAAAAUAUGAAAAAAGGCCAAAGAGCCUACAAAAAAAAUUGAGAGAAAAGAGAGAAGGGACAAUUUCUACUAUCCUUUUUCCACACUUGUGCUUCAAAUAGCACUAUGAUCUUCAUAACAGAGAGUCUCCUAUGUUGUCACUUCCAUAUACUAGUAGGAAAAUUUCAUUAUAUAGCUUGGCUUGUAUAUUCCAAUGAUGGACUUCCUCAAAAUUGCCCUAGGUCUUCGUGAGCAAGAAAGUUGGGUGCACACCCACUAGUUAUUUUGUGAGCUUUCAUACACUUAUAAGCUCUAGUGCAUCCGUUGCGUGGCAAUCCCUACUCACUAACAUUGAUAUCUAUUGAUGGACAUCUCCAUAGCCCGUUGAUACGCCUAGUUGAUGUGAGAUUAUCUCCUCCUUUUUGUCUUCUCCACAACCACCAUAUUCUAUUCCACCUAUAGUGCUAUGUCCAUGCCUCACGCUCAUGUAUUGCGUGAAAGUUGAAAAGGUUUGAGAACACUAAAGUAUGAAACAAUAGCUUGGCUAAAACCGGGGUUGUGCAUGAUUUAAAUACGUUGUGUGGGGAAGAUGGAGCAUAGUCAAACUAUAUGAUUUUGUAGGGAUAACUUUCUUUGGCCAUGAUAUUUUGAGAAGACAUGAUUGCUUUGUUAGUAUGAUUGAAAUAUUAUUGUCUUUAUGUCAAAUGAUAGACUAUUGCUUCGAAUCACUCGUGUUUUAGUAUUCAUGCCAUGAUUAGAUUAUAUGAUCAAGAUUAUGCUAGGUAGCAUUCCACAUCAAAAAUUAUCUUUUUAUCAUUUACCUACUCGAGGACGAGCAGGAAUUAAGCUUGGGGAUGCUGAUAGGUCUCCGUUGUAUCUAUAAUUUUUGAUUAUAUCAUGCCAAUAUUCUAAAACUUUCAUAUAGUUUUGGCAACUUUUUAUACUAUUUUUUGGACUAACAUAUUGAUCCAGUGCCCAGUGCCAGUUCCUAUUUGUUGCAUGUUUUUUGUUUUGCAUAAUAUCCAUACCAAACGAAGUCCAGAGGUAAUAAAAAUUUACGGGGAUUUUUUUGGAAUAUUUUUGAUUUUUGGGAAUAAGAAUCAACGCGAGGCGAUGCACGGAGUGCCCACAAGCCCUGCCGCCGCGGCCAGGGGGUGGGCCCGCGGCAUGCAGGCUUGUGACCACUCCUUAAGGCGGUUGGAGCCCUCCUUUUUCCGCAAGAAAGAUAAUAUCCGGAAGAAAAUCGUGUUAAAAUUUCAGCCCAAUUGGAGUUACGGAUCUCUGGGAAUUUAAGAAACGGUGAAACGCAGAAUCUGGGAGCGCAGAAACAGAAGGACACACACAGAGAGAUCCAAUCUCGGAGGGGCUCUCGCCCCUCCGCCACCAUGGAGACCAUGGACCAGAGGGGAAACCCUUCUCCCAUCUAGGGAGGAGGUCAAGGAAGAAGAAGAAGGAGGGGGGCUCUCUCCCCCUCUCUCUCGGCGGCGCCGGAAUGCCGCCCGGGACAUCAUCGUGUGACAGAGAUCUACACCAACACCUCCGUCAUCUUCACCAACAUCUCCAUCAUCUUCCCCCAUCUAUAUUCAGCAGUUCACUCUCCCGCAACCCGUUGUACCCUCUACUUGAACAUGGUGCUUUAUGCUACAUAUUAUUAUCCAAUGAUGUGUUGCUAUCCUAUGAUGACUGAGUAGAUUAUCGUUGUCCUAUCGGUGAUUGAUGAAUUGCUAUGGUUGGUUUAAUUUUCUUGUGGUUAUGUUGCUGUCCUUUGGUGCCCGUCAUAUGAUUGCGCGUGUGGAUCACACCAUAGGGUAAGUUGUAUGUUGAUAGGACUACGUAUUGGCUGGCUAGAGUGGCAGAAGCUUCAAACCUAGCAUUGAAAUUGAUGCAUAUGGGAUUGAAGGGGGAGCAAUAUAUCAUAUUGCUAUGGUUGGGUUUUACCUUAAUGAACGUUAGUAGUUGCGGAUGCUUGCUAAUAGUUCCAAUCAUAAGUGCAUAGAAUUCCAAGUAAGGGAUGCCAUGCUAGCAGAGGCCUCUCCCACAUGAUACUUGCUAUCGAUCUAGUAAUGUAGUCAAUUGCUUAGGGACAAUUCCACAACUCCUACCACCACUUUUCCACACCCGUUAGACUAACGUAUUUGUUUCUUUUUUUAACCAGCCCCUAGUUUUAUUUACGUGUUCUUUACUUUCUUGCAAGCCUUUCCUUUCGCUCCUACAAAGUACUUCUAGUUUCAUACUUGUUCUAGGUAAAGCGAACGUAAAGUUUGCGUAGAGUUGUAUCGGUGGUCGAUAGAACUUGAGGGAAUAUUUGUCCUGCCUUUAGCUCCUCGUUGGGUUCGACACUCUUACUUAUCGAGAAAGGCUACAAUUGAUGCCCUAUACUUGUGGGUUAUCAGAUGCUGACCGCAUAGAUUUCUAACCCCGAUAGGGCUCCCUUCGAGAACUCAACUUCACCGUGCGCUAGCCCCACGGUGGGCGCCAACUGUCAUGGUUUUGUCACGGAAGAUGUCCUCGUGAAAGGACUUAGAGAUGGAGCCAUCGCACCUUGGUGGCGACUCGAAGGGGGUGAGCAAAAGAGAGACUCGGAUUUACCCAGGUUCGGCCCCUCGUGAGGAGGUAAAAGCCUACGUCCUGCUAUGUAUGGAUUAAUGGUGGUUUCGAUUACAAGGAGGGCGUAAACUCGCCUGACCUAGCUCUCGAUUCCCUCUAACUCGCCUGACCUCUCCCUGGGACUCGCCUUUAUAUACAGGUCGAGGCCCUAGGGUUUACAAAGUCCUGCUAUUCUACUCCUUGUAGCUUUCCUUAUAUCUAAGUCGUCGUGUUCCCCACGAUCAGGAGCUUCCUUGAUAUCCCAUCAUCCGCACAAUCUUUUGAACCGCCCUUCAGCUCCCAGGGCAUGAAACGCGCAACUAAUGAUGAGUCGCCCCUUUGGUGACCCGGCCCAUUAAGGGCGGGUUACCUAUACGUAAUAUCCCCAACAGAGAUGGAACUAGAAAGUAACCUAUUGGAAGUAAUACAUUUAGAUGUAUGCAGUCCAAUGAGUGCUGAGGCACGCAGUGGAUAUCGUUAUGUUCUUACUUCACAGCACAUCUGAAUUAUUGAAAGGUUCAAGUAGUUUCAGAGUGAAGUUGAAGAUUGUCGUGACAAGAGGGUAACGUGUCUACGAUAUGAUCAUAGAGAUGAAUAUCUGAGUUCCAAGUUUGGUACACAAUUAAGACAAAUGUGAAAAGUGUUUCACAUCUCAUGCCACCUGGAACACCAUAGUGUGAUGGUGUGUCCGAAUGCCAUAGUCGCGCCCUAUUUGAUAUGGUGCAUACUAUGAUGUCUCUUAUCGAAUUACCACUAUCAUUUAUGGGUUAUGCAUUAGAGACAACCACAUUCACUUUAAAUAGGGCACCACGUAUUUCCGUUGAGAUGACACCAUAUGAACUAUGGUUUGGAGAAACCUAAGUUGUUGUUUCUUAAAAGUUUGGGGUUGCGAUGCUUAUGUGGAAAAGUUUCAGCAUGAUAAGAUCGAACCCAAAGCGGAUAAAUGCAUCUUCGUAGGACACCCAAAACAGUUGGGUAUACCUCCUAUCUCAGAUCCGGAAGCAAAGUGUUUGUUUCUAGAAACGGGUCCUUUCUCGAGGAAAAGUUUCUCUCAAAAGAAUUGAGUGGGAGGGUGGUGGAACUUGAUGAGGUUAUUGAACCGUCACUUCAACCAGUGUGUAGCAGGGCACAGGAAGUUGUUCUUGUGGCGCAUACGCCAUUUGAAGUGGAAACUGAUGAUAGUGAUCAUUAAGCUUCGGAUCAAGUUACUACAAACCUCGUAGGUCGACAAGGUCGUGUACUGCUACAGAGUAGUUCGGUAACUGUCGUGGUUUUGUCACGGCAGAUGUCCUCAUACAAGGACUUAGGUGUGAGGCCAUCGCAAGUCGGAAUCGAGAGACGUGAGUUUACCCAGGUUCGGCCGCUGGAUGCAGUGCUGUAGGUCAACGGUGGUCAUCGGGCGCUUGCAGGUCCCUUUGAAAUUCUUGAUGAAGCGCUCCUUUAGCUCCACCCAAGUGUUGAUGGAGUUGGGCGGCAAGUUUUUCAACCAUGCGCGCGCCGUCCCCUCAAGCAUCAUAGUGAAGUAUUUAGCGCAAACUGCCUCGUUCACAUCAAGCAUGUCCAUCGCGAGCUCGUAGCCCUCGAUCCAUGACCUGGCUCGAGGUCCGGCGAGUAAUUGGGGACCUUCCGGGGCCCUUUGAAGUCCUUCGGCAUGCACUCGUUGCGCAAAGCUCGUGCAAGGCACGAUACCCUGAUGUGUUUGCCCCCGGCAUCCAGGGGCGCGAGAGGUGACGGCACGCCAGCCAGGUAAACCUGAACCGCUGUUGUUGUGGGCUCUAACUGACGCGCGGCUCGCGUCGCAUCCACAAUAUCCUAGGCUUGCGUGUCGGGCAUUCUGAGCGGAGCGUGUUGAGGGAAUCGCCGCGGCCCACUUGUUACUGCGGGGAAGUCCUCAUGGAGACUUCUCGUGUGACUCGCCUGAGGCGUGGAGUGUAGCCGAUCAAGGCUAUGAGAAUACUGUGCAUGCUGAACCACGACCGUCUUUAGCAUCUCGAUGGCGUUUCUGGCUUCUAUCUCGGCCGGGGUGUUUCCGUAGAUCGGAAGGGACUCGAGGUGGCGGGUCGCUGCUAGCACAUUGUCCACGGGAUUCGAGAAGUGACCCCGUGGCGUUUGGAACCGAGUCGCAUGGGAAUCCAUUGGCUGAGGCGGCGGCGGAUUGGGUGGUGGAACCGCUCCUCCCCUCGGGGUGGUUUGUAAAGGUCGAUCAGGAAUCCCGCCCCGGGGGUGCGCGAGGUGUCGAAAAGGCGAGUUGGUGUAAGUCGGCCGGGAUGCGCCCAUUAUGCCUCCUUUGGUGAAUGGUGUCAGAUGCGCGGUGCUGUCUCUCGAGCCGCCAGCCUUUGGUGUUCAGUCGCUUCGUCUCUGCUGCGACCGCAGCUUGCUGCGUCUCAAUCCUGGUGGCUUCCGCUUCCAUGUCCCGCUGUGCCUUGGCCAUUGCCUCCCGCAUUUUAGCUAGCUCGGUGUUGACAAACUCCUGAUUCUCCAACGUGAUCGUGGUUUCCAUGAGGCUAGCGAUCUCCGCCGCUAGCUCCGUCAUGGUUUGCGCUGGAGGUUUGGAUGUUCCCCCGGUCUCGUUUUUGCCAGUUGGAUUCUGCAGAGGCUGCGCUGACCCCGCCAUGUAGAUGGCGAUUUGCCGGCGAGACCUCUCGAAGACCUCGGGAUCCAUUGCCAACAACAGCCCUUCGAGUUGUCCUUUCUUAAGAGGGUGGAUCGAUUCCAUCUCACCCAUGGAUGACUCACCAUCAGAAUUGACGGGGGUGAUCUCCUGGUCCGCCGCUUCGUCUUGCACGUCGUCUCCCUGCAUAAAACCGACGAAAACAUGGCGACUCCCGUUCCACCGUGUAACGGGGAGGACGUACCUGGCCGGCUCAACAAUGUCGGUGGAGACGUCCGGCUCAGGCACAGGUGUCUCGAUCAUGCCGAUGAAGAAGUUGAUCUUGCCGAAGGGGACUCGGUAACCAGAUUCAACGGAAUCGGCCUCCGGCUCCCACAGCGAGUUGUCGAUGUAGUACUUCCCGCGGCGGCUCUUAGUCAUGAUGCCGACCGCAUAGCUUUCUAACCCUGGUAGGGCUCCCUUCGAGAACUCAACUCCAAUGUGCGCUAGCCCCACGGUGGGCGCCAACUGUCAUGGUUUUGUCACGGGAGAUGUCCUCGUGAAAGUACUUAGAUAUGGAGACAUCGCACCUUGGUGGCCACUCAAAGGGGGUGAGCAAAACCGAGACUCAAAUUUACCCAAGUUCGGCCCCUCGUGAGGAGGUAAAAGCCUACGUCCUGCUAUGUGUGGAUUAAUGGCGGUUUCGAUUACAAGGAGGGCGUAACUCGUCUGACCUAGCUGUUGAUUCUCUCUAUCUCGCCUGACCUCUCCCUGGGACUCGCCUUUAUAUAUAGGUCGAGGCCCUAGGGUUUACAAAGUCCUGCCAUUCUACUCUUUGUAGCUUUCCUUAUCUCUAAGUCGCCGUGUCCCCCACUAUCAGGAGCUUCCUUGGUAAUCCAUCAUCCGCACGAUCUCUUGAACCACCCUCCAGCUUCUGGGCCAUGGGACGUGCAGCUAAUGGCGAGUCGCCCCUUUGGUGACCCGGCCCACUAGGGGCGGGUUACCCAUAGGUAAUAUCCCCAACGGUAACCCUGUCUUGGAGGUCAUGUUGUUGAACAAUAAUGAAUCUACGAGCUAUGGAGAAGCGAUGGUGGGCCCGGAUUCUGACAAAUGGCUGGAGGCCAUGAAAACUGAGAGAGGAUCCAUGUAUGAAAACAAAGUGUAGACUUUGGAAGAACUACUUGACGGUCGUAAGACUGUUAAGUACAGAUGGAUCUUUUAAAGGAAGACAUACGAUGAUGGUGAAAGUCACCAUUAAGAAAAGCUCGACUUGUCGCAAAGAUGUUUCUGACAAGUUCAAACAGUUGACUAUGAUGAGACUUUCUCACUCGUAGCGAUGCUAAAAGUCUGUUGGAAUUAUGUUAGCAGUUGCUGCAUUAUUUAUGAGAUAUUGCACAUAGGAUGUCAAAACAUUAUUUCCUCGACGGUUUCCUUGAGGAAAGGUUGUCUGUGAUACAACCAGAAGGUUUUGUCGAUCCUAAGGGUGAUAACAAGUAUGCAAGCUCCAGCGAUCCUUCUAUGGACUGGUGCAAGCAUCUCGGAGUUGGAUAUACGCUUUGAUGAUCAAAGCUUUUGGGUUUAUACAAGGUUUAUGAGAAACUUGUAUUUUCGAAGAAGUGAGUGGGAGCACUAUAGAAUUUCUGAUAAGUAUAUGUGGUUGACAUAUUGUUGAUCGGAAGUAAUGUAGAAUUUCUGUUAGCAUAAAGGGUUGUUUGAAAGGAGUUUUUCAAAGGAAAACAUGAAUAGAGCUACUUGAACAUUGAACAUCAAGAUCUAUAGAGAUAGAUCAAAACGCUUAAUAGAACUUUCAAUGAAAUGCAUGCCUUGACAAGUUUUUGAAGGAGUUCAAAAUAGAUCAGCAAAAAAGGAGUUCUUGGUUGUGUUGUAAGGUGUGAAUUUGAGUAAGACUCAAAACCCGACCACGACAGAAGAAAGAGAAAGGACGAAGGUCGUCCCCUAUGCCUUAGUCGUAGGCUCUAAAGUAUGCCAUGUUGUGUAUCGCACCUCAUGUGUGCCUUGCCAUGAGUGUGUCAAGGGGUACAAAGAGUGAUCCAGGAUUGAAUUACUAAAACAACGGUAAAAGUUAUCCUUAGUAACUAGUGGACUAAGGAAUUUUUCUCGAUUAUGGAGGUGAUUAAGGAGUUCGUAGUAAGGAGUUACGUCGAUGCAAGCUUUGACACUAAUCCAAAUAACUUUGAGUAGUAAACCGGAUUCAUAUAGUGGAGCAGUCAUUUGGACUAGUUCCAAAUGGUGCGUGGUAGCAGCAUCUAUAGGAUGAAAUAGAGAUUUGUAAAGCACACACGGAUCUGGAAGGUUCAGACCCAUUGACUAAAAACCUCUCUCAUAAGCAAGAUAUGAUCAAACCCCAUAACUGUAUGGGUGUUAGAUUCAUUGCAAUCACAUAGUGAUGUGAACUAGAUUAUUGACUCUAGUGCAAGUGGGAGACAGUUGGAAAUAUGCCCUAGAGGCGAUAAUAAAUUGGUUAUUAUUAUAUUUCCUUGUUCAUGAUAAUCGUUUAUUAUCCAUGCUAUAAUUUUAUUGAUUGGAAACUCAAAUACAUGUGUGGAUACAUAGACAAAACACUUUCCCUAGUAAGCCUCUAGUUGACUAGCUCGUUGAUCAAAGAUGGUUAAGGUUUCCUAGCCAUAGACAAGAGUUGUCACUUGAUAACAGAAUCAUAUCAUUAGAAGAAUGAUGUGAUGGACAAGACCCAAACUAUAAACGUAGCAUAUGAUCGUGUCAGUUUAUUGCUACCGUUUUCUGCAUGUCAAUGUAUCUGUUCCUAUGACCAUGAGAUCAUGCAACUCCCGGACAACGGAGGAAUACCUUGUGGGUUAUAAAAUGUUGCAACGUAACUGGGUGACUAUAAAGGUGCUCUACAGGUAUCUCCAAAGGUGUCUGUUGGGUUGGCAUGGAUCAAGACUGGGAUUUGUCACUCCAUGUGACGGAGAGGUAUCUCGGCGCCCACUCGGUAAUACAACAUCACAACAAGCCUUGCAAGCAAUGUGACUAAGGAACUAGUUACGGGGUCUUUUAUUACGAAACGAGUAAAGAUACUUGCCGGUAAAGAGAUUGAACUAGGUAUGGUGAUACCGGCGAUCGAAUCUCGGGCAACUAACAUACCGAAGGACAAAGGGAAUAUUAUACGGGAUUAUAUGAAUCCUUGACAUAUAGGUUCAACCGAUAGAGAUCUUCGUAGAAUAUGUAGGAGCCAAUAUGGACAUAUAGGUCCCGUUGUUGGUUACUGACAGGGGAGUGUCUCAGAUCAUGUAUGCAUAGUUCUCGAACCCACAGGGUGUGCACACUUAAGGUUCGGUGACGUUUCGGUAUAGUUGAGUUAUAUGUGUUGGUGACCGAAGUUUUGCUCAGAGUCCUGGAUGAGAUCCAGGACGUCACGAGCAGUUCCGAAAUGGUUUGGAAACGAAGAUUGAUAUAUAGGAAGUUGGUAUUUGGAUUCCGGAAGGUUUUCGGGCAUUGCCCGCAGUGUACCGGGAGUGACGAAUGGGUUUCGAGGGCCCACUGGGUGGGACCACCACGCCCCAAGGGGUCCACAUGGGUUUAUUGGAUGCGCAAUAAGGCAUAAUGGAAUGACAAAGUCAUCCAAGGAAAUCCCAUGAGGAAAAAGUGGAAAAUCCAAAAGAGGUGGGAAAUAUAGGAAGGAGUCCUAAUCCAAUUGGGAUUGGAGGAGGACUCCUCCCUCCUCCACUUCGGACGACCCAAGGGAGCCUCCCUUGUGGCGCCAAUGCUGCCUCCUCCCUCCUCCUAUAUAUACUAGAGGUUUAGAGCCUUUUGAGACACAACUUUGCCACGUGCUGCCCUCUCCUCUAGAUCGUAGUUCUUCCUCUAGAUCAGUUUUCUGCGGAGCUCGGGCGGAGCCCUGCAGGAAUAGAUUAUCACCAUCACCGGCGUGUCGUCACGCUGCCGGAGAACUCAUAUACUUCCCCGCCCCUCUUCCUGGAUCAAGAAGGUGGAGAUCGUCAUCAAGUUGUACGUGUGCGGGACGCAGAGGUGUCGUCCGUUCGACACAUGAUCGGAACGGAUCGCGAGACGGUUCGUGGGACGAAUCGUGGGACGGUUCGUGGGACGGAUCGUGAAGACGUACCAUUACAUCAACCGCGUUUAAUAACGCUUCCGCUUAGCGAUCUACAAGGGUAUGUGGAUCCGAUCUCCCUCUCGUAGAUGAACAUCACCAUUAUAGGUCUUCGUGUGCAUAGGAAAUUUUUUGUUUCCCAUGCAACGUUUCCCAACAAGAACCAAGGUAUCAAUCCAGUAGGAGGAACAAGCAAGGCCCCAAUCUUAGCACCUACACAAACAAUAAAACACUUGCACUCAACACUAAAAAGGGGUUGUCAAUCCCUUCACGGUUAUUUGCAAGGAUGAGAUCUGAUAGAGAUAGAUAUAAAAAUUGCUAGAACUAAAAGUAAAAUAAAAGUAAAUAAAUGGCAGCAAUAUAUUUUUCGUAUUUUUGGUUUAUAGAUCUGAAAGUAUAAUAUGGAAAAUAGACCCGGGGGUCAUAGUUUCACUAGAGGAUUCUCUCAUGAAGGAAAAUAAUACGGUGGGUGAACAAAUUACUAUCGAGCAAUUGAUAGAAAAGAAAAUAAUUAUGAAGAUAUCCAAGGCAAUGAUUAUGCAUAUAGGCAUCACGUCCGUGUCAAGUAGACUGAAACGAUUCUGCAUCUACUACUAUUACUCCUCACAUCGACUGACUCCUGCCGGCAUCUAGAGUAUUAAGUUCAUGAAGAAUAGAGUAACCCAUUAGGUAAGAUGACAUGAUGUAGAGGGAUAAACUCAAGCAAUAUGAUGAAAACCCCAUCUUUUUAUCCUCGAUGGAAACAAUGCAAUACGUGCCUCGGUACCCCUACUUUUUCACUGGGUGAGGACACCGCAAGACUGAACCCAAAACUAAGCACUUCUCACAUUGCAAGAAUUACCAUUCUAGUUGGCCAAACCAAAUCAAUAACUCGAAGAGACUUGCUAAGAUAUGAAAUCAUGCAUAUAAGAAUUCAGAGAAAGAUUCAAAUAAUGUUCAUGGAUAAUCUAAACAUACACCCACAAUUCAUCGGAUCUCGACAAACACACCGCAAAAUAGUAUUACAUCGGAUAGAUCUCCAUAAAAAUCAUGAAGAACAUAGUAUUGAAGAACAAAGAGAGAGAAGAAACCAUCUAGCUACUAGCUAUAGACCCGUAGGUCUGUAGUGAACUACUCACGCAUCAUCGGAGGGGCAAUGGAGUUGAUGUAGAUGCCCUCCAUGAUCGAUCCCCUCUCUGACAGAUUAUCGGAAAAGGCUCUCAGAUUGGAUCUCACGGGAAGAAAGGCUCCCGGCGGCGGAAAAGUAUUUUUUGGUUUCUUUUUGGUAUUGGUGGAAUAUUUUGGAAUUUAUAGGAUGAAGAUUAGGGUUAGGAGGCCUGGAGGGGGCCCACAAGGAGGGCGCCCCUACGGGCUUGUCGUCUCCCGGCAGGUCUCCUGCCCUCUUCUCCAAGUCUGGCAGGUUUCUUCUGGUCCAAGAAAAAUCAUUCCGGAGAUUUUGUUCAGUUUGGACUUCGUUUAAUAUUCCUUAUCUCCAAUACUCAAAAACAUGAAAAAACAUAAACUGGCACUAGGCUCUAGGUUAAUAGGUUAGUUCCAAAUAUAAUAUAAAAUAGCAUAUUAAUGCAUAUGAAACAUCCAAAACAGAUAAUAUAAUAGCAUGGAACAAUCAAAAAUUAUAGAUACGUUGGAGACGUAUCAAGCAUCCCCAAGCUUAAUUCCUGCUCGUCCUCGAGUAGGUGAAUGAUAAAAACAGAUUUUUUGAUGUGGAAUGCUACCUAACAUAUUUAUCCAUGUAAUAUUAUUUAUUGUGGCAUGAAUAUUCAAAUCCAUAAGAUUCAAAACAAAAGUCUAAUAUUGACAUAAAAACAAUAAUACUUCAAGCAUACUAACAAGGCAACUGUGUCCUUUCGAAAUAACAUGGUCUUAGAAAGUUAUCCCUAUAAAAUCAUAUGGUCUGGCUAUGCUCCAUAUUCCCCACACAAAGUAUCUAAAUCAUGCACAACCCCGAUGAAAGUCAAGCAAUUGUUUCACACUUUUUAUGUUCUCAAACCUUUUCAACUCUCACGCAAUACAUGAGCGUGAGCCAUGGAUAUAGCACUAUAGUGAAAUAGAAUAUGGUGGAGGUUGCAAAAAGAAAGAGGAGAAGAUAGUCUCACAUCAACUAGGCGUAUCAACGGGCUAUGGAGAUGCCCAUCAAUAGAUAUAAAUGUGAGUGAGUAGGGAUUGCCAUGCAACAAAUGCACUAGAGCUAUAAGUGCAUGAAAGCUCAAAAAGAAAACUAAGUGGUUGUGCAAAAGAUGAAAUUCCACUAGUUAUAUGAAAGUGACAAAAUAGGAGACUCUCUAUGAAGAACAUGGUGCUAGUUUGAAGCACAAUUGUGGAAAAAUAUAGUAGCAUUGUCCCUUCUCGCUUUAUUUCAUUUUUUAUGGGCUUCGCUCGCCUCUUUUAUUUUUGUAAAGUCCGGAGACUCAUCCCAACUUGUGAAGGAAUCAUAGCUUCCAUCCUCCUUUUCUCACACGGGACAAUGCUCUAAUAAUGCAAAUCAUCACACUUUUAUUUACUUACAACUCAAAGAUUACAACUCGGUAUCUACAACGGGACGGUGGUGUUGCAUGGCAAUAUAUCUCGGAAUGGCUAUGAAAAUGCCAUAAUAGGUAGGUAUGGUGGCUGUUUUGAGGAAACUAUAUGGUGGCUGUUUUGAGGAAGGUGGGUUUAAUAUACCGGCAAAAGUUGUGUGGUACUAGAGAGGCUAUCAAAGGUGGAAGGGUGAGAGUGCGUAUAAUCCAUGAACUCAACAUUAGUCAUAAAUAACUCACAUACUUAUUGCAAAAGCCUAUUGGUUAUCGAAGCAAAGUAUUAUACGCAUGCUCCUAGGGGAAGUUAACCAUCGCGCGAUCCCGACUUCCACACAAAGGUUGACACUCAUUAAACAAAUCAUGCUCCGACUUCAUCACAUAACGGUUCACCAUACGUGCAUGCUACGGGAAUCACAAGCUUUAACACAAGUAUUUAUUCCAAUUCACAAUUACUUACUAGCAUGACUCUCAUAUUACCAUCUUCAUAUCUCAAAACUAUGUGCAAGGAAUCAAACUUCUCAUCAUAUUCAAUGCACUUAAUAUGAAAGUUUUUAUUAUAUGCCUCUUGGAUGCCCAUUAUAUCAGGACUAAAUUCAUAACCUAAACCAAUUACCAUGCUGUUAAAGACUCUCAAAAUAAUAUAAGUGGGGUACGAGAGUUUAAUAAUUUCUAUAAAAUAAGACACCGUCGUGCUCUAAAAGAUAUAAGUGAAGCACUAGAGCAACAUUGCCUAGCUCAAAAGAUAUAAGUGAAGCACAUAGAGUAUUCUAAUAAAUUCACGAUUUAGCGUGCCUCUCUCAAAAGAUGUGUGCAGCAAGGAUGAUUGUGACAAACUAAAAAGUAAAGACUCAUAUCAUGUGGUGAAUAAAAAUAUAGCCUCAAGUAAAUUUACCGAUGGAUUGAAGACGAAAGAGGGGAUGCCUUCCGGAGCAUCCCCAAGCUUAGGCUCUUUAGUAUCCUUGAAUAUGACUUGGAGUGCCUUGGGCAUCCCCAAGCUUAGGCUCUUUCCACUCCUUAUUCCAUAGUCCAUCAAAUCUUUACCCAAAACUUGAAAACUUCACGACACAAAACUCAACAGAGAACUCAUGAGAUCCGUUACUAUAAGAAACAUAAAUCACCACUUUAGGUACUGUUGUGAACUCAUUAUUUAUUUAUAUUGGUGUAAUAUUUACUGUAUUCCAACUUCUCCAUGGUUCAUCCCCCCCGAUACAACCCAUAGAUUCAUCAAAAUAAGCAAACAACACAAAGAAAACAAAAUCUGUCAAAAACAGAACAGUUUGUAGAAAUCUAUAAACUUCGAAUACUUAUGUAACUCCAAAAAUUCUUAAAAAAUAGGAAAAUGAGUGAAAUUUGUAUAUCAAUCCUGUGUCAAACAAUUCAGAUCAAACACACGUUCCAGUUAAUUUACAAAAUUCCUGGACUGAGAGCGAAAGUUUCUGUUUUUCAGCAAAAUAAACUUGCAAACACCAUAGACCAUCCCAAAGGUCUUACUUGGAUAAAACACUAACUAAAACAAGAAAACACAAUUAUUACAAAGGUAAUAAUGUGUGCAACACUCAAAAAUAGAAGCAAAAACAAAAACAUAGAAAUAAAAUUGGGUUGCCUCCUGACAAGCGCUAUUGUUUAACGCCCCAAGCUAGGCAUAACGAUUUGAAUGAUGCUCGCAUAAAGGUAAAGAACUGAAACAUAAACAGAGCAUCAUGAAUCACAUGGCAAGCAUAUUUAACUAUAACCCACUUCCUAUGCAUAGGUAUUUUCUGAGCAAACAAAUUAUGGGAACAAGAAUCAAUUAGCGUAGGAAGGGAAAACAAGUAUAACUUCAAAAUUUCCAGCAAAAAGAGAAGAAACUUGAUAUUAUUGCAAUAUGUAAAAGCAUAUAUUCCUCUCUCAUAGUAAAUUUUUUGAAGGAAAACUGUAAGGGAAACCCCUCACAGCGAGUUUUUUUAAAUAAUAAGAACCCAAAUUCGCGCCCGUGGGGACUUGAACCAAGGUGGUUGGGUUGUACAUCCACUCCACUAGCCAAGUGAGCUAGGCUCACUUCCUUCUCUCAUAGUAAUUUUUAGUAGCAUCAUGAAUAAAUUCAACAAUAUAGCUAUCACAUAAAGCAUUAUUUUCAUGAUCCACAUGAAUAAAAGUCUUAGAAUCUUCCAAGGUAGUGGGAUUAAGAUUAACUAAAGUCAUGACCUCUCCAAACCCACGUUUAUCAAAAAAAUCAUAAGAUUGAACACUCUCCAAAUAUGUGGGAUUCUUUUUACCUAAAGUUGACACUCUUCCAAACCCACUUUCGAUAUCAUAUUCAUCAAGAGUAUUAAAUAAAUUAUCAAGAUCAUAAGAAGCAUUAUCACCCAAAUCAUGAUCAUUGCAAUAAGUAGUGGUCAUGGCAAACUCAUCAAAUAUAGCAUCCCCAAGCUUGUGGGUUUGUAUAUCAUUACCACAAUUGAUAUUAAUAGAAUUUAUAACAAUAUCAUUUCAAUCAUGCUUUUCAUUUAAGGAAACAUCGUGAAUCACUUCAUCACAAUUUUCAGAUUCAUGAAUCUCAAGCAAAACUUCAUGGAGAUAAUCAAGUACACUCAACUCACUAGCAAUUGGUUCAUCGUAAUUGGAUCUCUUGAAAAGAUUAGCAAGUGGAUGAGGAUCCACAUCAAUAGAUUUUUGCAAGCAAAGAUGCAAGAAAAUAUAAGGCACAUGGUAACACAAGUAGACAAAAAAGAGAUCCGGCGAGAAAAAAAGCGAAUAAAAAGGCAAAUUGGUGAAGUGGGGGAGAGGAAAACGAGAGGCAAAUAAUGUAAAUGCAAGAGGUGAGCUUGUGAUGGGUACUUUGUAGUCUUGAUCUUGCUAUGUAUCCUCCCUGUCAACGGUGCCAGAAAUCCUUCUCGCUACUUCUUGAGCUUGCGUUGGUUUUCCCUUGAAGAGGAAAGGGUGAUGCAGCAAAGUAGAUAAGUAUUUCCCUCAGUUUGUUGAGAACCAAGGUAUCAAUCCAGUAGGAGGAACAAGCAAGGCCCCAACCUUAGCACUUACACAAACAAUCAAACACUUGCACCCAACGCCAAAAAGGGGUUGUCAAUCCCUUCACGGUUAUUUGCAAGGAUGAGAUCUAAUAGAGAUAGAUAUAAAAGAUUGCUAGAACUAAAAGUAAACAAAAGUAAAUAAAUGGCAGCAAUAUAUUGUUGGUAUUUUUGGUUUAUAGAUCUGAAAGUAUAAUACGGAAAAUAGACCCGGGGGCCAUAGGUUUCACUAGAGGAUUCUCGCAUGAAGGAAAAUAAUACGGUGGGUGAACAAAUUAUAAUCAAGCAAUUGAUACAAAAGUGAAUAAGUAUGAAGAUAUCCAAGGCAAUGAUUAUGCAUAGGCAUCACGUCCGUGUCAAGUAGACAAAACAAUUCUGCAUCUACUAUUAUUACUCCUCACAUCGACCGACUCCUGCCUGCAUCUAAAGUAUUAAAUCCAUGAAGAAUAGAGUAAUGCAUUAGGUAAGAUGACAUGAUGUAGAGGGAUAAACUCAAGCAAUAUGAUGAAAACCCCAUCUUUUUAUCCUUGAUGGAAACAAUGCAAUACGUGCCUCGCUACCCCUACUUUGUCACUAGGUGAGGACACCGCAAGAUUGAACCCAAAACUAAGCACUUCUGACAUUUCAAGAAUUACCAUUCUAGUUGGCCAAACCAAAUCAAUAACUCAAAGAGACUUGCUAAGAUAUGAAAUCAUGCAUAUAAGAAUUCAGAGAAGAUUCAAAUAAUAUUCAUGGAUAAUCUGAACAUAAACCCACAAUUCAUCGGAUCUUGACAAACACACCGUAAAAGAGUAUUACAUCGGAUAUAUCUCCAUGAACAUCAUGGAGAACAUAGUAUUGAAGAACAAAGAGAGAGAAGAAACCAUCUAGCUACUAGCUAUGGAACCGUAGGUUUGUAGUGAACUACUCACGCAUCAUCGGAGGGGCAAUGGAGUUGAUGUAGAUGCCCUCCAUGAUCGAUUCCCUCUCCGGCAGAUUAUCGGAAAAGGCUCCCAGAUUGGAUCUCAUGGGAACAGAGGCUCCUGGUGGCGGAAAAGUAUUUUUUGGUCUCUUUUUGGUAUUGGGGGAAUAUUUUGGAAUUUAUAGGACGAAGAUUAGGGUUAGGAGGCGUGCAGGUGGCCCACAAGCGAGGGAGCGCCCCCUAGGGUGCGCCCUGUAGGCUUGUCGUCUCCCGGCAGGUUUCCUGCCCCCUUCUCCAAGUCUGGGAGGUUUCUUCUGGUCCAAGAAAAAUCAUUCCGAAUAUUUUGUUCCAUUUGGACUCCGUUUAAUAUUCCUUAUCUGCAAUACUCAAAAACAGUGGAUAAAACAGAAACUGGCACUAGGCUCUAGGUUAAUAGGUUAGUCUCAAAAAUAAUACUCCCUCCGUCCCAAAAUAACUGUCUCAAGCUUAGUACAACUUUGUACUAGAGCUAGUACAAAGUUGAGACACUUAUUUUGGGACAGAGGGAGUAUAAAAUAGCAUAUUAAUGCAUAUAAAACAUCCAAAACAGAUAAUAUAAUAGCAUGAAACAAUCAAAAAUUAUAGAUACGUUGGAGACGUAUCAAGGCAGCAACAAGCUUGGUGUGGGGGGGGGGGCUCGGAGGGUGCCCCCUAGGAUUGUGGGUUCCUCGGCCACCCUUGGUACUCCUUCGGCAUUCCGUGGGCCUCUUUUGGUCGACACAAAACCGUCAAGAAAUUUCAGCCAGAUCCAAGAGCUUUUAUUUUCUGCACAAAAAUAGCACCACGAUAAUUCUGCUGAAAAUAGCGUAAGUCCGGGUUAGUUCCAUUUAAGCCAUAUAAAAUUGCACUAAAACCAUAUAAAACUUGGGUAGAUAUGGCAUGAAUACUUCAUAAAUUAUUGAUACAUUGGAGACAUAUCAACAUCCCCAAGCUCAAUUCCUACUCGCCCUCGAGUAGGUAAAUGGUAAAAAGAAGUAAUUUAUCAAGUGUAAAUGCUAGCAUAGAGUAUAAGUUUGAUCAAUGAUAAUUUCAAUCACUUUUCCUAGCAUCAUAAACAUCAAUUUUUCUCAUAAAGCUCAUCAUAAUGAAGUAGCAAUCAAUUCACAUGUUAUGGUUGAUAAAAUGGAUUCUCUUGAAACUUAACAACCUAUGUUCUUAGUCACCAAACAAUUAUGAUUCAACUUAUUUUUAGAAAAAAUCUAAGUAUGAGUUUCACAUAUCGAGUUAUCAUAUAAAAUUUUAUGAUUGCUGGUACUCAAAACAUAUUUUUAGAACAAACAACAUCCAUCAAACACAGAUAAAGACAUGGGCUUAAACUUAAUGUUUCACCUCCCAACGUACUUAUCAUAAAGAUAACUCUCAACAAUAAUAAUUCAUGAUCAAAUAUAUUUGACUAGAUAUAUAUGUCUAAAUAUUUCCCACCACAUGAUGCUUGCCAACUAAAGAUUGAGGUUGAAGAAAUUGACUCAACAUGAAAAGUAAACAGCGUAAAAGUAAAUGGAAUGACCCUUGAUAGAGGGAAGCAUGGAUUUGCAGAGGUGCGAGAGUUCAUUGCUUAAAACAGAGAUGAAUACAUUUUGGGUGGUGUGCCUUUCCUGUCAACGUCACGACAAAUGAUUUCAAUAUCUUCCAUGCUAAACACGUUAAUGGUAGUUCCCAAACAUAUUUGAUUUUUUUACUCCCCCUCCACCAUUCAAACACUUUCCAUGGCUAGCCGUAUCCACGGGUGCUGUCGUGGUUUUGUCACGGCAGAUGUCCUCGUGAAAGGACUUAGUACUGGAGCCAUCGCACCUUGGUGGCGACUCAAAGGGGUUAAGCGGGAGAGACACGGCGAUUUACCCAGGUUCGGCCCCUCGCGUGGAGGUAAUAGCCUACGUCCUGCUUGGCGUGUAUUGAUGUGGAUUCGAUUACAAGAAAGGCGUAACUCGCCUUACCUAGCACUCGAUGAUUUCUAACCUACCUCUCCCCCUCCAGACUCGCCUUUAUAUAUAGGUCGAAGCCUCAGGGUUUACAAGAGUCCCUUCCUCUUUACAAAUCGUGACCACCGCGGUCUCUAAAUCGCCGUCUUGCAAAACCCAGAGUCCUUCCAUAAAUCAUAACCAUCCUGCGACUUUGAACCGCCCAGGCUGAGGCCCAACUAGCCCUAAAGGAUGAAUCGCCUUAACAGUAACCCGGCCCAUAUUCGGCGGGUCACUUAACAGGCAAUAUCCCCAACAGGUGCCCUCCAAACAAUCAACUUUCUAGGGGGGGAGUUCUUGUUUAUUUAUUUUAGUAUUAAGCAGGACUGGACAUCCUUUUACCAGGCUCUCUCGUGCAUUGACAAGUGAAUAAACACUCGUCGUGAGUUAAACACACUUAGCAUGGAAGAUACUGACCGCACGAUCCCUCCAUGAGCGGUACGGGCACACAAAACAAAUGUUUAGUUGAAGGUUUUAGAGAUGGCACAUGCAAAUUUACUUGGAAUGACAGUGAAAUAGCAUAUAUAUAUGAUUUUGGUGGACUCCUAUGGAAGAAACUUGGCUCUAGGAUUUUGGAUGCAUAAGUACUAUCUCUACUUAGUACAGAAAUUUUGGAUAGAAAAGGUUAUAAACAAGCACCACGUUGACAGAGCAUCCAAAACAAUAUAUCUUCUAUACAAAUAUACCAGAACAUAACUCAUUACGUUGUCUUCGUUGUCCAACUUCAGCUAAUUUACUCAAGGUUGAAAAUAGUUAAUUGGUAUUCACAAUCAUAAAAGAUAUCCACGAUAAUAUAUUUUUAUGUGAAAGUUCUCUUCCUUAUACUAAUCAUUCAUGAAUUGUUUGUAUGACCAAUGAUGUGAUUGUCAAACUUCAAUAGAUUUUACUUUCUAAACUCAAUGUGAAACUACUACUGGGCAUAAGGCACGUGGAUAAUUUCAUAUUUGUGAUAUUCAAUUCAUUCACAAUUUACCCUUAGGACAUAAGUGAAGCACAACAGUAAACAUCAAACUACUCUCAAAACAUACAAGUGAAGAUCAAUGAGUAGUCAAAAAAUCAAAGAUACAACUGAAGAUGAAUGGGUUCAUGGAUGUCGUGGAAGAAUGUAGGAUGGAUGAUUUGGGUUCUAUUGGUCUUUCAUACACUUGGGACAAUAGACAACAAGGGAUUGAUAAUAUUAAAGUUAGACUUGAUAGAGGUCUUGGUGAUGAUAAAUUUCAGGAAUGUUUCAAAAGUUCAUCAGUGCAGCACAUACAUACCACAGAGUCGGACCAUUAUGCAUUGACAAUUUCAGUACAAAAAUCAAUGUGAUUUGGUGGACAUAAAAAGUGAAGACCUUUUUGGUUCAAAAGUGCCUGGACAAUACACAAAAAUUAUGACAAAAUGGUGACCCAAGCUUGGACUCCUCGUAUAGGUAAUCUAGCGUAUGUACAGGACUCACUGCGUGUUGUGAAGGGAAUUUUUCACAGAUGGAGCAAAGAUUAAUUUGGUCAAGUACCAAAACAACUGAAAAAAUUGAGGGAGAAACUAGGAAUGUCUAUGGCAGCUCUUUAGGGCAAGGACCAUCUAGGAAAGAUAGAAAUUUAAUGUGAAGAAUCUCGAAACUAAUAACAAGGAAGAAAUGAUGGCCCAACAAAGAUCAUAGGUAAAUUGGAAGUUGAAAGGGGGUCACAAUAUAGAUUAUUUCCAUGCUAGAGCUUGAGAGAGACACUGAACAAAUCGUAUAAAAUCCAUGAAAAUGGAUGAUGAUGGCAUUGUUACAGCUCAAUAGGAGAUGGGAAAAGAGGCAAUCAAGUUCUAUAAGAACUUCUUUACUGUUGAUGUUAAUACUAGGCCGGAAAGGUUACAGAUGCUAUACCCAACAAGGUUACAAAGUUGAUGGACAAGAGAGUUUGUGCGCAUUGACAUAUGUGGAAAUAGAGAACGCUUUGUUCAUGUUGCACCCGAGUAAGUUGUCGGGUCCUGAUGGGUUUAUGGCAGGGUUCUAUACUCGACAUUGGGAUUUAUUGAAGGAUUCCGUGUGUGCGGUAGUAAGAUUGUUCUUUGAUAUGGGUAACAUGCAUGAGGCAAUUAACCAAACGGUAUUAGUAACGAUUUCAAAAAUAAAAGCACCACAAGAUCUUACACAAUACAUGCCUAUUUCCUUAUGCAAUGUACAGUACAAAAUCAUGUCAAAGGUUAUGGCAAUUAGACUGAAACCAAUCCUUGAUGAAAUUAUUUCUAAGGAACAAAGCGUAAGAUCAAGGCUUAUCUUGGAUAAUGUUCUAACAGCCUACAAAUGCAUUCAUUGUUUGAAAAGGAAGAAGGGGAAGUCAAGAUCCUGCACAACAAAGCUUGAUAUGGAUAAUGCUUAUGACAGGGUAGAAUGGUCAUAUCUUCAUGCAGUUCAGGUAAAACCAGCAUUUGCAGAACAAUGAUUGACAAAGUUAUGUCGUGUGUGGAAUCGGUUUCAUUCUCUGUUCGAGUGAAUGGAGUUUUUAAAACUUGUCAUGGCAUUCAACAAGGCGAUCCAAUUGCACCUUAUCUGUUUCUCUUAUGUGCAGAAGGUUUAAAAUGCUUGUUAAAAUCUUAUGGCCUUCGCGGAAAGGAAUCAAAGUGGCUAUCCACGCCCCAUGGGUCUCACACUUACUUUUCGUUGACGACUGUUUGGUCUUUACCCAGGCUACAAUGAUGGAGGAGCAAGAUAAAUGAAAUCCUUGAGCUUUAUAGGGAAGGUUCGGGUAAAACCAGGGGCGGAGCCAGGCCAAAAUCCGAGAGGGGGCGGAACAUGAUUUUUUUUUCAGAAACAUAUGUACAAACUAAUGUGGAGAUCAUGUAAAAAAACAAUCACACAAGCAAACAUAUAGCAUGGGAGAAGAAAAAUGGUAUAUUUUCUUGUAAUAUAAUGUCAUUGCAAUAAUAAUUAUGAUAGGUUCAAUGAUAAAAUAAAAGCAAACUAACCAAAUAAGACAGAAUAACUUGAGAAGUAUGAAUAUGUCAUUCCAUUUUGUUCCUUCCAUUUCAUCGCAUGACGUUUUAUUGCAUGAAAGCGUUUAACUAUCACCUCAUUAGGAAUAGUAUCCAACAUUUGUUUUCCACAAAACAUAUAAGGCUAUGGCUGAAAUAAUCAUCACCCAUCUUGUUACCCAAAGCAUUCUUCACAAGCAGUCGUGGAUUUUGCCAAAAAUCUCUCCAUUAGCUUUCCUCACAAUGUAAAAUAAUUGAAUGUUAAAUAAAUUGAAGUACACGAAGGCAUAAUACUACUGAAGUCUAAAUUUUAUUCUACUUAUUAUCUACUCCCACGUCCUCAAACAGUCAAAGUUAUUCAUGCAAAAUUGUUUGUGAAGUAAGAUUCAAUCAAUCUAUCAUGGAAUCAGAAUGGGGUAAUGAUAUGGAAAUUAGGAAGAGAAAAUCUGGGAACUCAACGUGUGAACCUAGGGCUUACCUAUUUGAAUUGUUUAUAACUAGCAAAAGGGCCCGUGCGUUGCACCGGGUGUAAAAAAAUAUGCUUAGAAAGUUGGAAAAAACUACCACUAAAACAACAUUGCAAUUAGUCGUUUGGAAUCACCCAUGAACAAACUUAUAUAGUUAAAAAUUGAAUGUCACUUCUACUUAAAUUUUGUGCAUACAUCAACGCGAAUCCUGCUAGAUUCAUCGACAUCUACUUGCUACAUCAUAACCAAGAACUGUUUCUUAAAAAAAGGAAAUAAGAAUAUCACAUAUGUUGGAGCAUGAUAAUUAUUCCCUUUGAGGGUUACUGCAGCGUGAUAGUGGGAUAACCUGGUGAUAGAUGGCAUUGUUGCCAGAAGUAGAGCACAUGCAUAAAUUAUUGGAGUUAAAGUCCUAGGUUUCUUCUUCCUCAGCCACAUCAAGGAUCCUAAUGCAGCAAGGGAGAGGGUCAUCACCUGCAGAAGUACAAAAGUAAGUCUUCUGAAAUCAGGAUAACCAAAACAAGGAACCUGGCUUCAUAUUUUUCACACUAUGUAGUAGCAUUACAAGAUUGGCAUUUGCUUCAAGUCCUUGGAAUAUGUACUCCCAAGUAAAUUCAAGCCCUCGUGCCCCAAUCCAGAGAGGUGCCAGCCGGUGCAGAACUGAAUCAGCAAAAGCCCAACCUGAAACCCCAAAAAUGUCCAAUAGAGCAAUAGUAGUCAAGAUAAGGUUAAACUGCAGCUGGAAAUAGGCCAAAGUAUUGUGUCACUUCCUAAUUUAUCCAGAGUAAGAAACUUAAGGAGAUCCGAUUCAAUUUAAAUAAUAUAACGAAGUAAGAGCAUUCAAUUUCUAGAGAUAUCACUAGUAAAAAAACACGUAUCUAUUCUUUCAAUUAUGUGAAUGACAAAACCAUGAGCACAAAAUCAAACGUCAGUACAGCUAAAAAGGCUACCAGUAACUCAUACAAAGAUCAACAUCAAAAUGCAUAUGUGGCUUAAAUUACUUGGUCCGAAGCAGCGGGAGCAUGGCUAACCAAAGUCCUUGAGCUGUUGUGAUGAAGAUGGCUUACGUGCAGGGCCUGACAACAGAAUCGCACGGUUGGCCGGAGCAAGGUUCCUGGUGUAUUUGGAGAUCUCUGCUUGCUUCAGGUGAACGUACGCAUCACUCGUCAGCACAACGCGUGUUUGCUCACUGCAGAGGGGGAAAAGGAGUCGCAUAGAUCUCCACUCGCACUAUAUUGCUGGUCUUGGUUAGCAAUGGCGAAGCGUCUGGCCGUCGUGCUCCUGCUGCUGCUGGUGGUGCUCCUCACGACCUACGACGAGAGGGAGCUGAAAGGGAAGGGCGGCGGCGCUGGUGGCGCCGUCGACGAAGCCAAGGAUCUGGUGCCCAGGCUGCCGCCUCUGGUGCCCAACCUGCCACCCGAUCUGCAGCGCCGCACCUUGAAGUUCGCCGACGGCCACGGGCUCCGAUAGCUCCAGCCAUGUCGGACUGGAUCUCGCUAUUCCUGGCGCCCCUUGCCCAUGCCUUCACUGGACCUCGCCGGAAGCCGCCGCCUCGCCGGGGAUCGAGGCGUCGUUGCAGUUGCGGUGGUGGCUCCCCUCUUCUUCUCUCUCUGUCUCGAUCUGGAUACGAAGGGGGCAGGAGGUCUGCGGGGUGGGGAAGACGGAGGUAAUGGGACAGUGGUUGUUUUGAAAAAAUGAAACAAUUUUUUCCACUUAAUGGAGGAUUGCGGGUUGAUUUCAAUAAAGCACAGGGGGUUUUAUGCAAAAUUACCACGCCGGACGGCAGAAGCGCUCUGCGCUUUAUUAUUAGGGGAGAAGUAGUCAAAGUGAUAAGCAGCUCUUGAAGCUUGCCAAUAUUUACAAGUCCCGAAUCUUUCGUUCCACAUUCAUUAUCUGGAUCAUGAGAAGAAUAUCAAUAGCCCUCAACGGUGAUGUUAGACCCUCUUUCCAAUAUGUAAAACAUCAUGAGUUACACCGAAUAUAGAUCAUGGAUGAAGUCCUAAUCCAAAAGGGCUUGCUUAAAACGGCAUGAGAAGGAAAAUUAACAUCUCAUCCUGAUUUAUGCUUACCUACAGCAAUAACUCUCCAGUUAUGGCUCUGAAGUUCAGAAAAUAGAUCUUCAUCAACUCUGGAAGUAGCAUAAAAACAACAACUUGAUCUGCUCCACUCUAACAUCGACUCAUUUAGUAAGUUAUUCCCAGUGGGAGCAGGUAGUGAUAUAUAUCCAAAGAAGUACAAAUUUGCUGUCAUUUCAAGAAAGCCCGACUGAUAAAAGCAACAGAGAAGCCCCAUGUAAGCGUAUACUACCUUACGAAUUAUGUAAUAAAUUCAUAGAAAUAAUGCCUUCUAGAAGAACAGGAAUAUAAUGUCGCAAGCCUGCGAUAACGGGCAUUUUGUUUCAUAGGGGACCGUAAAAAUAUUAGCAGAGUAAAUGGGGUGUUAUGAAAGGUUUGGCCAGAAAUAUUCAGGUUUUAACCGCAUUACGGAAGUUAGCAAAAGAAAACUUUAUCAGAUAUCAAGAGUGACCAGUGCAAUUGGAGCAUCAGGAAAUAAAUCUAGCUGGAUGUAUUGGUUUAUCUGAAGUGACCAUGCGCCCUACCCUAGCACGAUCUGUGAAUCUUGCAAACACUUGAAAUUUGAAAUUUGGUUUAUUUUAAAAUGGAAGGAGUAACAAACAGUACUACAAGUUUAACAAAGACGAAUCAAACACAGUGCUAGAAAAAAAAUGUUCAAAAAUAGGUUAACAGAUACCACAAUAGUUGGCAUUUCCUCCGGAUGGCAAAUUGCCUGAAAUAAAAGGAGCAAGAAAAUGAAAUCAGUUGACUACAAGGUACUAAUUCGCCUCAUAUGGGACGAGGUGAAGAGCCGGGCUCAUACCACGCCCAUAUUGGAGUGGCGCAGCCGCCGCAGCAGCGCCUCCGCCCCGGAACGCAGCAUGGGCACCGGCACUGUCGAUCUUGACGCGGAGAAGAGGGAAGAAGAGCGUGGCGGCUGGGGCUCGCGAGAUCCUAGACUGGCGGCUGGGGGCGCCGGAUCUCGGGUGCGCGUGGGUCGCCGAGGUCGGCGCGAGUGGCUGGGUGGGUGGUCGCUGGUGGCGCCCGAUGAUGGUAGAGAGGGCGGUGGUUGGUGGGGGUCGAAGGUGGGGGCACGGGGGCGUUGUUUAGACACUCGGCGAUGCGCAGUGAGGCGGGGAGGGCGGGGCAUGGCAGGAGGUGGCCGGCGGCGCGCGGUGCGUGGCUGGAGGUGGGCGGAGGCAGCGGUGGAGUACCGCAAGGCAGCGAGUUUUUUUUUCUCGUACUAAUUCGAUUUGGACUGUGGGUUGAAUAUAGAAAAAUACAGGGGCCUUUUUGCAAAAUUAUCACAGCGGAGGACAGAACCACUACGUGCUUUAUUAUUAGGGGAAAAUGGCAGCGUACGUCUUUUUCUCCUUAGGGGCCGCGACAUGGCCGGCAUGCACGGUGCAGAUCGUCGGAGGGGCGGUCUGCAGUGGCGGAGCCAAGGCCCGGCUAGCCUGGGCAGUUGNUCAGGGGCUCCACUAGACAAUCCUUUAUUAAUUUUACUACGGAUUAUGUGUCUCACCGUGAGUUUUUGUGGGUUAUUUUAGCUAAAUCUUACAGCUCUCAUACCUUGUCCAAGCUGCACAAAUGGUCUGGCUCCGCCAGUGGCGGUCUGUACACGCAGCUUAGAGCCGUAGGCAUCACGUCGGAGGCUUCGGCUCGUGACGGCAGCAGGUCGCGCGAACAGAAGAUUAGCCAAGAGGUAGGGUACGUUUCAUUUGCACAAGCUCAUAUGGAUGUGUCUUGUAGUCUAGAUGGGUUGUUGCGUGCGGGUUGAGAAUCUCACACAAUGACACAUGGGCUUUAUCUAUCCAAAAAAUAAAGAAGUGGGCGCAAAUAACUCAGGCUGAGUGGGGGCAGCACUUUGUAUCACAUAUCGGGUAUAAUUGGGCUGAAAAAUCAAGUGGGGGCAUUCGCCCCCACAGCUAUGUACGUAAAUCUGCCCCUGGGUAAAACGGUUAACAAGUCCAAGUCAACAAUACUUCCCAGUUCAAACUGCACUGAUGAGAUGAAAGCUGAAACUCACAUUAACUCUGGUAUUGAGGUACAAGUGUUGAUCGAGAAAUACCUCGGACUACCAACAACAAUAGGUAGAUCAUGAGACGGACAGUUUGAACAUGUGGUAGCACAAAUCAAGAAACUAGUGAAUGGCUAGGCACCUAAGUUAAUGAGUAGUGCAGCUCGGGAAGUGUUGAUAAAGUCCAUAUGUCACGCAAUACACACCUACCCAAUGGUUUGUUUCAUGCUUUAAAAAAACAUGUAAAACGAUUACCAAUAUUGUUGCAAGUGCUGGAAAUAUGUCCCUAGAGGCAAUAAUAAAUUGAUUAUUAUCAUAUUUCCUUGUUCAUGAUAAUCGUUUAUUAUCCAUGCUAGAAUUGUAUUGACUGAAAACUUAAAUACAUGUGUGGAUAUAUAAACAACACUAUGUCCUUAGUGAGCCUCUGCUAGACUAGCCCGUUGAUCGAAGAUGGUUAAGGUUUACUAACCAUAGACAUGAGUUAUCAUUUGAUAACAGGAUCACAUCAUUAGGAGAACUAGGUGAUGCCCCGCGCGCUGCUGCGGAUUUUUGAGUGUGGAUUUUCGGAGUAACAUCGGCUUCUCAAUGAUGAAUAUAAUUUGAAUCAAUAAAAUGAUAGAUUUAUAUAUAGGGAAUGAUUGAAAUUUAUUUUUGGUACAUAUAUGUAACACAUGAUUAAACUGUAGCCGUUUGUAGCAUGAACCAUAUAUUAUAUGAUAAAGCUAUUAGCACUUUGUAGUAUGUACCAUAUUCUUACAGGAUAUCUUUGAUGUUGUUUGUAGGAGUGCCUUCAGCAAUUACUACAACCUGGACAUAUGGUAUUUCAUUCUUUUCAUACUCAAGAAUGUACCCAACACAUGAGAAUAGAUGGUUACCAGACAUUAGGUUAGUGGUGAGUUGAGGCUGGCACUCCCGUUUAAAUGUUAUAAACACAGGGUCUUUUGUGUUGUUCAUGUUUGCAAUUGCAUCUGUGUACUUCUUCUGAGCUUCUCUUAUUGAAAUGGUGGUAGAACAUGGCAAAGUAUUGUUUGUGGAAUUAGGUGACAUCCUGAAGAAGGUAGAUGUAUGUUCUCUAUCAAUGUAAGAAGUGAAAUGAAAUAUAUGGCAAACCAAUUUCAGUAGGAGUACCUGCUACUUCGGUUGUCCAUUUGUAUAUGUUGUUGACCCAUGAUUGAAAAGAUAAGGUAAGCUGAAAAUGUGACAAGAGUAAGUCAUACAGUAUAGAUGUGUGUGUGUUGUAGUACUAAGCUGUUUUGUUGAUUACCAGAUGAGGAUAAAUAAAAUUCACUCUUGCUGCUUACCAAACUAUGCUAAAUAAACUGUACUCUUACUUUGCUGCUAGCAGCACAAAUUAAACACAUGGUGUACCUACAUGAUUUUCUAUAUGAUAGAGGAACAUUUAAUACAUCGAAAAAACAAAAAAUGGUGAUAAUGCCAGAAUAAUUAAGAAAGAUUUUCAAAUAUAUAGAAGUACCAAUAAACCGCAGUCUCCUUGUGUUGCUCCAAGUCAGUGUUUUCAGUACACCAAACAACUGACAAAAUAGGAAGUAUGAGAAAUAUUAAUACACCCGAGUCUAUAUUUCUUGAUGGAAACCGAAUUAAGGGGACUAAUUGUGUUGAAUAAUUAUUGUAUUUUCCCAUCCUAGCCAGCUGUGCAUCAGGCAACCUAACACAUGUUUAUGCUUUAGUACUAAAUUUAUCAUACAUCGUUGAUACCAUCUAAAGGUGACCGCAUACGUCUUGCAAAAUGUAAAAAAGUUCUAUAAGCCAAGCGAGCUAAUACCAUCUAAAGGUGACCGUAUACGUCUUGCAAAAUGUAAAAAUGUUCUAUAAGCCAAGCGAGUUGAGCCCAAGGUUUGUCCUACCACGUAGUACCAAGUCAAUCAACUGGUUAACUGCUAGUAAUCUAACAUCAAAGAAAUAACAUGGCACUCAAGAGGAAAGGCUAUAAUCUACUGUCAGAUAUAUAUAUAUAUUUCAGAUUGUGCCGUAGUACCAAGUCAGUCAAUGCCCAAAACUGCAUAUACAUAUAUACUGCUACACGACCUCUAUGGUAAUAUUACAGCAGCUAUCAAGUCACUCAAGAGGAAAGGCCAAUCAACAGGUCAACUGCUAGUAAUCUAACAUCAAAGAAAUAACAUGGUGCAAGGAGAUUGGGAAUGAAGGAAUCAGGGAGAACCUCGUAGAAAAACAGGAUCAGAUGCCGUCGAGGGCACAGAUGCGACCCGGCCUAGUAUCUUUCCAACCUCCGGAAAAUUAUUGCAAAAGCAAACUGCAGAAAAAAGAAGGCAUACUUAUAAUUGCAAUUCAGAAUAGCUUUGCAAACAAUCAGAAUAGCUUUGCAAUAUCUUUCUAACCUCUGAAAAAUUAUUGCAAAAGCAAACUGCAGAAAAAUAUUGGCUGACCUGUAGGCAGAAUGAGGAUGGGGGAAGCACGUGAGGACAGGGGAUGUGGCGUUGAGGGUGCAGGUGUUCCCCGCCAACUUGCAGGGCACCAACAGGCGGUGGGCAUGGCUGAUCUCUCGAGCGGCUCCAUUGAUUUAUGGUGAGAGGAACUGGUUCAGUUACCUGUGCAAGGAGAGGUAAGUAGAUCCGUUUCAGUUGGAUUUAAUUGAUGAUCGAGAAGGUGAAGAGGGGGAGGCCUGCUGUGGAGAAGGGCAAGAGGCAGCGAGCCUACCAUGGGGAAGGAGAAAAGGGCGCAGCCGACCGCCAUGGGGAAGCAGCGCCGCCGGCGGAAUCGGGCGUGGAGAAGGAACCAUCGCCUGAUUUGAUGGGCCAACUUUUUAGGGUCAAAGAAAAAAGAAGCAAGCUCAUGGGCCAGCCUUUCGGUCUGGAAAAGAAGAGGCGACCGAGCGCCACAGGCGAUCGUGCUAGCGAAGCAGAAACAGUCGUGUGGUGGAGAGGUGGCAGCAGGGAAAAAUAUAACGUAGCGAAGAAGGAACCACCGUGGGGUGGAGAGGUGGCACUAGGUAAAAAAACAAAUAGGGUGACGUAAGCCAAUGACGUGGCAUCACCUGAGGGCAGGAAAAAUUGUUGGUGGGACGCAUCUAUUUAGGAAUAGAGGAUGAGGUGAUGGACAAGACCCAACCAUAAGCAUAUCAUUUGAUUGUAUGGCUUAGUUUGUUUCUACUUCUUUCUUCAUGUCAAGUAUAUGUUCCUAAGACCACGAGAUCAUGCAGCUCUGUGACACGAGAGGAAUACCUUGAUGAGGACAUCAAUACCAUUGUUACACCAACAACCCCUGCUACUAUACAUACUAGACCAAUUACUAGAUCUCACACAUGUCAAUUGAAUUACCAGGGACUUUAGUUUCUUGGAAAUCUUUCUAAUAUUCAUGAACAUAUGAUGUUGCCUAAAUUAGAUAUUUUUGAUUUACUUAUGAAUGAAAAACCUAGAUUGGACAAGAAGGAUGGCCACUGGAGCGGUAUCAAGCUUGAAGAAGAAGAUAUGCGCACGGAAAGAACAAUGGAGUUUCGAGUGGUGGUUUCUGCACUUUAAAUCCAUCGUAAUGAGAGGAUGAAGGCUUGGACGAAAUAUACAAGAUGCCACUUCAUAAAUUUCAUCCAUACUCUAUUAUAGGUGUUGUGUCACCUUAUUUUCGGGCCAGGCCCAUGUAAUUUCAAAAUACCACAUUAUAGAUUAUUUUUAGAGUCUAUAUGUGCGGGGAAACCGAGUUAGGGUUGGUUUCGGACCCGUGCUCCAAGGGACCAUGAAAUUCCCCUCUAUUCCCCCAUGUAUACAACCCUUAGGACACCAUUUAGACUUGGUUUUGUUUAGAUUAAAAGUUCCUCAUACUAGCAACUUUGCGUCCUUCGUUUGUGUUCCACGACCAGACUAAGACGUCACAGAACCCCACUUUCAUAAUUAAAGCUUUCCUCUUAUAUUCGCAAUAUCCAGAUUGGAAUUUCAGUUUCUUGCUUGUUCUUUUUGUGUGUGCAGGAAAUAGACCCUCAUGGUCAUGUUGAUCGUGCUCCGGCAUGGUCAAUAACCUCUCGGAGUUGGUUUAGAGAUUGCUAAGGGGCGACGCCCUCGUACGUUCAUAGUCGGGUCAUGAAAGUUUACUCCACCAAAAACGAUCUUCAACAUCUCAUCGAAAGAUAGGACACCUUUGCCUCUAUCAAGUGGUAUCAGAUUUCGAGGUUGCUCGAUUAGAUUUUCCAGUUUUUCAUAGUCUAUAUUGCAUUUUUCCUCAUAAUUACAGUCCACAAAAAAGCCAUUAAAAAGGGUUAGUUCAUCGUAUCUGAACCAAUCUGAGCCUUUUAUAAUUCUCUGUUUGGUGGUUUGCUUUGUUGAAUUUGCGGUUGCAUCAUUCUGUUGAGUUGUUGGUUUUAGCAUCUAGUCUUUUAGAGUUUUGAGUUCUAUUCACAGAUUGUCACACCGCCACAGCACCAUCUUCAUCGCUGCCAUAUACCACCACCCCACCACAUAUAUCAAUGCUGUCAUAUGCCACCACCCCACCAUAUACAUCAUCGCUGCCAUAUACCACCACCACACCAGAUACAUCACCACUGCUAUAUACCAUCACCACAUAUCUGCCACCAAUCUGAGUCCAUAUAUACAACCACAUAUCCGCCAUCACGUCAAUUUGAGUGCACCUCCAUCACAAAUUCACCAACGGUACAUAUUCCAUUGCCCCUACAUAUAUCCGCCACUAGUAUGAGUUCCACCAGAUUCAUAUCCGCCACCAAUGCUAGUCCGAGUCCGGUUUUUGAUGCUUUGUUGUUGAUUUCCGGAUCACGCCAUACUAUGUGUCAUGAUCAAGUCAGACUCCCUAACUUUCGUGAUGCCCUUAGUAGAGAAAUAUAUCAAGUUAAAAAAACUAAGUCUGGAAAAUUCUGUCUAGGUAGUUUUAGACCAUUCUAAGACUUUUUCAAAAAAAAUGUUGUUCAGCAAAAAAAGGGAAAAUAUGAAAAAAGUGAAAAAAAAGAUUCAGUGUGCUUCUCCCUAGACUACGUGUCGCGUCGUGAUUUUGUUGGUGUUCUAGGCUCGUGUCUGUAUUAUGGUCUAGCCUAGGACCGCCACGGUACUAUCGUUGAGUGUCUUUUCAACUUUGCAUCUCUGAACUGAUUAUUGCUGACCCUUUUUGCUACAAUAUUAUAAGCCUUGUCAGCUCCACAUACAUCUACUUCGUGUGGUUGACAACACCUGUCAAUCUCUCUAUCCAAGCUUUGAGGGUUUUUGACUACAAAGUUUGCUGAUCACAGCCUGUUGCUGGGUAAGAGCUGAUAAUAUUUUGAGAUUUGCUUGAUGGAUUUAUGACACACACCACCAUGACGUCCUAGUAGUUUGUAGGUUCGUAUUCUUGUGUGUUCCUAUUGCUUCUAACCAUGCCAGGAUAAAAAAACUGACAAGAUUGACUCGAAGGGCAUGCCCAACAAGGCGCUCCAUGAUAAAUUUCAGCAAAUGAUCGGUGUCCAGGUGCAAGACUUGGCGAACAACCUUGGAGAGGCCAUGGAGAAGGUAAAUGGUUUGGAGAAGACAUUCGACACCAAAAUGGAUGCCAAGUUCAAUGAUGUGCUUGCGCGCCUACCACCACCAGCUACAACACUAGCAACACCACCAACACGAGCUCCAGCAGCAGCAGCAGCACCACCACCACCAGCAGCAGCAGCAACAACAACAACAACAACAACAACAACAACAACAACAACAACAACAACAACACCACCACCACCACCACCAACAACAACAACAACAACAACAACAAGAACAACAACAACAACGACAAAGGCAACGACAAAUACAAUGGCAACAACAACAACAGUAACAACGAAAACAACAACAACAACAACCACCGCCACCACCACCACCACCAACAACAACAACAAUAACAACGACAAUAGCAUCAGCAGCAGCAACAACAACAACAACAAUGGCAACGGCAAUGACUACGACAAUAGCAACUGUAACGGCAAUGACAACGACAGCAACAACGACACCCGAAUUUCAUGGGACGAGUGCAACGUGUGCUUAUCAAGCAAGGCCAAAAUUCUGGUGUCAUUUCUACUGUUGUUGUUAUUGUUGUUGUUACGGCUGAUGUGGUUGCUGCUGCGAUUGUGGUUGAGCAGAAUGAGGACUACGAUGGUGAUUACAAUAACGAGGGAGAGGUUGCUCUAAAUCAGAACCAGAGGCAACCACCAGACUAGGUCGUUCACAUGGAUACAAUUGCAAUGGUAGGGCUGCACCACCCUCUCAGGUAUGGGAUCAUGACCAUCUCCCUAAACUUAGGGCAUCUCCAGCUGCACUCCCAACAAGACCCUAGCCCCCUUUUUAGACGUCGAGGCUAAAAAAUCCCCCAGUCGCGCCCCUAGGGCGUCGUUUUUUGCUGGUUGGGCCCAUUUUUUGGGCCGACGAUCCCAGGCCGAACCCAGCAUGCUGGGGGCAGUUGGGUGGUAUGGCGGAAGGAAAAGUGGCGUGUGGGACACCACUGUUAGGAGAGAAAUGCCUUUCCCUCGCAAGAUUUGCACUCCCACGCUAUAGUAAGCCUCUCCGCCAUGCUGAUCCUGCCGCCGCCCACUUGCCCAUAGCCACUGCCCCACCGGUAGAAAAGGCCAUUUUCCUGUCCGUUUCACGGCAGCCUCCAUCCCACUCUCCUAGGCGAGCUUUUUAUACUAUUCACCAACGGCUACCCACCCACCAUGCCUGUCAGGUGUUUGAUCUGCAAUCUCUGGCGUUAGCUAGACGAAUGCUUAUGACAACAAACCUUCUACUGCAACGUCACAAGAAGAAUGCUGAAAGCACUCCCCAGUAAUGAGACUAGAAGAAUGUUGUUGAUGAGCCACCAGCGCGUGGGUUCGCAACAGUUUUUGAGGGUAGAGUAUUCGACCCAAUUUGUUGGUAAGCCAGUCGGGAGGUGAGAGUAUACUCUCAAGUAUUAGCAGCUGAAUUUGUCAGAUUCAACCACACCUGAAAGAUUAGUAUCUGCAAGCAUAGUAGUAACAGAAAAGUAAUAUGAUAACAGCGGUGUUAGAAACGAUAUGUUGACAACUGACUAUUCCUAACGAUUGUAUCAAUGGCGCCUCCGUUGCCGCGUUGACGGAAGUUGUCAGUUCCCGUCAACGGUCAACGAUCAAGAUUGUAACAGGUAGCAGCAGUGUAACGAGCAAUAGCAGCAGCAAGGAAUGGCAGUAGUGACAGCAGUAGCAAGUAGCAACAGUAGCAAGCGACAGUAAUAGCCACAGUAUCAGCAGAGCAAGACAAGUAACAGCAGUAGCAACAGUAGUAGCAGCAGCAGCAGAGCAAGACAAGUAACAGCAGUAGGACAAACUCAUAGGCAAUGGGUCGGUGAUUUGUUUGGAUGAUAUUCAUCAUGCAACAGCUAUAACACGGAGAGAUAUGUGGCUAGCUCCCGUACGUCAAUGUGAUGUAGGCAUGCAUUCCGUGUGUCGUCAUACGUGCUUAGGGAAAAGAACUUGCAUGACAUCUAUUGUCCAUCCCUCCCAUGGCAGCGGGGUCCAAAAGGAAACUACGGGAUAUUAAGGUUCUCCUUUUAAUAAAGAACCGGACCAACGCAUUAGCACUUGGUGAACACAUGAACUCCUCAAACUAUGGUCAUCACCGGGAGUGGUUCCGGUUAUUGUCACUCCGGGGUUGCCGGAUCAUAACACAUAGUAGGUAACUACAACUUGCAAGAUCGGAUCUAAAACACACAUAUAUUGGUGACAACAUAAUCAUUUCAGAUCUGAAAUCAUGGCACUCGGGCCCUAGUGACAAGCAUUAAGCAUGGCAAAGUAGUAGAACAUAGUGGAUACUAGGGAUCAAUCCCCAUCAAAACUAACUCGAUUACAUGAUAUAUCUCAUCCUAGUCAUCACCGCCCAGCGAGCCUACGAAUAGAUUACUCACGAACGAUGAAGAGCUUCAUGGAAUUGGAGAGGGAAGAAGGUUGAUGAUGACGAUGGCGAUGAUUUCCCCUCUCCGGAGCCCAAGACAGACUCCAGAUCUGCCCUCUAGAUGAACAACAGGAGGUGGCGGCGCCUCCGUAUCGAAGACGCGACGAAAACUUCCCUUUUUAUUUUUUUCUGGGACGAAAGGCAACUUAUAGAGCUGGAGUUGGGGGCGGCAGGUGCAUGUGGGCCCCACAAGCCUGCCCACCGCCACCAGGGGGGUGGUGGCGGAGCAGGGGCUUCUGGCCCACUCGCCCACCCCCUCAGGUGGAACUUGGCGCAUAUAUUUUUGAUAUUUUCCAAAACUGCCCCCCGUAAAUUUUCAGGACGUUUGGAGAACUUUGAUUUCUGCACAAAAAUAACACCAAGGCAAUUCUGCUGAAAACAGCGUCAGUCCAUGUUAGUUCCAUUCAAAUCAUGCAAAUUAGAGUCCAAAACAAGGGCAAAAGAGUUUGGAAAAGUAGAUACGAUGGAGACGUAUCAACAAUCCCAAGCUUAAAACCUUGCUUGCCCUCAAGCAACUCAGUUGACAAACUGAGAGAGAAAGAAAAACUUUGACAAACUUUGUUUGAUCUUGUUGUUGCAACUAUGUCUAACUCAUAACCAGAAUUUCAGCAAGAUCACAAGUUAACCACAUAAGCAAAUGACACAAAGGUCUCACGGUAAACUAAUAUCAAUGGCAUAAUCAGCUAACGAGCAAAUAAUAAUGAGUUUCAAAAACCAACACUUCAAUCAAAACAAGCAUGAAGCAAUAUGAAUAGGUGGUAUCUCGCUAGCUCUUUCUAAGGCCGCAAAACAUAAAUGCAGAGCACUUUCAAAGAUCAAGGGCUGACUAAACAUUUUAAUUCAUAGCAACAAAGAUCCAGUCAUAGUCAUACUCAAUAUCAAUCAAAAGCAAAUCAUAAAAAUGACAAAGGUGCUCUCUAAUUGGUGCUUAUAUAAGAGGAGGAUGACUCAACAGGAAAAUAAAUAGACAGGCCCUUCGCAGAGGGAAUCAUUGAUUUGCAGAGGUGCCAGAGCUCAAGCUUUGAAAGUAGAGAUAAUAAUUUUGGGUGGCAUGCUUUCAUUGUCAACGCAAUGACCAAGAGUUCUCAAUAUCUUCCAUGCUACUCAUGCUAUAGGCAGUUCCUAAACAGAAAAGUAAAGUUUUAACCCCCCCCCCACCCACCACCACCAAUCAAUCACACUCCACGGCUAGCCAAAUCCUCGGGUACCGUCCAUACUAACAUUAAUCUGGGGGGAGUCUUGUUUUACAGUUAUGUUUUCGAUUUAAGCGUGGAACUGGGCAUUCCAAAUACCGGCCCCUUUCUCGUGAAUGACUGUGAAUAAACACAUGUCGAGGAUAACACUCCUAGCAUGGAAGAUACCAAUAGCUCUAUGUCACCACAUGAGCGGUUCAGGCAUGCAAAACAGAUUAUCUCUUGAAGGUUUAGAGAAUGGCAGAUGCAAAUUUACUUGGAACGGCAGGUAGAUACCGCAAAUAGGUAGGUAUGGUGGACUCUCAUGGGAAAACUUUUGGGUUUAUGGAAGUGGAUGCACAAGCAGUAUUCCCGCUUAGUACAAGUGAAGGCUAGCAAAGGACUGGGAAGCGGCCAACUAGAGAGCGACAACAGUCAUCAAGAUGCAAUGAGUUUGACUAACAUUGAAUGCAAGCAUGAACAGGAUAUAAAUCACCAUGAACACGAACAUCAUAGAGGCUAUGUUGAUUUUGUUUCAACUACAUGCAUGAACAUGCGCCAAGUCAAGCCACUUGAAACAUUCAAAGAGAAUACCAUCCUAUCAUACUACAUCAUAGUCAUCUCAAAAUCUAUGUUGGCAUUCAAGACAAACCAUUAUAAGCUCUCAGCUAAAUAAGCAUGGCAUCAGAAACUAUGAUCUCUAAGUUGUCAUUGUAAACAUGGUUCUCUCACAACAAAGCUAAAUCUGGGUCGACAAGCUAGUCAUAUUUACAAAAACAAAAUAGAUAGAGUUCAUACCAGCUUUUCAGUCUCAAUCACUUCAUCAUAUAUCAUCAUUGUUGCCUUUCAUUUGCACGAUCGGACGAUGAAAACGAUAAUAAGCGCAUUGGACUAAGCUGAAUCUGCAGGCAAACACAAAGGAGAAGACAAAAUAAUAUGGCUCUUUGAAAGCUAAACAGGUAAGCAUGUAAGAACCACUAAGCAUUGUAACCAAUAUCUUCUACCUCGACACAAAGAAAAAGAAAACUAUUUACACGGGAAAGCUCCCAACAAGCAAAAGAAGAAAGAAAAAUCUUUUUGGGUUUUCUCAAAAGGACACAAAACAAGAAAACAAGAAAACGAAAAUAAACUAGCAUGGAUAAUAUAGUGGCGAAGUGUAAACACCGACUAACAAAGUGAAAGCAUAAGCAUGAAUGUAAAGUCGGUGAGAACACGUACUCCCCCAAGCUUAGGCUUUUGGCCUAGCUUGGUCUACUCCCAUGGUGGAUCCUGGCGAAACCCAAAGUCAUAAUGGGUGUUAUACGGGAGUGCUACAACCACUGCCUGAAUAGCUGCCUCACGAAGUCGAGCAGCCGUAGCCUCCCUCUCAUACUCCUCUGCCUCUCCUAUGGUUAUGUAGUAUCUUUGUUUAACCUGAAAGUCAAAGAAAGCAGGAGCAGGAAGGGUAAUAUGGAAAACACGCUGCCGGUAAAAUAUCAAGCGAUAUAGGAGGGAUCCAUGAUCUCUCUCAAGGAACUGGUAGCGUGUUAGAGCGACACGAUCAAGGUAGGCUGUACGGAGAGGAGGGUCUUCUGGACGGAUGGAUACCCCAAGAAAAUUUGCUAAGCGUGUAGCAUAAACUACACCAAAGAAAUCCCCCUCACUGGCAUUUUUAUUCAGCCUCCUUGCUAUAAUAGCUCCCAUAUUGAAGCUCCUGUCACCUGUUACUGCGCUCUUAAGGAUACUAAGGUCGGAAGCGCAUAGGUGACAAUGUGCACCCUUGCCGUUAAUGCACCUACCUAUGAAGAGGGCAAGGUAGUGCAAGGCAGGGAAAUGGAUGCUUCCUAUGGUGGCUUGCGUGAUAUCUCUAGUUUCUCCAACAGUUAUAUUGGAGACAAAGUCUCUGACCGAAGACUUAGGAGGAUCAUUAACACUACCCCAAUUGGGUAUCUUGCAUAUCCUAUUGAAAUCCUCCAGAUCCACGGUAUAGGAUUUAUCAUACAGGUCAAACAGUAUAGAUGAUUCACGACCGGCUAAAAAUUUAAAUCUACGCACGAAAGAGGCAGUGAGCAUAGCAUACUAUUCACAUUUAUCUGAGAGGAAUUCUUCUAACCCGGCAUUGCGGACAAGUGCAUCGAACUCAUCCUUGAAGCCUGCUUCGAUCAUGAAAUCAUCGGAAGGCCAUUCACAUGGUUGCACCGGUGCGUCCCUUAGUUGAAAAGGUUCGGGCUCCCGAAAAGAGAGACGAGGACCCUUCUUACUUGAGGAACCACCAUGAAACUUCCUCCUGAACAUAAUUUCCUUAUGCUGAAAUUUUUGAAGUUCAAGAGAAAAGUGAAUAAAGACCCACCACACCUUGUAGCAACUACUCCUACUAGUGCCUAGAGACCGUAUCACGCGCUAAAACUACUUGGGACCAGCUAAAAUCAACCUUUCUAGCUCAAGAACAGGGUCACCAAGGUAGCAAGAAUACGCGAAGGAUAAAGCACUAGAGCAAAAACUAAUUGGACCAAUGGAGGAGUCACUUACCAAGGAGUAAUUUCCCCAAAACGGUUCGGAGUAAGGUGCUUUGAGCAAGGAGAUCGAAAAUCACAGCCAAAUAAGCAAGAACACGGGUUUGAACUACAAAACAAUUUUUCUGGAGGCAGAAGAAGAGGCUGGGAGCUGGAAUGAGUGGAGGGGGUGCCUGUCGGCCCCAAAAGCUUGCACCCCGCCACCAGGGGGUAGGUGGCGGUGGGAGGGCUUGUGGCCCACUGGUCUGGCCCCCAGGCCAGCUCUCAGGCCACGAAAUUUUCAAAAAAUCCAGAAAAAAUCAUACUAAAUUUUCAGGACCAUCAGAGAACUUUUAUUUUCGAGGUAUUUUUCUCCGGAACGCUGAAACAGAAAACAGGAAAAGCUAAACUAAUUCUAUCAUUUUUCUUCUAAGCAACAUAAAAGGAAAGCUCAAAACAGAGGUAUGUGACUCUUUGAUUCAUCCGUUUCAUGGUCAUCGAAAGAAAUCCGUUGAUGGGGUUGAUCAAGUCCUUAUGACAAAACCUUCUCGAAUUGCAAGAGAGAACGGAGAAUUUUUGAAUUGCCACUAAGUCACCUCAAUGGGGAUAUGUAUCUCCCCAAAGAGCAAAUCAUACUUCAUCUUGACACGAGGAAUAGGGCAUUCAAAGCUCCCAAUGAGAAUUGAUAAAGUCUUUUCGAUAGCAUUGAUGCAAUGCACUGGAUAUCGUUUCUUCGGAAAGUGCACUGUGUGCUCAUUACCGUUGACAUGGAAAGUGACAUUGCCUUUGUUGCAAUCUAUAACAGCCCCUACAGUGUUUAAAAAGGGUCUUCCGAGGAUGAUAGCCAUGGCACCGUCCUCGGUAAUAUCCAAGAUAACAAAGUUUGUUAAGAUAGUGGUGUUAGCAACCACAAGAGGCACAUCCUCGCAAACGCCGAUAGGGAAAGCAGUUGAUUUGUCGGCCAUUUGCAGAGAAAUUUCAGUGGGUGUCAACUUAUCCAACUCAAGUCUACGAUAAAGAGAGAGUGGCAUAACACUAACACCGGCUCCAAGGUCACAUAAGUGUUGGGGAACGUCGCAUGGGAAACAAAAAUUUUCCUACGCGCACGAAGACCUAUCAUGGUGAUGUCCAUCUAUGAGAGGGGAUGAGAGAUCUACGUACCCUUGUAGAUCGUACAGCAGAAGCGUUAGUGAACGCGGUUGAUGUAGUGGAACGUCCUCACGUCCCUCGAUCCGCCCCGCGAACAAUCCCGCGAUCAGUCCCACGAUCUAGUACCGAACGGACGGCACCUCCGCGUUCAGCACACGUACAGCUCGACGAUGAUCUCGGCCUUCUUGAUCCAGCAAGAGAGACGGAGAGGUAGAAGAGGUUUCCGGUAGCGUGACGGCGCUCCGGAGGUUGGUGAUGACCUUGUCUCAGCAGGGCUCCGCCCGAGCUCCGCAGAAACACGAUCUAGAGGAAAAACCGUGGAGGUAUGUGGUCGGGCUGCCGUGGAAAGGUCGUCUCAAAUCAGCCCUAAAACCUCCGUAUAUAUAGGUGGGAGGGAGGGGACCUUGCCUUGGGGCUCAAGGAGCCCCAAGGGGGUCGGCCGAGUCCAAGGGGGAGGACUCUCCCCCCCCCAAACCGAGUUGGACUAGGUUUGGUGGGAGGGAGUCCCCCUUCCUUCCCACCUCCUCCUUUUUUUUCUUUCUCUCUUGAUUUUCUUCUCCUUGGCGCAUAGGGCACUUGUGGGCUGUCCCACCAGCCCACUAAGGGAUGGUGUGUCUCCCCAAAGCCUAUGGGCUUCCCCGGGGUGGAUUGCCCCCCUCCCCCCGGUGAACUCCCGGAACCCAUUCGUCAUUCCCGGUACAUUCCCGGUAACUCCGAAAACCUUCCGAUAAUCAAAUGAGGUCAUCCUAUAUAUCAAUCUUCGUUUCCGGACCAUUCCGGAAACCCUCGUGACGUCCGUGAUCUCAUCCGGGACUCCGAACAACAUUCGGUAACCAACCAUAUAACUCAAAUACGCAAAAAACAACGUCGAACCUUAAGUGUGCAGACCCUGCGGGUUCGAGAACUAUGUAGACAUGACCCGAGAGACUCCUCGGUCAAUAUCCAAUAGCGGGACCUGGAUGCCCAUAUUGUAUCCUACAUAUUCUACGAAGAUCUUAUCGUUUGAACCUCAGUGCCAAGGAUUCGUAUAAUCCCGUAUGUCAUUCCCUUUGUCCUUCGGUAUGUUACUUGCCCGAGAUUCGAUCGUCAGUAUCCGCAUGCCUAUUUCAAUCUCGUUUACCGGCAAGUCUCUUUACUCGUUCCGUAAUACAAGAUCCCGCAACUUACACUAAGUCACAUUGCUUGCAAGGCUUGUGUGUGAUGUUGUAUUACCGAGUGGGCCCUGAGAUACCUCUCCGUCACACGGAGUGACAAAUCCCAGUCUGGAUCCAUACUAACUCAACGAACACCUUCGGAGAUACCUGUAGAGCAUCGUUAUAGUCACCCAGUUACGUUGCGACGUUUGAUACACGCAAAGCAUUCCUCCGGUGUCCGUGAGUUAUAUGAUCUCAUGGUCAUAGGAACAAAUACUUGACAUGUAGAAAACAGUAGCAACAAAAUGACACGAUCAACAUGCUACGUCUAUUAGUUUGGGUCUAGUCCAUCACAUGAUUCUCCUAAUGAUGUGAUCCCGUUAUCAAGUGACAACACUUGCCUAUGGCUAGGAAACCUUGACCAUCUUUGAUCAACGAGCUAGUCAACUAGAGGCUUACUAGGGACAGUGUUUUGUCUAUGUAUCCACACAAGUAUUGUGUUUCCAAUCAAUACAAUUAUAGCAUGGAUAAUAAACGAUUAUCAUGAACUAAGAAAUAUAAUAAUAACUAAUUUAUUAUUGCCUCUAGGGCAUAUUUCCAACAGUCUCCCACUUGCACUAGUGUCAAUAAUCUAGUUCACAUCACCAUGUGAUUCCGACGAAUCCAACACCCAUAUAGUUAUGGGGUCUGAUCACGUCUUGCUCGUGAGAGAGGUUUUAGUCAACGGUUCUGAAACUUUCAGAUCCGUGCGUUCUUUACAAAUAUUUAUGUCAUCUUAUAGAUGCUGCUACUACGUGCUAUUCGGAAAUGCUCCAAAUAUCUACUCUACUAUACGAAUCCGUUUCACUACUCAUAGUUAUUCGGAUUAGUGUCAAAGCUUGCAUCGACGUAACCCUUUACGACGAACUCUUUAACCACCUCCAUAAUCGAGAAAAAUUCCUUAGUCCAUUAGUUACUAAGGAUAAAUUUUGACCGCUGCUAGUGAUUCAAUCAUGGAUCACUCUCUGUACCUCUCAACAUACUUUGAGUCAAGGCACACAUCAGGUGCGGUACACAGCAUGGCAUACUUUAGAUUCUACGGCUAAGGCAUAGAAGACGACCUUCGUCUAUUCUCUUUAUUCUGCCGGGGUCGGGUUUUGAGUCUUACUCAAAUUCACACCUCACAACGCAACCAAGAACUCCUUCUUUGCUGAUCUAUUUUGAACUCCUUCAAAAAUUUGUCAAGGCAUGCAUCUUGUUGAAACUUCCAUUAAGCGCUUUCGAUCCAUCUCCAUAGAUCUUUGAUGCUCAACGUUCAAGUAGCUCAAUCCAGGUAUUCCUUUGAAAACUCCUUUCAAACAACCUUGUAUGUUUUACAGAAAUUCUACAUUAUUUCUGAUCCACAAUAUGUCAACCACAUAUACUUAUCAGAAAUUCUAUAGUGCUCCCACUCACUUCUUUGGAAAUACAAGUUUCUCAUAAACCUUGUACAAACCCAAAAUCUUUGAUCAUCUCAUCAAAGUGUAUAUUCCAACUCCGAGAUGCUUGCAUCAGUCCAUUGAAGGAUCAUUGGAGCUUGCAUACUUGCUAGUAUCUUUAGGAUCGACAAAACCUUCUGGUUGUAUCACAUACAAUGUUUGCUCAAGGAAACCGUCAAGAAAACAAUGUUUUGACAUCCUACGUGCAAUAUUUCAUAAAUAAUGCAUCAACAACUAACAUAAUUCUAACAGACCUUUAGCAUCACUACGAGUGAGAAAGUCUCAUCAUAGUCAACUGUUUGAUCUUGUCGAAAACAUCUUUGCGACAAGUCGAGCUUUUCUUAAUAGUGACUUAUCACCAUCAUCGUCUGUCUUCUUUUAAAGAUCCAUCUUUACUCAAUAGUCUUAUGACCAUCAAGUAGUUCUUUCAAAGUCUACACUUUGUUUUCAUACAUGGAUCCUCUCUCGGAUUUUAUGGCUUCCAGCCAUUUGUCGGAAUCUGGGCCCACCAUCGCUUUCUCCAUAACUCGUAGGUUCACUGUUGCUCAACAACAUGACCUCCAAGACAGGGUUACCGUACCACUCUGUAGUAGUAUGUGACCUUGUUAACCUACGAGGCUUGUAGUAACUUGAUCCGAUGCUUGAUGAUCACCAUCAUCAGCUUCCACUUCAAUUGGUGUAGGCGCCACAGGAACAACUUCCUGCGCCCUGCUACACACUGGUUGAAGUGAUGGUUCAAUAACCUCAUCAAGUUCUACUACCCUCCCACUCAAUUCAUUCGAGAGAAACCUUUCCUCGAGAAAGGAUCCGUUUCUAGAAACAAACACUUUGCUUUCGGAUCUGAGAUAGGAGAUGUACCCAACUGUUUUGGAUAUCCUAUGAAGAUGCAUUUAUCCGCUUUGGGUUCGAGCUUAUCAGACUGAAACUUUUUCACAUAAGUGUCGAAGCCCCAAACUUUCAAGAAACGACAGUUUAAAUUUCUCUAAACCUCAGUCUAUACUAUGUCAUCUCAACGGAAAUACGCGGUGCCCUAUUUAAAGUGAGUGCGGUUGUCUCUAAUGCAUAACCCAUAAACGAUAGUCGUAAUUCGAUAAGAGACAUCAUAGUAUGCACCAUACCAAAUAGUGCGUGGCUAUGACGUUCAGACACAUUAUCACACUAUGAUGUUCCAGGUGGCAUGAACUGCGAAACAAUUUCCACAUUGUCUUAACUGCGUACCAAAACUCGUAACUCAGGUAUUCAUUUCCAUGAUCAUAUCAUAGACAGUUUAUCCUCUUGUUACGACGAACUUCACUCUGAAAUGGAAUUGAACUUUUCAACAUUUCAGACUUGUGAUUCAUUAAGUAAAUACUCCUGUAUCUACUCAAAUCGUCAGUGAAGUAAGAACAUAAUGAUAUUCACUGCGUGCCUCAGUAUCCAUUGGACUGCAUACAUCAAAAUGUAUCACUUCCAACAAGUUACUAUCUUAUUUCAUCUCAAUGAAAACAAGGCCUUGCUCAUGUGGUAUGGUUUGCAUGUCACUAGUGAUUCGAAAUCAGGUGAGUACAAAGAUCCAUCAGCAUGGAGCCUCUUCAUGCAAUUUAUACUAACAUGACUCAAGCGGCAGUGCCACAAGUAAGUGGUACUAUCAUCAUUAACUCGUAUCUUUUUGGCACCAAUAUUAUGAACAUGUGUAACACUACGAUCGAGAUUCAAUAAACCAUUGAAGGUGAUUAUUCAAGAAAAUAGAGUAACCAUUAUUCUCUUUAAAUGAAUAAUCGUAUUGCAAUAAACAUGAUCCAAUCAUGUUCAUGCUUAACGCAAGCACCAAAUAACAAUUAUUUAGGUUUAACACCAAUCCCGAUGGUAGAGGGAGCGUGCGACGUUUGAUCAUAUCAACCUUGGAAACACUUCCAACACGUAUCGUCACCUCGCCUUUAACUAGUCUCCGUUUAUGCCGUAGCUUUCAUUUCGUGUUACUAAUCACUUAGCAACCGAACCGGUAUCCAAUACCCUCAUGCUACUAGGAGUACUAGUAAAGUACACAUCAACAUCAUGUAUAUCAAAUAUACUUCUUUCGACUUUCGCCAGCCUUCUUAUCUACCAAGUAUCUAGAGUUGCUCCGCCUUAGUGACUGUUCCCCUCAUUACAGAAGCACAUAGUCUCGAGUUUGGGUUUAAUCUUGGGUCCCUUCAUUAGUGCAGCAACUGUUUUGCCGUUUCACGAAGUAUCCCUUCUAGCCCUUGCCCUUUUUGAAACUUAGUGGUUUUACAAACCAUCAACUAUUGACGCUCCUUCUUGAUUUCUACUUUCGCAGUGUCAAACAUCGCGAAUCGCUCAAGGGUCAUUGUAUCUAUCCUUGAUAUGUUAUAGUUCAUCACGAAGCUCUCACAGCUUUGGUGGCAGUGACUUUGGAGAACCAUCACUAUCUCAUCUGGAAGAUUAACUCCCACUUGAUUCAAGUGAUUGUCGUACUCAGACAAUCUGAGCACACGCUCAACGAUUGAGCUUUUCUCCUUUACUUUGUGGACAAAUAAUCUUGUUGGACGUCUCGUACCUCUUAACAAGGGCACAAGCAUGAAAUCACAAUUUCAUCUCUUUAGAACAUUACUUAUGUUCCGUGACUUUUUACAACGUUUUCGGCGCCUUGCGUCUAAGCCAUUAAGUAUUUUGCACUGAACUAUCGUGUAGUCAUCAGAAACGUGUAUGUCGGAUGUUCAUAGCAUCCACAGACGACGCUCGAGGUGCAGCACACCGAGUGGUGCAUUAAGGACAUAAUCCUUCUGUGCAGCAACGAGGACAAUCCUCGGUUUUACAGACCCAGUCUGCAAAGUUUUGCUACUAUCAAUUUUCAACUAAAUUUUCUCUAGGAACAUAUAAAAACAGUAGAGCUAUAGCGCAAGCUACAUCUUAAUUCGCAAAGACCAUUAGACUAUGUUCAUGACCAUUAGUUCAAUUAAUCAUAUUACUUAAGAACUCUCACUCAAAAAGUACAUCUGUCUAGUCAUUUGAGUGGUACAUGAUCCAAAUCCACUAUCUCAAGUCCGAUCAUCACGUGAGUCGAGAAUAGUUUCAGUGGUAAGCAUCUCUAUGCUAAUCAUAUCAACUAUACGAUUCAUGCUCGACCUUUCGGUCUCAUGUGUUCCGAGGCCAUGUCUGCACAUGCUAGGCUCGUCAAGCUUAACCCCAGUGUUCCGCGUGCGCAACUGUUUUGCACCCGUUGUAUGUGAACGUUGAGUCUAUCACACCCGAUCAUCACGUGGUGUCUCGAAACGACGAACUGUAGCAACGGUGCACAGUUGGGGAGAACACAAUUUCGUCUUGAAAUUUUAGUGAGAGAUCACCUCAUAAUGCUACCGUCGUUCUAAGCAAAAUAAGGUGCAUAAAAGGAUUAACAUCACAUGCAAUUCAUAAGUGACAUGACAUGGCCAUCAUCACGUGCUUCUUGAUCUCCAUCACCAAAGCACCGACACGAUCUUCUUGUCACCGGCGCCACACCAUGAUCAUCCAUCAACGUGUUGCCAUCGGGGUUGUCGUGCUACUCAUGCUAUUACUACUAAAGCUACAUCCUAGCAAAAUAGUAAACGCAUCUGCAAGCACAAACGUUAGUAUAAAGACAACCCUAUGGCUCCUGCCGGUUGCCGUACCAUCGACGUGCAAGUCGAUAUUUCUAUUACAACAUGAUCAUCUCAUACAUCCAAUAUAUCACAUCACAUCGUUGGCCAUAUCACAUCACAAUCAUACCCUGCAAAAACAAGUUAGACGUCCUCUAAUUUUGUUGUUGCAUGUUUUACGUGGUGACCAUGGGUAUCUAGAAGGAUCGCAUCUUACUUACGCAAACACCACAACAGAGAUAUAUGAGUUGCUAUUUAACCUCAUCCAAGGACCUCCUCGGUCAAAUCCGAUUCAUCUAAAGUUGGAGAAACCGACACUUGCCAGUCAUCUUUGAGCAAAGGGGUUUACUCGUAACGAUGAAACUAGUCUCUCGUAAGCGUACGAGUAAUGUCGGUCCAAGCCGCUUCAAUCCAACAAUACCGCGGAAUCAAGAAAAGACUAAGAAGGGCAGCAAAACGCACAUCACCGCCCACAAAAACUUUUGUGUUCUACUCGAGAAGACAUCUAUGCAUGAACCUAGCUCAUGAUGCCACUGUUGGGGAACGUCGCAUGGGAAACAAAAAAUUUCCUACGCGCACGAAGACCUAUCAUGGUGAUGUCCAUCUACGAGAGGGGAUGAGAGAUCUACGUACCCUUGUAGAUCGUACAGCAGAAGCGUUAGUGAACGCGGUUGAUGUAGUGGAACGUCCUCACGUCCCUCGAUCCGCCCCGCGAACAAUCCCGCGAUCAGUCCCACGAUCUAGUACCGAACGGACGGCACCUCCGCGUUUAGCACACGUACAGCUCGACGAUGAUCUCGGCCUUCUUGAUCCAGCAAGAGAGACGGAGAGGUAGAAGAGGUUUCCGGCAGCGUGACAGCGCUCCGGAGGUUGGUGAUGACCUUGUCUCAGCAGGGCUCCGCCCGAGCUCUGCAGAAACGCGAUCUAGAGGAAAAACCGUGGAGGUAUGUGGUCGGGCUGCCGUGGAAAGGUCGUCUCAAAUCAGCCCUCAAACCUCCGUAUAUAUAGGUGGGAGGGAGGGGACCUUGCCUUGGGGCUCAAGGAGCCCCAAGGGGGUCGGCCGAGUCCAAGGGGGAGGACUCUCCCCCCCCCCCCCCCGCCAAACCGAGUUGGACUAGGUUUGGUGGGAGGGAGUCCCCCUUCCUUCCCACCUCCUCCUUUUUUUUCUUUCUCUCUUGAUUUUCUUCUCCUUGGCGCAUAGGGCACUUGUGGGCUGUCCCACCAGCCCACUAAGGACUGGUGUGUCUCCCCAAAGCCUAUGGGCUUCCCCGGGGUGGAUUGCCCCCCCCCCUCCCCGCGGUGAACUCCCGGAACCCAUUCGUCAUUCCCGGUACAUUCCCGGUAACUCCGAAAACCUUCCGGUAAUCAAAUGAGGUCAUCCUAUAUAUCAAUCUUCGUUUCCGGACCAUUCCGGAAACCCUCGUGACGUCCUUGAUCUCAUCCGGGACUCCGAACAACAUUCGGUAACCAACCAUAUAACUCAAAUACGCAUAAAACAACGUCGAACCUUAAGUGUGCAGACCCUGCGGGUUCGAGAACUAUGUAGACAUGACCCGAGAGACUCCUCGGUCAAUAUCCAAUAGCGGGACCUGGAUGCCCAUAUUGGAUCCUACAUAUUCUACGAAGAUCUUAUCGUUUGAAUCUCAGUGCCAAGGAUUCGUAUAAUCCCGUAUGUCAUUCCCUUUGUCCUUCGGUAUGUUACUUGCCCGAGAUUCGAUCGUCAGUAUCCGCAUACCUAUUUCAAUCUCGUUUACCGGCAAGUCUCUUUACUCGUUCCGUAAUACAAGAUCCCGCAACUUACACUAAGUCACAUUGCUUGCAAGGCUUGUGUGUGAUGUUGUAUUACUGAGUGGGCCCCGAGAUACCUCUCCGUCACACGGAGUGACAAAUCCCAGUCUCGAUCCAUACUAACUCAACGAACAGCUUCGGAGAUACCUGUAGAGCAUCUUUAUAGUCACCCAGUUACGUUGCGACGUUUGAUACACACAAAGCAUUCCUCCGGUGUCCGUGAGUUAUAUGAUCUCAUGGUCAUAGGAACAAAUACUUGACACGUAGAAAACAGUAGCAACAAAAUGACACGAUCAACAUGCUACGUCUAUUAGUUUGGGUCUAGUCCAUCACAUGAUUCUCCUAAUGAUGUGAUCCCGUUAUCAAGUGACAACACUUGCCUGUGGCCAGGAAACCUUGACCAUCUUUGAUCAACGAGCUAGUCAACUAGAGGCUUACUAGGGACAGUGUUUUGUCUAUGUAUCCACACAAGUAUUGUGUUUCCAAUCAAUACAAUUAUAGCAUGGAUAAUAAAUGAUUAUCAUGAACUAAGAAAUAUAAUAAUAACUAAUUUAUUAUUGCCUCUAGGGCAGAUUUCCAACAAUAAGGUAGUUCUUACGUAGUUUCCUUUAAUGGAGCAAGGUAUAGUGGGCACUCCGGGAUCACCAAGUUUCUUAGGAGUUCCACCUUUGAAAGUGUAGUUGGCAAGCAUGGAGGAGAUCUCAAGAUCUGGUAUCUUCCGUUUAUUAGUCACGAUAUCUUUAAUGUACUUGGCAUACGGAGACAUCUUGAGCAUAUCAGUUAACCGCAUUUGCAGAAAGACGGGUCUUAUCAUCUCAACGAAGCGCUAAAAAUCCUCAUCAUCCUUUUUCUUGGAUGGCUUAGGAGGAAAGGGCAUAGGUCUCUGAACCCAUGGCUCUCUUUCUUUACCAUGCUUCCUAGUAGUGAAGUCAUUCUUGUCGUAUCUCUUAGGUUGUGGAUUAUCAGGAUUAACUGUAGGUUCAAUCUCCACAUCCUCGUCAUGGCUAGGUUGAGCAUUAUUAUGAACAUCAUUGUCCAAAUUGUUACCAGGUUCAUGUUCAUUACCUGAUUGUGUUUCUGCAUCAGACGCAGAAAUAUCAUUAGGUUCUUCAGGUGUGAUAGUAUUUGGUGAACUGGCAUGCAAGUUUCUAUCAUCCUUCUUCUUCUCCUUAGGAUGACUAGGUGUAUCAGCAUUGAUUCCUUGAGAAUCUUGAUCAAUUCUCUUAGGAUGACCUUCAGGAUACAAAGGGUCCUGAGUCAUUUUGCCUCCUCUAGUAAUGACUCUGAUAGAGUUGUCAUUUAGUUCAUUGAGCAGGUCAUUCUGAGCUUUAUGUACUUGUUCUACCUGAGUAGUAAUCAUACAGGCAUGUUUACUCAGAAGCUUCAGAGCAUUGACAUUUCUGUCUACGCAAGCACUUAAAUGGCUAAGCUUACGAGUACUUUGUUCCAAAUGUCUGCUAACAUAAGCAUUGAAACUCUGUUGUUUGGCAACAAAGUUGUAAAAUUCAUCAAAGCAUAGGCUAGCAUGUUUAUCAAAAGGAAUAUCACUCUCAUCAAACCUACGCAGAGAAUUCACUUCUACUACCUGUAUCGGGUUAUCGAGACCAUGGAUCUCUUUGAUAGGUGGUAGAUUUUUGACAUCUUCAGAUCUAAUGCCUUUCUCUUGCAUAGAUUUCUUGGCUUCUUGCAUAGCUUCGGGACUGAGGAAUAGAAUACCUCUUUUCUUAGGAGUUGGCUUAGGAGGUGGUUCGGGAAUAGUCCAAGCAUUAUCGUUGAUCAAGAGGUUAUUCAGUAGGGUCUCAGCUUGUUCUAUAGUUCGUUCCCUAAAAACACAACCGGCACAACUAUCUAGGUGGUCUCUAGAGGCAUCGGUAAGUCCGUUAUAGAGGAUAUCAAGUAUCCCAUUCUUCUUAAGUGGGUGAUCAGGCAAAGCAUUUUGUAGCUGGACGAGCCUCCCCCAAGCUUGUGGAAGACUCUCUUCUUGGAGUUGAGCAAAGUUGUAUAUUUCCUGCAAGGCAGCUUGCUUCUUAUGGGCAGGGAAAUAUUUCUCACAAAAGUAAUAGACCAUCUCCUCGGGACUACGCACACAUCCAGGAGCAAGAGAGGUGAACCAGACUUUAGCGUCAUCCUUUAGAGAUAAAGGAAACAACUUAAGGAUAUAGUAGUGGCGGAUCUUCUCCUCAUUAGUGAAGAGGUUGGCUAUUUCGGAUAGUUUGGCAAGAUGGGCUAUGACCGUCUCAGACUCAUAACCGUGAAAAGGAUCAUAUUCGACUAGAGAAAUUAUCUCAGGGUCGACAGAGAAUUCAUAAUCCUUAUUGGUGACAAAGAUAGGCGAAGUGGCAAACUUCAGGUCAAUUUUCAUCCUAGCUUCCCGAGAUUUUUCCUUCCACUUGAGAAGUAAUUUCUCAGCGUCAUAGGCAUCCUUACACGCAAGAAAAUCCUUAGCUAUCUCUCCCUCCAUAACGUAACCCUCAGGUAUAUCAGGCAAUUCAUAUCUAGGAGAGCUAGAUCUAGCAGGAGCAAAAGCAGGUUCUAUCUCAAUAGUAUCGGCGGUAUCAGAAGCAUCACGAGCAUUGGCAGUAACUCUAGCAAUAUGAGCAUCAAGGAACACUCCUAGUGGAACAUCAGGCAAAGGAGUAUCUCUAGUAGUAUCAAGCAUAGCAUCAUCAUGCAAAAUAGCAUCUCUAGCAUCAUCAAGCAAAGCAGUAUCAAGCAUAGCAUCUCUAGCAGUAUCAAACAUAGUAUCAAGCAUAGUAUCAUCAGGCAUAGUAUCAAGCAUAGCAUCUCUAGCAGUAGUAUCACAAGCAUCAUCAAGCACAAGCGACAUAUCAAGAUUUCUAGCAGGAGGUGAUGCCGCAAACUUACUCAUAACUGAAGGUGAAUCAAGUGCAGAGCUAGAUGGCAAUUCCUUACCUCCCCUCGUAGUUGAGGGCAAGACUUUGGUCUUCGAAUCCUUCAGAUUCUUCAUAGUGAUCAGCAGAUAUAAAUCCCAAGUAACUUAGAAAAUAUAGCAAUACCUCCCCGGCAACGGCGCCAGAAAAAUGCUGAUCUGCAAUCUCUGGCGUUAGCUAGACGAAUGCUUAUGACAAUAAACCUUCUCCUGCAACGGCACCAGAAGAAUGCUGAAAGCACUCCCCAGUAAUGAGACUAGAAGAAUGUUGUUGAUGGCCCACCAGCGCGUGGGUUCGCAGCAGUUUUCGAGGGUAGAGUAUUCGACCCAAUUUGUUGAUAAGCUAGUUGGGAGGUGAGAGUAUACAAUCAAGUAUUAGCAGCUGAAUUUGUCACAUUCAACCACACCUGAAAGAUUACUAUAUGCAAGCACAGUAGUAACAACAAAGUAAUAUGAUAAUAACGGUGUCAGAAACAAUCUGUUGGCAGCAGACUAUUCCUAACGAUUGUAUCAAUGGCGCCUCCGUUGCCGCGUUGACGGAAGUUGUCAGUUCCCAUCAACGGUCAGCGAUCAAUAUUGUAACAGGUAGCAGCAGUGUAAUGAGCAAUAGCAGCGGCAAGGAACAACAGUAGUGACAACAGUAGCAAGUAGCAACAGUAGCAAGUGACACUAAUAGCAACAGUAGCAGCAGAGCAAGACAAGUAACAGCAGUAGCAACAAUAGUAGCAGCAGCAGCAGAGCAAGACAAGUAACAGCAGUAGGACAAACUCGUAGGCAAUGGGUCGGUGAUUUGUUUGGAUGAUAUUCAUCAUGCAACAACUAUAACACGGAGAGAUAUGUGGCUAGCUCUCGUUCGUCAAUGUGAUGUAGGCAUGCAUUCCAUGUGUCGUCAUACGUGCUUAGGGAAAAGAACUUGCAUGACAUCUAUUGUGCAUCCCUCCCGUGGCAGCGGGGUCCAAAAGGAAACUGCGGGAUAUUAAGGUUCUCCUUUUAAUAAAGAACCGGACCAACGCAUUAGCACUUCGUGAACACAUGAACUCCUCAAUGGUCAUCAUCGGGAGUGGUUCUGGUUAUUGUCACUCCGGGGUUGCCGGAUCAUAACACAUAGUAGGUAACUACAACUUGCAAGAUCGGAUCUAAAACACACAUAUAUUGGUGACAACAUAAUCAUUUAAGAUCUGAAAUCAUGGCACUCGGGCCCUAGUGACAAGCAUUAAGCAUGGCAAAGUAGUAGCAACAUCAAUCUUAGAACAUAGUGGAUACUAGGGAUCAAUCCACAUCAAAACUAACUCGAUUACAUGAUAGAUCUCAUCCUACUCAUCACUGCCCAGCGAGCCUACGAAUAAAUUACUCACGAACGACAAAGAGCUUCAUGGAAUUGGAGAGGGAAGAAGGUUGAUGAUGACGAUGGCGACGAUUUCCCCUCUCCGGAUCCCAAGAUGGACUCCAGAUCUGCCCUCCGGAUGAAGAACAGGAGGUGGCGGCGCCUCAGUAUCGAAAACGCGACGAAAACUUCUCUUUUUAUUUUUUCUGGGACGAAAGGCAACUUAUAGAGCUGGAGUUGGGGGCGGUAGGUACCUGUGGGCCCCACAAGCCUGCCCACCGCCACCAGGGGGGUGGUGGUGGAGCAGGGGCUUGUGGCCCACUGGCCCACCCCCUGAGGUGGAACUUGGCGCAGAUAUUUUUGAUAUUUUCCAAAACUGCUCCCCGUAAAUUUUCAGGACGUUUGGAGAACUUUGAUUUCUGCACAAAAAUAACACCAAGGCAAUUCUGCUGAAAACAACGUGAGUCCAGGUUAGUUUCAUUCAAAUCAUGCAAAUUAGAGUCCAAAACAAGGGCAAAAGAGUUUGGAAAAGUAGAUACGAUGGAGACGUAUCAGUGUUCGAUGAUUUGCCUACUCGGCCACGGACUCAGAUGACAAGGAUGCGUUCACGACUCUGAUGGAGGAGGAAGCCGAGGAUGACACCGCCGAUGAAGAGCACCUCAUGACCCUUGCCAAGUUGUCUGGUCUGUUCACGAACGAUGCUAAGCCACGGCGAGGUGGCUCAACGCUGGGCCACCACAAGGGCAAAAAAAGACAUCGCAUGAAGGGUUAUUGCAUGCUCUAUGCCGACUAAUUCACCGACACUCCUCUACACGGAGAGAAAGUAUUUUGGCAUCAUUAUCGGAUGGGUCGGACGCUCUUCCUCAGGAUUGUGAAUGCCAUCCUGGAGUUUGACAACUAUUUCAUUUGCAAUAAGGAUUGCACUAGUACGGUUGGAUUCUACUCACUCUAGAAGUGCACCACACUGAUACGUCUCCAACGUAUCUACUUUUCCAAACACUUCUGCCCUCGUUUUGACCUCUAAUUUGCAUGAUUUGAUUGAAACCAACCCGGACUGACACUGUUUUCAGCAGAACUACCUUGGUGUUAUUUUUGUGUAGAAAUAAAAGUUCUCGGAAUCGAAUGUAACUUUUUGCAAAAAAAAUUCUGGCAUUUAUAAGGAUUUAUGGAGCGAAGACCUAUGAGAGAAGUCCUGCCAGGGGCCACAAGUCAACAGGGUGCACCCCCGUGACCGCACACUGGUAGCUUGUGGGGCCCACAUGGAUCCUCCGACCCUAAUUCCAGUCCUAUAAAAUCACAUCUUCGGAGAAAAAAUGAGAGAGAAGUUUUCAUCGUGUUUCAUGAGACGGAGCCGCCAUCACCUCCUAUUCUUCCUCCGGAACGCUGAUCUGGAGCCCGUUUGGGGCUUCGGAGAGGAGGAUUCGUCGCCAUCGUCAUCAUCAACCCUUCUUCAUCAACACCGCCAUGAUGCUCACCACCCAGAGUGAGUAAUUCCUUUGUAGGCUUGCUGGACAAUGGUGGGAUUGGAUGAGAUUGAUCAUGUAACCAAGUGAAGUUUGAUAGGGCUUGAUCCCUAAUGUCCACUAUGUUUUAAGAUUGAUGUUAUUAUGACUUUGCUAUGCUUAAUGCUUGUCACUAGGGCCCAAGUGCCAUGAUUUCAGAUCUGAAUCUAUUAUGUUUUCAUGAAUAUGAGAGUGAUUUGGAUCCUAUCUUGCAAGUUGUAGUUACCUAUUAUGUGUCUUAAUCCGCAUACCCCAAGGUGACAAUAGUUGGGAUUCUUUCGAGUGAUUGUCUUAGUUUGAGGAGUUAAUGUAUUCACCAUGUGUUAAUGCUUUGUUCCGGUUCUCUAGUAAAAGGAGGUCUUAAUAUCCCUUAGUUUCCAAUAGGACCCUACUGCCACGGGAGGGUAUGACAAAAGAAGCCAUGCAAGUUCUUAUCGCAAGCACGUAUGACUAUAUACGGAGUACAUGCCUACGUUACAUUGAUGAAUUGGAUCUAGUUGUGUGUCGUCCUAGUGUGUAACUGUUACAUGAUUGAUACAUCUCUAUCGUAUCUAUAAUUUUUUAUUGUUCCAUGCCAAUAUUAUAAAACUUUCACAUAUUUUUGGUAACAUUUUAUAUGAUUUAUUGGACUAACAUAUUGAUCCAGUGCUAAGUGUCAGUUCCUAUUUGUUGCAUGUUUUUCGUUUUGCCGAAUAUUCAUAUCAAACGAAGUCCAAAGACGAUAAAAGUUUAUAGAUAAUUAUUAGGGAAUAUACGUGAUAUUUGGGAGGUGGAAUCAAUGUAAACGGAGGCCCACGACCUCCACUACCCACCAGGGCAUGAAGCAUACCCCCUGGCAUGCCCUGCCCUCUAGUGGCCACACCAUGAGUUGGUUCGGGCUAUUAUUUGGGUGCAAGAAAUAUAAUUUAGGGGAAAAUCAUGUAAAAAUAUGAGCCCACUCGAAGUUACGGAUCUCCGGGGAUUUAAGAAACGGUGAAGGGCCAGAAACGAGGAACGCGAAACAGAAGAGAACACAGAGGGAGAUCCAAUCUCGGAGGGGCUCCUGCCCCUCCUCCGCCAUGGAGGCCAUGGACGAGAGGGGGACCUCUCCUCCCAUCUAGGGGGAAGCCAAGGAAGAAAAAGGAGGAGGGGGCUCUCUCCCCCUCACCCCCGGUGGCGCUGGAGUGCCGUCGGGGCAAGGAGCGUCACGGCGAUCUAGAUCAACAAUCUUGUCGCCGUCAACACCAACUCUCCCCCUCUAUGCAGCGGUGUAAUACCUCUUUUCCCACUAUAACUCUCUACUUAAACAUGGUGCUCAACACUACAUACUAUUUCCCAAUGAUAUGUGGCUAUCCUAUGAUGUUUGAGUAGAUCUGUUUUGUCCUACAGGUUAAUUGUGAUAUGAUGUUGUUGUUGGAAAUAUGCCCUAGAGGCAAUAAUAAAUUAGUUAUUAUUAUAUUUCUUUGUUCAUGAUAAUCGUUUAUUAUCCAUGCUAUAAUUGUAUUGAAUGAAAACAUAGAUACAUGUGUGGAUACAUAGACAAAACAAUGUCCCUAGCAAGCCUCUAGUUGGCUAGCCAGUUGAUCAAGGAUAGUCAAGGUUUCUGGCUAUGUGCAAGUGUUGUCACUUGAUAACUAGAUCACAUCAUUAGGCGAAUCAUGUGAUGGACUAGACCCAAACUAUGAACGUAGCAUAUUGAUCGUGUCAUUUUAUUGCUAUUGUUUUCUACAUGUCAAGUAUUUAUUCCUAUGACCAUGAGAUCAUAUAACUCACUGGCACCGGAGGAAUACCUUGUGUGUAUCAAACGUCACAACAUAACUGGGUGACUAUAAAGGUACUCUACAGGUAUUUCUGAAGGUGUCCGUUAAGUUAGUAUGGAUUAAGACUGGGAUUUGUCACUCCGUGUGACGGAGAGGUAUCUCGGGGCCCACUCGGUAAUACAACAUCACACACAAGCCUUGCAAGCAAUGUGACUAAGUGUAAGUCACGGGAUCUUGUAUUACAGAACGAGUAAAGAGACUUGCCGGUAACGAAAUUGAAAUAGGUAUGCGGAUACCGACGAUUGAAUCUCGGGCAAGUAACAUACCAAAGGACAAAGGGAAUGACAUACGGGAUUAUAUGACUCCUUGGCACUCAGGUUCAACCGAUAAGAUCUUCGGAGAAUAUGUAGGAUCCAAUAUGGGCAUCCAGGUCCCGCUAUUGGAUAUUGACUGAGGAGUGUCUCGGUUCAUGUCUACAUAGUUCUCGAACCCGUAGGGUGUGCACACUUAAGGUUCGAUGAUGUUUUAGUAUAGUUAAGUUAUAUGUGUGGUUACCGAAUGUUGUUCGGAGUCCCGGAUGAGAUCACGGACAUCACGAGGGUUUCCCGAAUGGUACGGAAAUGAAGAUUGAUAUAUAGGAUGGUUUCAUUUGGUCACCGAAAAGUUUCGGGCAAUUCCGGAAGUGUACCGGGAGUGACGAAUGGGUUCCGGGAGUUUACCGGGAGGGGCCCACCCACUCGGGAGUGAGCCCAAGGCCAUAGGGUGGUGCACCAAGUCCUUAGUGGGCUGGUGGAGUCAGCCCAAGAAGGCUAUGGCGCCACAAGCAAAAAAUACCAAAGGAAAGAAGAGAAAAAAAAAGAGGAAGGUGGGAAGGAAGGAGUGGACUCCUUCCCCACCAAACCGAAUUGGGGUUGGAGUCUAACUCCUCCCCCUUGGCUGGCGCACCCUUGAGGGCCUUGAUCCCCAAGGCUAUCCCCCUCCUCCUAUAUAUAUUGGUGGUUUAGGGCUUUUUGAGAGACAACUUUGCCACGUGCAACCCUAGCCUAUUCCACAUACUUCUACCUCUAGAUUGGAUUUCUGCAAAGCUCGGGCGGAGCCCUACAGGAGUAGAUCAUCACCACCAUCGGAGCGCCGUCAUGCUGCCGGAGAACUCAUCUACUUCUCCGUCUUGCUUGCUGGAUCAAGAAGGCCGAGAUCAUCGUCGAGUUGUACGUGUGCUGAACGCGGAGGUGCCGUCCGUUCGGCACUAGAUCGGAACGGAUCGUGGGACGGAUCGCGAGACGGUUCGUGGCACAGUUCGAGGGACGUGAAUACGUUCCACUACAUCAACCGUGUUUCUUAACGCUUCCCGCUGAGCGAUCUACAAUGGUAUGUAGAUCUAGUCUCCACUCAUAGAUGGACAUCACCAUGAUAGGUCUUCGUGUGCGUAGGAAAAUUUUUGUUUCCCAUGCAACGUUCCCCAACAGUGGCAUCAUUAGCUAGGUUCAUGCGUAGAUGUUAUCUCGAGUAGAACACAAAAGGUUUUAUGGACGGUGAUGUUCGAUUUGCUACCCUCCUUAGUCUUCUCUCGAUUCGACGAUAUUGUUGGAUUGAAGCGGCUCGGACCGACAUAACUCGUACGCUUAUGAGAGACUGGUUUCAUCGACUGACAUGCAACCUCGUUGCAUAAAGAUGACUGGUGGGUGCGUGUUUCUUCAACUUUAAUUGAAUUGGUUUUGACCGAGGCGGUCCUUGGAGAGAGGUAAAAUAGCAAUUUGCACAUCUCCUUGUGGUUUUUGCGUAAGUAAGAUGCGAUCAUACUAGAUACCCAUAGCAGCCAUGUAUAACAUGCAACAACAAAUUAGAGGACGUCUAACUUGUUUUUGCAGGGUAUGCUUGUGAUAUGAUAUGGCCAAUGACGUGAUGUGAUAUAUUGGAUGUAUGAGAUGAUCAUGUUGUAAUAGUUAAUAUCGACUUGCAUGCCAAUGCUACGGCAACCGGCAGGAGCCAUAGGGUUGUCUUUAAACUAACGUUUGUGUUUGCAGAUGUGUUUACUAUAUUGUUAGGUCAUAGCUUUAGUAGUAAUAGCAUAGAUAGCACGACAAACUUGAUGGCGACACGAUGAUGGAGAUCAUGGUGUGGCGCCGGUGACAAGAAGAUCAUGCCGGCGCUUUGGUGAUGGAGAUCAAGAAGCACAAGAUUAUGGCCAUAUCAUGUCACUUAUGAAUUGCAUGUGAUGUUAAUCCUUUUAUGCACCUUAUUUUGCUUAGAACGACGGUAGCAUUAUAAGGUGAUCUCUCACUAAAAUUUCAAGAUGAAAUUGUGUUCUCCCCGACUGUUCACCAUUGCGACAGUUCGUCGUUGCGAGACACCACAUUAUGAUCGGGUGUGAUAGACUCAACCUUCACAUACAACGGGUGCAAAACAGUUGCACACGCGGAACACUCGGGUUAAAAUUGACGAGCCUAGCAUGUGCAGAGAUGGCCUCAGAACACAUGAGACCAAAAGGUCGAGCAUGAAUAGUAUAGUUGAUAUGAUUAGCACAGAGAUGCUUAUCACUGAAACUAUUCUCAACUCACGUGAUGAUCGGAUUUGAGUUAGUGAAUUUGGAUCAUGUACCACUCAAAUGACUAGAGAGAUGUACUUUUUGAGUGGGAGUUUAUUAAGUAAUUUGAUUAGUUAAACUCUAAUUAUCAUGAACAUAGUCAAAAGGUAUUUGCGAAUUAUGAUGUAGCUUGCGCUAUAGCUCUACUGUUUUUAUAUGUUCCUAGAGAAAAUUUAGUUGAAAGAUGAUAGGAGCAACUUUGCGGACUGAGUCCGUAAAGCUGAGGAUUGUCCUCCUGGCUGAGCACAAGGCUUAUGUCCUUAAUGCACCUCUCGGUGUGUUGCACCUCGAGCGUCAUCUGUGGAUGUUGCAAACAUCUGACAUACACAUUUUUUAUGACUACGUGAUAGUUCAGUGCGUAAUACUUAAUGGCUUAGAAGCAAGGCGUCGAAGACGUUUUUGAAACGUCACGAAACAUAAGAGAUGUUCUAAGAGAUGAAAUUGAGAUUUCAUGCUCGUGCCCUUGUUGAGAGGUAUGAGACCUCUGACAAGAUUCUUUGUCUACAAAGUAAAGGAGAAAAGCUCAAUCGUUGAGCAUGUUCUCAGAUUGUCUGAGUACAACAAUCGCUUGAAUCAAGUGGGAGUUAAUCUUCCAGAUGAGAUAGUGAUGGUUCUCCAAAGUCACUGCCACUAAGCUUCUAGAGCUUCGUGAUGAACUAUAACAUAUCAAGGAUAGAUAUGAUGAUCCUUCAGUGAUUCGCAAUGUUUGACACUUCAAAAGUAGAAAUCAAGAAGGAGCAUCAAUUGUUGAUGGUUAGUAAAACCACUAGUUUCAAGAAGGGAAGGGCUAGAAGGGAUACUUCAUGAAACGGCAAACCAGUUGCUGCUCUAAUGAAGAAACCCAAGAUUGAACCCAAACCCGAGACUAAGUGCUUCUGUUAUGAGGGGAACGGACACUGAGGCGGAGCUACCCUAGAUACUUGGUAGAUGAGAAGGCUGGCGAAGUCAACUGAAGUAUAUUUGAUAUACAUGAUAUUGAUGUGUACUUUACUAGUACUCCUAGUAGCACGAGGGUAUUAGAUACCGGUUCUAUUGUUGAGUGAUUAGUAACUCGAAAUAAAAGCUGCGGAAUAAAUGGAGACUCGCUAAAGGAGAGGUGACGAUAAGUGUUGGAAGUGUUACCAAGGUUGAUGUGAUCAAAUAUCGCACGCUCCCUCUACCAUCGGGAUUGGUGUUAAACUUAAAUAAUUGUUAUUUGGUGUUUGCGUUGAGCAUGAACGUGAUUGGAUCGUGUUUAUUACAAUUCGAUUAUUCAUUUAAAGAGAAUAAUGGUUAUUCUAUUUGCUUGAAUAAUUACCUUCAAUGGUUUAUUGAAUCUCGAUCGUAGUGUUACAUAUGUUCAUAAUAUUAGUGCCAAAAGAUACAAAGUAAUGAUGAUAGUACCACUUACUUUUGGCACUGUCGCUUGAGUCGUGUUGGUGUAAAAUGCAUGAAGAAGCUCCAUGCUGAUGGAUCUUUGUACUCACUCAUUUUUGAAACGUUUGAGACAUGCAAACCAUACCUGUUGGUAUAAACGCAUGAAGAAACUCCAUGCAGAUGGAUCGUUUGGACUCACUUGGGACAUGCAAAAUCAUACCACAUGGAACAAGAGAGUAACUUGUUGGAAGUAAUACAUUUUUUAUGUGUGCAGUCCAAUAAGUGCUAAGGCACGCAGUGGAUAUCGUUAUGUUCUUACAUCACUGGCGACUUGAGUAGAUACAUGAGUAUUUACUUGAUGAAUCACAAGUCUGAAAUAUUGAAAAGUUCAAAGCUAUUUCAGAGUGAAGAUCGUCGUGACAAGAGGAUAAACUGUCUACGAUAUGAUCAUAGAGAUGAAUAUCUGAGUUGCGAGUUUUGGUACACAGUUGAGACAAUGUGGAAAUUGUUUCGCAAUUCAUGCCACCUCGAACACCAUAGUGUGAUGGUGUAUCCGUACGUCAUAGCCGCGCCCUAUUUGAUAUGGUGCAUACUAUGAUGUCUCUUAUCGAAUUAUCACUAUCGUUUAUGGGUUAUGCAUUAGAGACAACCGCAUUCACUUUAAAUAGGGCACCUCGUAUUUCCGUUGAGAUGACACGGUAUAGACUAUGGUUUGGAGAAACCUAAGCUGUCGUUUCUUAAAAGUUUGGGGCUGCGAUGCUUAUGUGAAAAAGUUUCAGUCUGAUAAGCUCGAACCCAAAGCGGAUAAAUGCAUCUUCAUAGGAUAUCCAAAACAGUUGGGUACAUCUCCUAUCUUAGAUCCGGAAGCGAAGUGUUUGUUUCUAGAAAUGGAUCCUUUCUCGAGGAAAGGUUUCUCUCGAAAUAAUUGAGUGGGAGGGUGAUGGAACUUGAUGAGGUUACGGAACCGUCACUUCAACCAGUGUGUACCAGGGCGCAUGAAGUUGUUCUUGUGGCGCCUACACCAAUUGAAGUGGAAACUGAUGAUGGUGAUCAUUGAGCUUUGGAUCAAGUUACUACAAACCUCGUAGGUCAACAAGGUCGCGUACUACUACAGAGUGGUACGGUAACCUUGUCUUGGAGGUCAUGUUGUUGAACAACAAUGAACCUACGAGCUAUGGAGAAGCGAUGGUGGGCCUGGAUUCCGACAAAUGGCUGGAGGCCAUGAAAUCCGAGAGAGGAUCCAUGUAUGAAAGCUAAGUGUAGACUUUGGAAAUACUACUUGAUGGUCGUAGGACUGUUAAGUAAAGAUGGAUUUUUAAAGGGAAGAUAGAUGAUGAUGGUGAAAUGUCACCAUUAAGAAAAGCUCGACUUAUCGCAAAGAUGUUUCCGACAAGUUCAAAGAGUUGACUAUGAUGAGACUUUCUCACUCGUAGCGAUGCUAAAAAUCUGUUGGAAUUAUGUUAGCAAUUGCUGCAUUGUUUGUGAAAUAUUGCACAUAGGAUGUCAAAACAUUGUUUCCUCGACGUUUUCCUUGAGGAAAGGUUAUAUGUGAUACAACCAGAAGGUUUUGUCAAUCCUAAGGAUGCUAACAAGUAUGCAAGCUCCAGUGAUCCUUCUAUGGACUGGUGCAAGCAUCUCGGAGUUGGAAUAUACGCUUUGAUGAGAUGAUCAAAGCUUUUUGGGUUUGUACAAGGUUUAUGAGAAACUUGUAUUUCCAUGGUUUGUACAAGGUUUGUAAAAGGUUGUUUGAAAGGAUUUUUUUCAGAGGAAGACCUGGAUAGAGCUAGUUGAACAUUGAGCAUCAAGAUCUGUAGAGAUAGAUCAGAAUGCUUAAUAGAACUUUCAAUGAAAUGCAUGCCUUGACAAGUUUUUGAAGGACUUCAAAAUAGAUCAUCAAAGAAGGAGUUUUGGGCUGUGUUGUAAGGUGCGAAUUUGAAUAAGACUCAAAGCCCGACCAAGGCAGAAGAAAGAGAAAGGACGAAGGUCGUCUUCUAUGACUUAGCCGCAGACUCUAAAGUAUGCCAAGCUAUGUACCGCACCUGAUGUGUGCCUUGCCAUGAGUCUGUCAAGGGGUACAAAAGGUGAUCCAGGAUUGAAUCACUAAAACAGCGGUCAAAGUUAUCCUUAGUAACCGGUGGACUAAGGAAUUUUUCUCGAUUAUGGAGGUGAUUAAAGAGUUCGUCGUAAAGGGUUACGUUGAUGAAAGCUUUGACACUAAUCCGAAUAACUCUGAGUAGUAAAACGGAUUCGUAUAGUAGAGUAGAUAUUUGGAGUAUUUUCGAAUAGCACGUAGUAGCAACAUCUAUUGGAUGACAUAAAGAUUUGUAAAGCACACACGGAUUUGAAAGAUUCAGAACUGUUGACUAAAACCUCUCUCACGAGCAAGACCUGAUCAUACCCCAGAACUAUAUGGGUGUUGGAUUCGUUAAAAUCACAAUGGUGAUGUGAACUAGAUUAUUGACUCUAGUGCAAGUGGGAGACUGUUGGAACUAUGCCCUAGAGGCAAUAAUAAAUUAGUUAUUAUUUUAUUUCUUUGUUCAUGAUAAUCGUUUAUUAUCCAUGCUAUAAUUGUAUUGAAUGAAAACAUAGAUACAUGUGUGGAUACAUAGACAAAACAAUGUCCCUAGCAAGCCUCUAGUUGGUAGCUAGUUGAUCAAGGAUAGUCAAGGUUUUCUUGCUAUGUGCAAGUGUUCUCACUUGAUAACUCGAUCACAUCAUUAGGAGAAUCAUGUGAUGGACUAGACCCAAACUAUGAACGUAGCAUAUUGAUCGUGUCAUUUUAUUGCUAUUGUUUUCUACGUGUCAAGUAUUUAUUCCUAUGACCAUGAGAUCAUAUAACUCACUGGCACCGGAGGAAUACCUUGUGUGUAUCAAAUGUCGCAACGUAACCGGGUGACUAUAAAGGUACUCUACAAGUAUUUCCGAAGGUGUCCGUUGAGUUAGUAUGGAUCAAGACUGGGAUUUGUCACUCCGUGUGACAGAGAGGUAUCUCGGGGCCCACUCGGUAAUAGAACAUCACACACAAGCCUUGCAAGCAAUGUGACUAAGUGUAAGUCACGGGAUCUUGUAUUACAGAACGAGUAAAGAGACUUGCCGCUAACGAGAUUGAAAUAGGUAUGCGGAUACCGACGAUUGAAUCUCGGGCAAGUAACAUACCGAAGGACAAAGGGAAUGACAUACGGGAUUAUAUGAAUCCUUGGCACUGAGGUUCAACCGAUAAGAUCUUCGAAGAAUAUGUAGGAUCCAAUAUGGGCAUCCACGUCCCGCUAUUGGAUAUUGACCGAGGAGUGUCUCGGGUCAUGUCUACAUAGUUCUCGAACCCGCGGGGUCUGCACACUUAAUGUUCGAUGAUGUUUUACUAUAGUCGAGUUAUAUGUGUGGUUACCGAAUGUUGUUCGGAGUCCCGUAUGAGAUCACGGACGUCACGAGGGUUUCCGGAAUGGUCCGAAAACGAAGAUUGAUAUAUAGGAUGGUUUCAUUUGGUCACCGGAAAGUUUCGGGCAAUUCCGGCAGUGUACCGGGAGUGACGAAUGGGUUCCGGGUGUUUACCGGGAGGGACCCACCCACCCGGGAGUGAGCCCAAGGCCAUAGGGUGGUGCACCAAGUCCUUAGUGGGCUGGUGGAGUCAGCCCAUGAAGGCUAUGGCGCCACAAGCAAAAAUAUCAAAGGAAAGAAGAGAAAAAAAAGAGAGGGCGGUGGGAAGGAAGGAGUGGACUCAUUCCCCACCAAACCAAAUUGGGGUUGGAGUCUAACUCCUCCCCCUUGGCCGGCACACCCUUGAGGGCCUUGGGCUCCAAGGCUAGCCCCUUCCCUCCUCCUAUAUAUAUUAGUGGUUUAUGGCUUUUUGAGACACAACUUUGCCACGUGCAACUCUAGCCUAUUCCACCUCUAGAUCGGAUUUCUGCGGAGCUCGGGCGGAGCCCUGCAGGAGUAGAUCAUCACCACCACCGGAGCGCCGUCACGCUGCCGGAGAAUUCAUCUACUUCUCCGUCUUGCUUGCUGGAUCAAGAAGGCUGAGAUCAUCGUCGAGUUGUACGUGUGCUGAACGCGGAGGUGUCGUCCGUUCGGCGCUAGAUCGGAACGGAUCGUGGGACGGAUCGCGAGACGGUUCGUGGGACGGAUCGUGGGACGGUUCGAGGGACGUGAAGACGUUCCACUACAUCAACCGCGUUUCUUAACGCUUCCUGCUGAGCGAUCUACAAGGGCAUGUAGAUCUAAUCUCCACUCGUAGAUGGACAUCACCAUGAUCGGUCUUCGUGUGCGUAGAUUUUUUUGUUUCCCAUGCAACGUUUCCCAACAGUUGUUGAUAUGAGUUGUGUGUUGAUAUGUUGAUGUCCUAAGAUGCCUUUUGUGAGGCGCACAUGUGAAGGAUACACGCUGGAGGGUUUGUAAUAUGUUCAUGAUUCGCUUAUAGUGGAUGACGAGAGUGAUAAAAUAGUGUUAGUUGUUCUUUGUGGAAAUAUCCCGACCAACCUUUUGAGAUAUUGGCCUUUAAUGAAGGCGACCGUCAUCAUCUCAAGAUCUUUGAACCUUGGAGAGGCCACAGCUACCAAGGUCUUUGUUCGUGUUUACAAGUGUCGCCUCAUACCGCUGCCAUCUAGGUCUGCCUCCUCCUUCAUCGGCGUUCUUUCCAGUCCGCCGUCGAGGUCCUCUUGUCUUCCUGAACUCCACCUCGGCCAAGCUCCUCAGGCUUAUUUCUAAAAGAAACUUCAUGCGUUUAAAGAACACACGACAUUUUCUAGAAGUUUUUUAUGCAAUGAAUAGAAUGUUUGCAUAUUUUUUUAAAAUUUCACCCAUUAGAAAGGUGAACAGUAGGAAUUUGGAAAAUCUUUACCAUGUGUUCUAAAAAUGUCCGGGCCUGUAUUUGAAAAAAAAUCAUCAUGUGUUUAAAAAGUGUUCUGUGUGUGCUAAAAUGUUCCCCUACCAUGCCCAAGCGUCGGGGCUCCUCCAGACCAAAUCUGCCAGGUUGCUACAGAGCAAGGACAAUACCUUGCUAGGUGUUGUAGCAGACUACUGGAUGCUGAGGUAAAAUCCUUAACGUCGAAUACAUGACGGGCUUUCGUGACUUCCAUAUUACUCUUUCCGUCUCAAAAUAAAUAUCUCAACUUUAUACUAACUUUAAUAUAAAAUUGUAUUAAGUUUAAGACACUUAUUUUGGAAUACAGAAAAUACUAUUCUUGCUCAGUUCGUUUACAAAUGUUUUAGGUCACCCCCUUGUGGUAUAGACAUAUUGAGUUUGAACCAAUCUCAUCCUCGACAUGUUUGAAGUCCCUUCGCUCCAUAUUUAUACCAACGUAUGACCAGUAUUAAUUAUUUAUCUUUUCAUUGCAAGUCAUCUCAUAUUAUGGCAAUAUAAGUGUACUUAAAGACUUUUUGAUUUACAUGUUUCAUGCUUCCGAAUAUUUAUUAAAAUUCUAUCAAACUAUUAAAAACAGACGAACGCAACAACGCGCGUCAUUAAGGAUCUAGUAUAAGGAAAAAACGGUUACCUUUCGACCGGCAAAUGACUCUUGUGUAUCCCUUACCUCCAUGACCAUCUGAUUAGAUUUUAAUUAUAUAGAGUAAAGCUAUGCGAGACGGUCCAUAAAGUUUACAAUAUUGGGCAUGUUGCAAAUACGCUUUCUAAAACUGUCUUUCUACAACGCGUACUUUUUUGUUCAUCUUUUUAUUGGUUUUUUUGCUAUAUCAUUUUUGUUGCAAAAAUUCUUCCACAACAUCAGCUACGUUACAAGAAUGUGAAAAACGGAAAAAAAAUAUAACAAAACUUCUACUAGAAAUUUUUUCUACAACAUAAUCUUUGUUGCAAACAUAACACUUAAAAUUAAAAUGUGUCACGUUAAAACCAUUUUGGAUGGUUUUGCAACAAAGCUGCUCUAAUGGAGUGAACACCAUAACAACCAGCUUGUUGCAGUUUACGACACACACAUUUGAAAGAUCCGUUUUUGCAACAAUCAGCUCUGUUGCAAGAACACUGCAACAAAAUCUCUAAUGCAAAAAAAAUCUACAACAAGAACUCUAUUGAAAAUAAAACGCAACACAAUCUAUAUUGUAAAAAAUAUAUUCUGCAAGAUAAUCUUUAUUGUAAAUAUCCCGCAAGAGGACUCUUGUUGUGAAGUAGAGGAAGACAUUGAGCCAGUGGAUCGUGCGCGACAUCCAACGACCGGCGAGGCGGCGGAUCUUGAUUUGCAACAAAAAAGAAAGAUCAUGUGGCAGUAAAUACCUGAGUCGUUGGUCAAUUUAUAUUUUCGCCGAUCAACUCCUCCGCAGGAACUCGACAAACCGUAGAUUCAGGCUCGGAAUGAGAGUUCCAGCAAGUGGCUCGAGCUUCAUUAUGUAUGGCGAGCGGCCGAGCGACGAAACGCAGCGAAAGGCGGGGCUCUGGAGAAGCUCUAUCCGGCACGCAGCACGGCAGCACCGUCCAAUUUUGGUGGCCGCCGAGCGAAGGAACCGAAAGCACGCGAUCCGAAGCUACUCUGUCGCGCAUGCGUCACCAGAUUGGCACUGCGCUGGCUCCCAUGGCGUCCGUGACAGCUCAGUGAACGACCAGCACGGCCCCUCGCCAAAACGAGACGUGACACCCCCCCGCGGCGUCCCCAUCUUCUUCUUCUUCCCCGCGCGUGUAGUACGAGACCACGUCCCCUCGCCCCCCGUGCGUUUCGUGGACCGCUCGGUGCCUCGGCCCCGCCGCCGUCACGUCACCUCCAAAAGGUGCCUGAGAUAGUAAAGAUAUAUGCGCGAUCUAGUAGUACAAAUUGUAUCGACCGCAUCCUCGCCAUCUCGCGAACCCGUACGAUCAUACAGUAUGUAGCUCAGAACUGAACGUUUUAAAGCAACUGCUGCAGCUCCAUUUCUACCCGCGACCGCAAAGAGAGAAACAUGCUACGAGUACUGCAGCUGAAUGAACGGAGCCGGGCACACGAACGGCACUCGAGAAACGGAUGUUCAGAUCUGGUAGUCGCAUCGCAAUGCUGCAUGCUACAGGAGACAACCUUCUGAGUGCGUCACGGUGGCGGAUGGCACAGGAUAUCAUACUUAAAUUUGGAAAGCUGACAAGUUGCACCUCCUGCCCAAUCUGGAAAUGAAAAUGGUGGCCCGAUCCAUCUUUAUUGCCCGAUUUACCAGCAGGGUCGCAGGAAAAAGCGUGCCCUGACAGACAUCACCCCACGUGACACGUGUGCUCUCCGGGCCCUGUUUCCUCCCUCCACCCUCCAGUGUACAUCCUUUGGACUUGUUCCUUUUGAUCUCUUUGGUUCGCGUGAUAAAACAACGAAAACAAUAUAGGAGUAGUAGAAUUACAACAAAAUGCAUGAAUGACCGGGUGGUAGCGCAACGGAAAGGAGGUCCCCUUGCGUAUCGCCGGUGCUCGACGCCGCUGGUGGUUCCCUCUCCCUUCGCCCGCCGCUCUAGUAGCGUGAUGGAGGGGAAACCUUAGAUCUUCGUAUUGUAUGGGUUCUUAGGAAGUCGGUACCGGGUCUAUUAUGAUGACGACGCGUCUGAAUAAGUAUCCUCGACUCCGUUCAUGGUUAGACGGGGUUCUUGCCUUCGUUUAGGAGCCAACACGGAGGGGUAUCCCUGGAUAUCAUCGAGGUCGCGGGCUAUGGUCUUUGAAGGUUCACCGGCAUUGGCUUGUUUGGUCCUCGGAUGGGUGGUGGUCGUGUGCAGGGACGAUUCUAGGGGGGGGGACAAGGGGGGGCUAGACCCCCCUAACAAAUUGUUUUUUCUACUAUAAUAAUGGUUGUUGUAGCUAAUUUUUUAUUUCAUAUGAACUUUGCCCCCUCCAUGAACAAACUUGCCCCCCUAUGUUUGCAUGUUGGCUUCGUCCCUGGUCGUGUGGAGAAGAUUCUUCUUCCUCAUCGUCAAUAUGAUUUCCUCUUGUGUUUCUUCCUCCUUUGUGCUAGUGCUGGAGGGAUAUCCUGCUUUGUCUGAACUGUCGGUCCGACCGAGACGCUGGAAUCGGAUCCUAGUUAUCUUUCACCUGGAGGGGCACAUAUAUUGGUACUCAAAGCCACACAUGGCAAAGGCUGGUGCGGGCGUGUUGGAUGCAUAUGUGUAUCCUUGUCUUUUCGACGCGGGAGCGAAGAAAUGAGGGAGUAACGUGGUAGCAAUUAUACCGUGAUUGAAGAUGAUGACCUGCUUAGCUCAAGUUGCAUAUGCUUGUGUUGCGGUUGUUUUCUCGCAAGGUUUAGGAAUGAUGAUACAGAACUCUGAAAAUCCUUGUGUUUUACUAGUUGUUUUAGGGUGCACUUUGUCAUUCUGAUUAUUUGUGCGCGUGUUAGGGUGUGUUUGUACGAAUCAAGGGCUUUUUAUUAUUAUGUGAUUGGAAUACAAGCAUACUUUCUAACAAAAUCUAAGUUUGUAGGAUUGCACAAAAUACAAAAUAUUUUUCUUAGUACUUCUAAGAUGUGGCUUGGUACAAAUUUUCAAACAAAAUGGUUCUUUUUGAAAUAUAUGACCGAAUAUUAUUUUUCUGAUUAGAUUCCUUCUUACUAUUAAGAAACCAAACCAACAUAAAAAAGAAUUCNNNNNNNNNNNNNNNNNNNNNNNNNNNNNNNNNNNNNNNNNNNNNNNNNNNNNNNNNNNNNNNNNNNNNNNNNNNNNNNNNNNNNNNNNNNNNNNNNNNNCUGUCACUAAGCAGCAAUACUAGCUCUCCUGUCUUGACUGCACUGUCUAAAAAGAAGUAGGAGAGCUGGAUUUACAGAAGCAGAAUGCAUAGCAGCAACCUACACAUCCAGAAACACGUUGAUGUAUGUGCCCAAGGGCAACAUGACCACUGAUUAAAACUGCACCGACUGCUGCUCGUCGUCCCGAUCUACCCUGCACUUUACCCCAGCGCGAGCUCAACUUCACAGCGCAUCAGAACUAAAUCCCCUCGGGGAUUCAACUUCAAACACACACACAACUCAAACAUAUCCACGUUUUAACUAAACUACCACAAAAUCGCGAGCUAACUGAACCUCCCUGCGAUGCAGGUCUAUGACGGGCGAGAAUGAUGAUGAACUAAAUCUGCUCAGCUCAGGAGGGUCAUGUAGGAGGGCAAAACACAUGAGACAAAAUAACACAGCAAGCAGAGCGGGGACGAACAAAUACCAAGCGCCCCAUCGACGCCGGCGACUGCGGCCAUCUCCACUGACGGGAGCUUGUUGGUGCCGCGCACGACGGGGCAGCUCUGCCAAGCUCCUCCCAAUGGCAGCAUCUCUUCCACCUGCAGCCCCCUGCAUAUAAGCUCUCAAUCCCUGGGAGACUCGCCAUGCGCCAUCUCCUGUUCUAAUCACCGGUGAGCAGCCCCGCCGCCUUCCCUCUGCCGUCUCCGCCCCACCUCGCUCAACCCCGACCGUCUCCGGCCAACCUCGGUCAACCCCGACCCAAUCCCCUUUCUCAGAUAGAAACACAGAGACUGAAUGGAUAAAAGUGACCUCACGCUUCACGGGCCAAAAAAAUGUAUACCCGAUAUGGACCCGCGUACCCGAAAGCCCAACGAAACCAAACUACACGCGCGAAACACAGGACAGACGAGGGCACUGAGAUUCGUGCAAAUCGAACGGACUAUAAAACGACCUGAAACGAAUUUAAAUUCAGUCGACUGAAAAAUAGUAAAACUGUUUUUUUAAAUGCCAUGUACUAUUUUUAUAAUAUUUAAAUGUAUUUUUAAAUGCCACAUACUAUUUUUGUAAUAUUUAAAUAUAUUUUAAAAUGCCACGUACUAUUUUGAUAAUAAUAAAUAUAUUUUGAAAUGCAACGUAGUAUUUUAUAAUAUUUAAAUAUAUUUUAAAAUGCCAUGUACUAUUUUAUAAUAUUUAAAUAAAAUUUAUUAACUUUUCGCUUUAUAAACUUUUGUGUUUACUUUUGUUUUAAUUUUAGUCCAUGCGGCAACCUUUUUAGUAGUCUAACCAAAAAUAAAAUGGGCCGACCCAACGCGCUCCCUGGCCCAUCAGCCAGCCGAAUCCCGGUUGACAUUUUUCACGUGAGCAUUUUUGUGUCUCAGGGUCCAAUUUAGACCGGGAUCAUAUAGUUUAGGAUACAAACGACAGAGAUUUAGACUUAAGGGUUUGAUUCGCCGAACCUCUAUGAAUUCAGGAUUUAAAUGAACUUUUUCCUUGUUCUGGCCCGGCCUGACGGCACGACUAUCAUUAUAUGGUCCAAAACCGGUGACAACCAAAGCCGGUGACAAGUACGGAGGCCUGCAAGGGUCAUUUUAAGUGGGCUGAUUCAUUCUCAAUCGCAGUCACGUGUCAUGCUUUGGAUUUUUUUUGUAAUUUGUUUUUUAUAAGUUUUUUGAUUUUUUAGAUGAUUUAUUAUAUUUCUUUAAGGUUUUCCCAGUUUUCUUAGGUUAUGGAAAAAUAAUUUAUAUUGCAAAAAUACAUUUUUCUUUAGUGAGAGGCGCACUCGGAAAAAUGUGUUUUUCUUUCGUAAGAGUUAUAUAUUUACUUCUCGUGCAGACAUGAAUUUGCUUCCACUCGGAAAAAUGUGUUUUUUCUUUCGUAAGAGUCAUAUAUUUACUUCUCGUGCAGACAUGAAUUUGCUACCGCAAAAGGUAUAAUCAUGCCUCUUAGAACAGGAAAAAAUGCACAUUUUAUUCUUGCACAAGAGUCACAUAUUUACUUCUCGUGGAGAUACAGAUUUGCUUUCGCGAGAGGCAUAAUUACGCCUCUAAAAAAUCAAGUUUUUUCUUUCACAAUCCACAGGAGGCAUAGAUUUACUUCUAGGAGAGACACGGAUUUACUUCCAUGAAAGACACAUUUAUGCCACUCAAAAAAUAAUAAAAACCACCUUCCCCUUCCACGAGAGGUAUAUAUUUAUUUCCUGAAGACACGUAUUUGCUUUCGCGAGAGGCAUGAAUCGUGCCUCUCAAAAAGGAAAAGUCACAUUUGUUUCCUUCCGCAAGAGUCACAUAUUUACUCCUUGUUAAGGUACGAAUUUGCUUCCGCGAAAGAUACAAUCAUGCCUCUUAAAAAGAAAAACAUAUUUUAUCUUCCACGAGAGGCAUAUAUUUACUUCUCGCACAGACAUGGAUUUGUUUCCGUGAGAGAGGCAUUCGUGCCUCUUAGAAAAUAUUACAAAAACACCUCUUUUUCCCUUUCGCGAGAGGCACAUAUUUGUUUUCUGUGGAAACACGGAUUUGCUUCGCGCGAGCCACAUUCGUCCCUCUCGAAAAAAAGAGAAAAAAAGUAUUUUUCCUUCCACGAGAGACACAGUCGUACCUCUCNNNNNNNNNNNNNNNNNNNNNNNNNNNNNNNNNNNNNNNNNNNNNNNNNNNNNNNNNNNNNNNNNNNNNNNNNNNNNNNNNNNNNNNNNNNNNNNNNNNNUUCAAGUUUCAUGAUAAGUUUUGUUCUCUGUGGCAACAACAGGAGGUAUGCGUUGACGUAUUCAAUGGUUCAUUGUAAUUAUGUAUCACUUGGUCAAAGCCUUAUGCCAUCUGGCAAAGUCGACAAUUUCUUGAUCCCAUGUUUUUGUCGGAAGUUCUUUGAGGACCGUCAUCCCACAAUCUCUGGAAGGCACCAUUUUUUCCCUCAUAUUGGUGUAUGUUUCUAGUUUUGCUCAUCAUAUUUUUUCUUUGUUGGCUUCAUACUUUCCCUCCACUUGCAAUUCUGUAAUCUUUCUUGUAUUUUCUGCCUCCCCCUAGGAGAACAUACUGCACUACACAAACGAAGACUAACUAAAAUCGAUUGCCACUUCGUUCUUGGGGGCAGCAUCAGCAAGUAGGGGUAAACGGCUUGAAUUAUCACACACGGUGUGUUCUUCUAUGUCCUUUUUCUUUGUUCUUUUCCUUCUUUUUUAUUUUCCCAUUUUGAUAUUAUUUCUCCAACUUUAUAAUUUUUAUGUUUUUUAUCAGUUGUUCUUCCCCACAUGCCUGAGCAAUCACUGGAUAGUCUUUGCUGUCGAUUUCAAGUGGAAACUUUUUGCCUUCUUGGAUUCUUUAUACGACAAGGACUCAUUUCUUCACAAGUCUAUCAGAGAGAAAUUUGUAAGUUGUUCAUAAAUUUCUAUUUUUGUGUCCUUCACUCUUUUAUUCAUUGCAUCUCUUUUUUUGUCUAAAUGUUUUUUUGCUCAUCUAUAUGAUUGUAUAUUUUUAUUUCUUUCCUUUUUCAUCAUUUUUAUUCACACGCAGAUCAAGAAUUUCAUCUGGUUGUGGGAAAUCAUUUUCCAAACAGACUAACAUAACUUCAAGCGUUUCAGUAGGAUGUAUCCUCAUGUCCCAACGCAGGAGAAUGGGUCAGGGCUCAUUUUCCACAAUGCUUUGUUUUCAUUCUUUUUGCUUGCUUUCUCUGAACAUCACCUCCCUUUUCAGCAAUGACUGUGGAGUGUUUGCAACAAAGAUAAUGGAGAUAUGGGACGCAACUUUGGACCUGUGCAAGAUUUUCUCACAAGCUGAUAUCCAACACAUCAGAAUUCAGUACAUGAACCAACUUUUCUUUGGAAGAAAACACGGCAGACAAGUCACUUGUCACUUCUUUCAACUUUCAGGUUCUUCUUCUCUUUAUUCAUUUCACUCUUAAUGUUUUCUCAUCUUUUAAUUUAGGUUGCCAUCUUUCCGUUCUUUCUUUUCUAACCGUCUUUAUGUUGUGUGUUUUCUUGCCCUUUACUUUUCCUUUCACAGGGCGACUUUGCCAACAAUCUCCCGCGAUAGUGGUGGUGUUCUCUGUUUCUAAGCAUGUUGGAUGGACAUGAAGAGAAGAAGAGAGGCUCAUCUUUACAAAAAGAAAUUAGUUUCGUCUAGAUCAUUUUUGUUAGUGCAAUGGAUGGUGGAACGGUUGAGGAAGUUGUCCUUGGUUGUACGUGCACAUUAUAUCUGUUGUAAAUGGGGUCCACUUCUUUUUAGUAUUUGUUUUGUCUUUCCUAUUAACUCACAGACAAGGGGGUGUGUGUUCAUUAUUCCAUAUAUUGCUAUAAUUACAUAUGUUCAUUCUUCAACUUGUGAGAUACAAUUCUUUUAACUCUGAUUUUUAUAACUACCUUAGUAGAUUCAGAAUUCAGCUUAUUCUAGUGUUUUCUAGUGAUAUGAUAUUUUUCCUAUUUUCAUUCUAGUAUAUCUUGAGGUUUAUGUGCAGCAGUGUAGUAUUUUGUACCAAAGUUCUCCGGGCUGUAGUAUUUGAACUUAGCAUCUUAUUUCUUCUUUUUAUGCUUAGUUUCAGAAGUGGAACUAGUAGUCUUUUACUCAUUUUAUCAAUCUACAUUAUCAUUGUGAUCAUGUUUUAGAAAUUUUUGGUUAGUCAUAUUGCCUUUCAUGAUCAUAGUCAAUUUUUGUUUUCCAUUUUUCUAGCGGAUGUUUUCUUAGUGUGUGAAUACUGAUUUUUUAGAUAUGUUCUGCUUCAGAUUGUAGAUUGUAUACCCAAGUAUCAGGUUUAUUAGGAUGAGCCUAGGUCAUGUAUAUGCAGUAUAUUUUUGUUCUUGCUGUGAGUAGGGAAAAUCAGUUUUCUUUGUUCAUUUUUACUUGUAGAUAGCUGGAAAAAUUAUGUUUUGCCCCAAAGGAAAACAUGCAGCAUUUCUUAUUAUUGGUCUGAUUUAUGAAUUCGGUUAGUUCGAUUCAUGUUUACCUCUGCGAUUAUCAGNNNNNNNNNNNNNNNNNNNNNNNNNNNNNNNNNNNNNNNNNNNNNNNNNNNNNNNNNNNNNNNNNNNNNNNNNNNNNNNNNNNNNNNNNNNNNNNNNNNNUGAACACGUCAACAAAAUCAGGAUUAGAGAUGAAACUGAAGGUCACUUUGACUGAUUCUUUAUAUGUAUUAAAUCUACAUGCAAGCCGUAUUAAAAUAGAAGACCUGUGAAAUUUUGAACUGCAUUUUUGUAGGAUAAGACCAUCUUUAUUUGUAUCGUAACUAUAAAUUCUUAAAUUAUAGAAUUUUAAUAAAUUAAGAACGUGUGCCGUGUGGUAUUUCUUUCUCCCGUUGCAACGCAUGGGCCCUUUUGCUAGUGCUAGACUGACGUAAAAGUCUUACGAAAUCUUACGUACUAACUCUCCCUUUUCCUUAAUCUAAUACUGACUCCCCCUGAUUUUCAGGGUGGGUGGGCCUAAUCCUCCACCUAAUUCAAUCAAACAUAGUUAAAUCAGCCCAGCCCGUAAACAUACUUAAAUCUUUACGUAAGUCUAGCAUUACUCCUUCAAGGUCCCCGCUGAUGCCAACACGGUGUCAAAAUGUCCUGAAUAUGGGGGGGGGGGGGGGGACAGUUGCUGUGUAAUCAUACUGAUUCUUACUGAAAGAACAAAUACCAAACCCAAAAAACAACUACUGUGGUGGUGUACGGCAUCGUAACGCCAGGUCCUCCAUGUUCAACUCAAACUUUCCUGUGGCAGCAGAGCGUGAAGCCUGAUGCACUUCUCUCUGGCCAAAAAAUCAGAGGCUUCGGUCUUCACCCCAUUUUAAAUUYCUGGUCUGUGAAGGGUUGUUAUCUACAGACGCCAUCCUGACUCCACUGGUUUGACCUGAGAGGCCCAGACAAGCAUUCCUUUCAAAGUUAUUUUAGAGGUUUACUAACCAGGUCAAGCUUGAAUCAGUCCAUUGCGUAAUGUCUAACAACGUUCAAGGWAAGAACCAGCUGAACUGCUACCUGCUUCUGUGAGUAGCCGGUUUUCAACGCCGUCUUCUAACCCCGUCGGUUAUGCAGGCAGAUUGAUCUCCAAAAAGGAAAGUUAUGCAGGCAGCACGCCAUCGAGCGCUCAGCACGGGGCCAUGGAGGAGGCCUCUCUGCAUCCAACCAUGAGUUCCAGACAGGUCCUGUCAUCUCCAGGGCAUCCACCUAUGGAACUCGUCCCAGUGUGCCUGGGGAGAAGGCCAGGAGCGGAGGAUCAUUCUGGGAAGAAGCUGCUACGAUGAUUGCCGGAGCAUGCACAAACUGCUUCCCACCUCGCCAACCUAAAAUUAGGGAGGGCCAUGUCAAAUCCUCAGAAGAUGCUCAUGAUUUGUCGACUAGUUCCAGUAAGUUCACCUUUCUUUCUUC
rnacentral:lncRNA from 1 species